GAGAUUUGGGCUGUCGCUCAGAAAUCGCGGUUGUUGGCGACGAUUUAGGGAUAUCGACGGUGAGUGGUUGUUGUUGGAGGAAGGGGGCGUCGCCGACGAUUAAGAAGGUUUGAUGUGAGAGUAGGUGUGAAAAGGAGGAAACGGCGGUUUCACGGUGGGUUUCGCGAUGGUGGUGUAGUGGAUGUCAUUCGUCGGAAAGGAGAAGAGGAGUUGUUGUGACGGCUGGUCCAGGCGGUGGAUUUAUUGGAGAUUUAGAUGGAGCUUCCGGUGAGGGAGGGGUCGCGGAUGGAGGUCGAAGGUAGUUUCCGACGGUGGUGGUUGGAGUUUGGGAUUUCGCGGCGACGAGAUGAAGAGUGAAUGGGUUAUGCGUUGUUGUUAGGUUGGAACGCGGACGGAGGUUUGCCGGCGGUGAGCGGAUCUGUGUUGAUUCCGACGGAAGGAAGGCGGUUGUUUGGCGCUGUGGAGAAGAAUAGGGAACAAUUUCUUUCUCUUUUUAUUUUCCUCCCCUUUCUUCAUGUUCAGAGGGAGAGAUUAUCAUUUUGGAGAGUGAGAGGACUGGUUUUCUUGUGGUCCUCUCUCUUAUUUUCUUUAUCGUUUUCUUUUUUCUAUUUUCUUGAUUUUUUGCUAAGAGAGAGUGAUUAUUGAGGAGUCAGGUCAGUCCCCUAGAGAGAGAAGAGAGGUCGCCUUUUAUUUUGUGGAUUCCCUUUUUUUUUUAUCGUUUUCCUUUCUUUUAGCGGACCGUUGGAGACCCUUAGUGGAGAUAGAUGCGUGCUAGCUGUCACCUUUUUCCAGCGAGCGAGAGAGAGGAUUUGGAAGAAACUUUUUAUUUUAUUUAUUUUCAGAUUUUUUUAAUAAUAAUAUUAAUUAAAUCUCAAAUUUUGAUUGGAUAAAGGGGAUAAGUGUGAAUUGCUAAUUAGGAGCAUUGAUUAAUUUGAAUCGAUGAUUCAGAUUAAAUCAAAGAAGCACAAACAAUUUAAAAUGGCAAAGUUCCCCUUCUAGAUGAUUUAAAUGGAAUUAAAUCAAUGAAUUCAAAUAAAAUUCACAACUUUUCACAUAAUCAUGAUAAAAUUAAAAUAAGAGCAUGGAAAAUUCUAUUUAUUUAAUCUGGAAAUUUUGGCGAAAGAAUAAAAUUAAAACGAAUAAAAAUAAAUAAAAGUCGGGCGAAAAUUAUCUUGAAAAAUUAAAUCGGAUGCACUAAAAUGAUCAGCACGAAAUAUACUUAUUAAAAAAAUACAGUGUUUCUUUAAAUUCUAAAAUAAAUUUUCACCGGUUAAAAGGCUCAAACAGAUUAAAAUGCAACUGAAAAAGUCGUCGAAAAAUAUAACGAGCACACCAGGCUGAACCACGUGAACUGUAGAUUAAUAAUACUGGCGUGUGUAAGUUUGAUUUCGAAACUUUUUACCCGCUGAUUUUGCACGUACUUGAGGAAUGAUUUAACCAAUUUGACUGUAUAUUCGAGAAUUCAUUUCGAUUGAUAUUUUAGGUAUUAUUCAUGAUGAAGUGCAUUUUAUGCUGUACAUAUGAUGCAAACUGAAAUUAAAAUCGAAUUUAUAAAAGUUUUAAAAUGCCCGGACAAAAUUGGGGUACGAAAAGACUCGAAUUUUGUCCUUUGGAAACACAAGGAAGAAAUGCAGAAAGAAAAUGCAGUGAGAAAUACAGUAAGAAAUGUUUUUAGGAGGUAAAAUGAAACAAUCAAGACUCUCUGGGAAUCGUCAUAACAAUAUCUCGGAUGUCACAAUCGAGAUUUUCCAACAAUGGAAUGAUACCUCAACUGUACCUAAGACUUUCUGAGCAUUAGCAGAACAACGUCUUGAUUUGAAUGCAUGAGAUUCUCUGAGUAUCAAUGAAGCAAUAUCCCAUAUGAUAUAAUCAAGAUAUUCCGACAAGGGAAUGAUACCUCAAUCGUAUUUAAGAUUCUCCGAGGACACCUAGAUCAGUAUCUCUAAAAGUUGAAUGAGACUCUUCAUAUCGAUGAAGUAGUAUCUUAAACAGAUAAAUGAGAUUCUCUAUAUCACACUGAAGCAACAUCUUAUAUGAUAGAAUUACGAUAUUCCAACAUGGGGAAUGAUACCUUAAUUGAAUCUAAGACUUUUCAAGGAUACUAGAGAAGUAUCUCAAAAAACAAGUGAGAUUCUUCAUAUUGAUGAAGCAGUAUCUCAAAUAUUCGUCUGUUGGGGGAAAUAUCUUAGAAAAGACUCUUUUUGGAGGAGAUUUACUGGAAAAGCUCUGUAGGGGGAAAGCUCAUAAGAGACUUUUUAUGGUAACCUCUGCUUGGAGAGGAAUGAUAGCAAAGAAAAUGUUUGGAAUAUCAUUAUUAAUCAUAAAGUUGAAAAAUGAUUUGCUGAGAAAUAAUUCCACGAGCACAUGCAGGGUAAUAACUUUAUUUAGAAAUAAGGAAAGUUGGGGAUGCAUAUGAAUGACCCUGGAUCCUGAUAUUUUGGUGUGAUUUUUGUAUGAUAUUCCACUUUAGGUGGAAAUACCAUGCAUGGGAUGAUGCAUGAUAUACAUUCAGGGAUGCAAUUGCUGGGGAUAUUUAGGAUGUGCAUGGGAAUGUAACUGAUUUUUGAUUUUAUAUAAGGUUAUGCAUAAGUAUGCUGAUGAUUGGUGGUAUCAUGUUUGAUGAAUUUUUCAGUUUGGUAGGAAAAUAAUUUAUGAAUGAUUCAUGUGAUGCAUGUGGGAAUACAAAUGGGUAACUGUAUAUUUUUGUAGGGCUUUAUUUUUUCAAUGAGAUUGUUGGAGAAUAUCAUCAUCAAAGGGUUGAUGGAAAGGUAAUUGUCAUCGUCAAAGAGUUGACGGAAAGGUAAAUGGCAUCAUUAGAGGGCUGAUGGUAAUUAAUUUGUUGUAAAAUGUCAUCAUCAGAGGGCUGAUGGAAAAGAAUUUGUCAUCGUCAAAGGGUUGACAAAAAGAAAUAAAGGAUGUCAUCACCAAAGGGUUGGUGGAAUAAAAAUUUGUCAUCGUCAAAGGGUUGACGGAAAGGAACUUUGUCAUCGUCAAAGGGUUGACAAGAAGAAACUUCACUAUGGAGUGGCAUCAUCAAAGGUUUGAUGGAAAUUUUUUAUCAUCAUCAAAGGCUUGACGGAAAGAAAUAAACGAUGGCAUCACCAAAGGGUUGGUGGAAAAGGAAUCAUAUAUGUAGUAUCAUUGUCAAAGGGUUGACGGAGGGAAACUUCACUAUGGAGUGGCAUCACCAAAGGGUUGGUGGAAAAGACUGUCAUCAUCAGAGGGCAGAUGGAAAAGAGUUUGUCAUCGUCAAAGGGUUGACGAAAAUAAACUUCACUAAGGAGUGGCAUCAUCAAAGGGUUAAUGGAAAAGGAGACCUCACUAUGGAGUGGCAUCACCAAAGGGUUGGUGGAAAAGGACGAUCAUCAUCAGGGGGCUGAUGGAGAAGAGACCUCACUAUGGAGUGGCAUCACCAAAGGGUUAGUGGAAAGGAUGAUUAUCAUCAAAGGGAUGAUGGAGAAGAGACCUCACUAUGGAGUGGCAUCACCAAAGAGUUGGUGGAAAGGAUGAUCAUCAUCAGAAGGCUGAUGGAAAAGAGUUUGUCAUUGUCAAAGGGUUGACGGAAAGAAACUUUACUAGGGAGUGGCAUCAUCAAAGGGUUGAUGGAAAAGGAGACCUCACUAGGGAGUGGCAUCACCAAAGGAUUGGUGGAAAAGGAUGAUCAUCAUCAGGGGGCUGAUGGAGAAGAGACCUCACUAUGGAGUGGCAUCACCAAAGGGUUGGUGGAAAGGAUGAUCAUCAUCAGAGGGCUAAUGGAGAAGAGACCUCACUACGGAGUGGAAUCACCAAAGGUUUGGUAGAAAGGAUGAUCAUCAUCAGAGGGCUGAUGGAAAAGAAAUUGUCAUCGUCAAAGGGUUGACGGGAAGAAUCUUCACUGUGGAGUGGCAUCAUCAAAGGGUUGAUGGAAAGAAUUUAUCAUCAUCAAAGGGUUGACGAAAAGAAACUUCACUAGGGAGUGGCAUCAUCAAAGGGUUGAUGGAAAAGGAUGAUCAUCAUCAGAGGGCUGAUGGAAAAGAGACCUGACUAUGGAGUGGCAUCAUCAAAGGGUUGAUGGAAAAAAUUAAAAGACGUCAUCACCAAAGGGUUGGUGGAAAAGAAAUGGUCAUCAUCAAAGGAUUGACAGAAAUAAUUAAGGGAUAUCAUCACCAAAGGGUUGGUGGAAAAGAAAAUUUGUCAUCGUCAAAGGGUAGACGGAAAGGAACUUCACUAUGGAGUGGCAUCACCAAAAGGUUGGUGGAAGGAAAUUCGUUGUAAAAGGUCUUCAUCAGAGGGCUGAUGGAAAAAAGAGAUCAGGUUAUGUCCUCAUCAAGGGGUUAAUGGGAAGGAAUUAUUAUGUUAUGUAUGCAUAUGAUGCAUGUUAAUGGAAAUUUCUUGUUUUUGUGAGAGAGCUUUUGCUAUGCAACUUCCUGAUUUGGCAGGAGAGUCAUGUGUGUUCAUUGUAUGCAGUGCAUGUGGUAAUGCAAGAGGAUUAUCGGUUGUUUUUGGCUUAAUCUCCCUUUUGGGAGGUGAGACUUUCUUGAUACCAAUGUUGAUUGGAUUUGGAUUCAUGAAGAUGCCAACAAAGUGGAUUUUUAUUGGUUGCCAAUAUGGAUUGGACUUUGGUUUCGGAUAUGCCAAUAGGGAUUGGACUUUGACAUUAUGAGGAUGCCAACAAAGUGGACAUUUAUUUUUAGUAGUUGCCAAUAUGGAUUGGACUUUUGGUUGGUAAAAGGUUUUGACUUCCCGACACUCUGUAUUUUGAAGAUGCGAUGAUCAAAGGAUAGAUGUGGAUGCUUUUGGUGCCCCAAAUUUGAUCUGUUGUUGAUAUAUUGUGUGUUUAGUCUUGAGAGGACCUCAACUUCUUUGCUUGAUAUGCUUUGAUGGCUUGUAAAUGAGCAUAAUGACGUAAUCAAUGCAUAAUGAUUGUGCUCUUGCUCUUCCCUAAGGCUCUUUACAACUUGUAUGCCCCAACCUUUAGGGUCUUUUAAAGGAAUUCAUCUUUGAAAGGAAACCCUGGGAAUGCACAUACCAUGGCUUGAACCAACUUUGGCCCAGUACAUGGAUCAUGCAGUGGUUUUCCCCUGAUUAAGAUUUUGAAAGGCUUGCCCCAGAUGGACUGGAUAUUUUGAAAUUGUUUGCCUCCUUGAUCAACUGAUGCUUGGAGUUUGUCUUUUGACUGACCAAUUCAUAGUCAUUAGAUGCCAUGCCCUUGAUCCAUAGGGUUAAGAGGUGGUCUUGAUUCGGAUCAGCACCAACGGAUGUUCAAGUUCCUCUGAUUGUUCCUUAUUGUUGGAAUUUCCUUGAUAUAAAGUACUAACUUGCAGUUAAAAUUGUUUAUUUAAUCAAUGGUAAUUUUAAUGCGAUAUUCAUGCAGGUUUGAAAAAUCAUUUAUUGAGGUGAUGUGAUUAUGUGUGACGAAUGAACCAUUAGUCCAAACGCAGUGCUGAUUUAUCUAGUGUGUGAAAGAUAUAGCAAGAAUAUGAUCCCAUAUACAGGUGAUUAGCAAAUAUUUAGGAGCCAGUUUACACAUCUUUGCUGUAGUAUGCUUUCAGAAUAAACCUUUCUUCAAUUAGGUCUUUUAAGGGUUGUAACGUGGCUUGGUUCACGGUUACUGACACAAAGGAUGUAGGACUCAAAUUUUGUUUUAACCCACCCUAUCUUCAUGAUGAUCUCCAAUCCUACAUUAAGUUAAACACACACAUUCAACUUUUAAGAGAGUUUGGCAGUGUAAGAUCUCUUGAAAUGGCAGUCAUCUUAUUUUGCUCUUCAUGGAUGUUGGUGACACUUUGAUUUUGGUAUGGUGGUCACUGAAUCUUGUUUUGCUUUGUUGAGGGUUUUCAUUGCCUCUUUUGAUUUUUGUUUUGAUCCCUAACGUUUUCCUGUACCGCUUUUGAAGCUUUGGUCCAUCGGGAUUUCCCCAUGUUUUUGCCUAAGUCUCUUUUUGGGGAUCGACUUAGCAGGCUUUUUUUCUUUUGUUUGAAAAAUUGUGACUUCCAAGUCAUUGGUCAUUGAAGAACAAUCGACAUAAAUUUUGGAUUUUGUAUGGUUAUUUACCACUUCAGGAUGUGUUCGCAGAUUAUCAUGUGGUUGAUCCUCUGACGGGGUGUUUCAUCUUAUAAUUUGAAUGCGUAGUCAGAUUAACUGAACACUACCCUGCCCCAGGUUAAGCGUAAGGGUUUGUAAAUCCGAAAUAAAGUCCUACUUCUAGGCUCGAAGUGGUUGACUAGGGAUUAACUCCUUAUCUCUCCAGUGUUUGGGGAUUUAAAACAAUGCCUGUACAUCAUCAGCAAGAUUUUAUCCGAAAGCAUACAGUCAGCCAUUAUGGGUAUUUCAUUUUCGUCAUCCUCCCUUCAAUCUUUUCUAAAAUAACUAUUUGAUAAACGAAUGGGAGUAAUAUUUUUGUUUUUUGAUAUAAAUGGAAAAUAUGAGUGAAUACGAAAGGAUUCAUUAAAAACACACAUAAUCAUUUCAUUAAUAUUACCAUUAAAAGAAGUCAACAAUACUUGAAAGCAGAUAAGUACCUGACAUGCAAAGAAAAAUACAAAUGAAAUGCUAGAAAUAGCCAAAUGAUAGUCAAUGCAGAGGAAGCUCUCUCGUGUCUAGUUCACUACUGGGCUAGCCUCCUUCAGAGUAGUGGUAGUUUUGCUCGUCGAGACUAGUAUGAUAAUCAUCUUCAGACCUAUUCUCGGAAUUUUCUUCCAUAACAUGGACUGAUGGACCCACAUAUCUAGGUGAAGAAGUAUUAUUGAUUUUCAAGCUUCGAGGUGUAAAUGAGAACAUCUUGGAAUCAAGCAGGGUUUGUACUUUUCUCUUGAGAACCUUACAGUCUUUAGUUGAAUGCCCAUGUGCCCCAUCAUGGAAGUCACAUUGGGAGUUGGCGUCAAAACCUGGUGGAUACAGAGGAAUGACUGGAUUUAGCUUCUUUGGCACUAUCAGUCCUCUCUCAAUCAAAUACGGAAGUACUUGACUGUAUGUCAUUGGAAGUGGAUCGAUGUGUCUCUCUAGCUUUCUUGGCCUUCAUUGAGCCUGUUGACAUUGUCGAUGUGGAACAUCCUGUCAUUUGUAUGGUCGUUGAGGUGGAACUGUUGUUGAUGUUGAGGAGAUCUUUGAUGUGGAGAGGAUGAUCUCUGAUAUGGAGCUUAUGGGAUUUCCCAAACUGCAUUAAUUUCAACCUCUUCUUCCUUUAGUGAACUGAUAAUAUAUUCAAUCUCAAUGUUCUGGCUAUUUGAGGCGUGUUGGAUUCUUCCACUUUCAAAGCCAUACUCGACGCGUUCUCCAAUUGACACCAAGUGAGCGAAGUCUGAUGCUACACUGCUAAUCAUCCUUUCGAAGUAAGGGCUUUGCAAAGUAUCCCUGAAUAAUCCCAUCAAUUCUUUUUCUAAGAGUGGUGGUUCAAUGCAAUCCGCUAACUCUCUCCAUCUUUGGGCAUACCCUCUGAAGGAUUCAUCGCUUUCCUUAGAUAAGGCUCUUAACUGCAUGUGAUCAGGAGCUAUGUCCAAAUUAUAUUUGUAUUACUUCAAGAAGUCGUUAGCUAGGUCCAACCAUGGUUGAACAUGAUUCCUUUCUAACUUCAUAUACCAACUCAUUGAUGCCCCAGUUAAACUGUCUUGAAAACAAUGAAUCAUUAGCUUAUCAUUAUGGGCAUGAGAGGUCAUUUUUCGACAAAACAUCACCAAAUGGUGCUUUGGAUAGCCACCCCCUUUGUACUUCUCAAAUUUUGGUACUUUGAAUUUUGGGAUUAUAACCAGGCUAGGUACCAAACACAUGUUUGAAGCAUUCAGUUCAGGAUUAUCUUGUCCUUCUAUGGCCUUGAGUCUUUUCUCAAGCACACAACAUCUUUCAACGAUCUCAUCAUCUUGUGGUCAUUCAGUAUUAACCACUAGGCGUGUUCCAUGGGAAUUUGGCACGGAGAAUGCAAAGUUAUGAUAUUCAACACCAUCAUGAUAUGAGGAAUCUCGAACAUUAUGACGUUCUUGUACAACAGGGUUAUCAACUAGGGUUUGCACGGGCCGAGGCUGGGUGAGAUCAUUUAUUGGAGCUGGAAUAACAUUCUCAAUGACUGUAGUCUACUGAAUGUUGUCUUCCCUCUUUGAUAAAGCUAUCAUAGCCUCAACAAGUUAGUCUAUCUGGUUUUUCAUCGAGUCAACAUCUCCUCUUAAUGCAAUAUGACUUUGCUCCAAUGGAUCCAUGGUCUUUCAAGAGCUACUUCAAGUAUGAUAUGAGUGUCGGGAAUUCAACUGCAGGUUAUGAAGGAUGGAUGAGUCUUUUGUAUAUUUUGUGAAAAAUGAUAUGUAACGCAUGAUAAAUGCAGAUGCCGUGAUAUGUGUAUGAAUGAAGUGACAUGUUCAGGAUCACAGGUUCAAGGUAUUCUCAGGUUAAUUAGAAUAACGGGUAAAUGAUAGGUAUCUCUGAUUAAUGGAACCCCAUGGGAUAGGCUCUACAGUUGGUAGGUUCUUAGAGUCACGAAUAUUUCUUGAGAACAUCAUUGUCGUGACGAAGACUCAUCGGAUAAUAAUAUCCUUAAGAUGAUCUCGUCUAGGCGAGGUCUUCGUAUUGUCCCAACAAGGAAGGCUCCAUGGGGAUUCUACUACACAACUCUCGAGUCCAUGGUUCUAACAAGGUUCUUAGAGUCAUAGAUCGAGGUUGGAAAUAUUACUGUAAGAUAGUAAUACGUCCAAGGGAUCUCAUCUGAUUGGGGCUUUCAUAUUAACCCAACAAGUCUGAAACUUCGUAGGUUAAUACUACAUAAACGCCGGAUAGAGUGGGUUAAAAGGUCCCUAGAGUCAUUGAUCCAACUUGAAAAUACUAUCGUCGUGAAGAAGACUCGUUGGACAAUAAUAUCUCAAGAGAAUCUACUCUAGGUGGGGUCUUUGUAUCGUCCCAACAAGGAAGACUCCUUGUGGGCCUCCACCACACAACCACCAACUUAAUCUUAUGGUACUUCUCAGACUCGGGUGUAGAGCCUGUCUCACAAGGUACCAAUAACCAGAGAGCCCCAAAUAAGACAUAGUUAAUAAACCACAAAUCAAUAAUUACAACAGAAUAAUAAUAACAGAAUAAAGGUAACAAAAAAACAAGGUUAACACUCAACACAGAAACUGAACUAAGUUAGGCUUGACUCUCUCUUGCUUAGAGCUAAAUGUCCCCUGCAGAGUCUCCAUCUGUCGCAUCUCGAAAAAUACGAUUCCUCGCGAUGGUCGCGGAAAAAUUAUGUUCGAACAGAGUCGCCACCUACCUUUAUUUAUCCCAAUGAAGGAAUAGGAAAAUAUCGAUAAAACCUUUAGAAAGUAGAAUAAUGGUCAUCGCAACCAUAUUCGAGUUCCGGAGUCGAUUACGCAAGGGGAAGGUAUUAGCACCCCUCACGUCUGUUGUACUCAACGGGAACCUUUUAGUUUAAUUUGAGAUUUGAAUGUUAGCUUAUGUUGUUUGUUUUCUUCGAGUGAAUAAAAGAUUAAAAUAGAGAUGGAUGGAAACCUCAUAAAGGGGAAAGGGAGGUUUUUUAUUAGUGUGCUCGCCAAGAUCUCGCAAUCUCGUGCCUACGUAUCCUUAUGGUGCAAUAAGGAAAUCAGAGCAUUCGUAGUUCGGGGAACUACGGUUUGUUGGCGUCUUUUAGCGAACAACUGUUUAGAUCGCGUUCUAAAGGUUAAAUGUUGGCUUGCCUACUCUCGACGUAGGCUUAAGCACUAGUUUGUUGUGUGCAUUAGAAAGGAUUAAACAGUGUUCUUUCUGAAAAGAGUUUUGGUCACACGGGGGUGACAAGUUGAGUUAAUAUGUUGGGUGUUUUGUUGGAUUGGUUUUGAUCGCACGGGGGAGAGAAAGAGAUUUAAUGUGUUGUGAUAUCUUGUUGGAUGAUGAUUACUCGGAUGAUCGAGUAAGACAACUGUGAUAUCUUGUUUGAUAAUAAUUAAGGUGUUUUAAAAGGAUGAAGAAUACUCGGAUAGUCGAGUAAGACAACUCUUAUCCUAAUAGUCAGGAAAGGGAAUAAAAGACUCUAGACCACCUUCUUUUUCAUCUGAGUGAUUGUGAGAAUAGGAUUAUGUAUGGUUGAUGUAUUUUUCGAAUGAAUGACAAGUACUUGAAUGGCUGAGUAAGACAACUCUUAUCCAAGCAUUUGAGGAGAGGAAUCGAAGGCUCUAGACCAUCUCCCUUUUCGCAUAGUUUAUUGUGAAAAUGAUUUAAUUAAGUUAUAUGUUUGUGGAAAAAUGACAAUUGUUUGACUAACCGAGUAAGAGAACUCGUAUUCAAUCAAUAUAGAAGAGAAGUUGAAGGCUAAAAAUCAUCUCCCUUUUCAUUUCAUUAUUAUGAAAAUAAUUUGAUUUAAUCUUGGUUUAAGGUUUGUAAAGAAACGACGAUUGUCUAACUGAGCGAGUAAGAAAACUCGUAUUCAAACAAUCGAGGAGAGGAGUUAAAGGCUUAAAAUCAUCCCCCUUUUCAUUUAGUUUAUUAUACGAAUGUUUUGAUUUAAUUAUGCUUAAGCGGAUUAGAAAUGACAAUUAUUUGACUAACCGAGUAAGAGAACUCGUUAAUCGAGGAGAGGAGUUGAAAACUCAAAACCAUCCCCCUUUUCACUUCGUAAUUAUGAAAUGGUAUUUAAUUGUGAUUAGGUGUUUUGAUAAUUAAUUUUGAACAACAUACACGACAUUGGAUCGAGGGUUGAAUUGGUGUUUGUGAAUAAAUUAUAUUUUAAUGAAUCAAUCAUCUAAUCGAUUAAUUAAUAACCGAAUAGGUCUCACUGUAAGAAAGCUCAAGAGUAAGCUAUGUGAGGUUGAUGGCGAUGCUUAGAAGCAAUCGACUUACAAGGUAUUUGAAAAUAGGCUCGACAUGGAAUCGAGAAGUAUGUGAUCUUUUAAAUGGUUUGAAUGGUUUAUAUUAUGAAGUGAUAGCAAAAAUGAUCGUGAAACAAAUCGGUCAACUUUUAAAAAAUAAAAUUAAUUAAUUAAAAUUCAAUUAAUCCAUCUAAUUAAGAUAAUUAAAAUUAAUUAUCAAAAUUAUUCGAUUAAAAAUUAAUGUAAUCAAAUAAUUAAGUUAAUUAAAAUUAGUUAACGAAAUUAUCUAAUUAAUCAAGACUUUAAUUAAUUAAUCAAUUUAGAAAAAGAAAUAAGUGACAAUAUUGAAUAUUAAAUAAUUGAAUCGAAUCAGCCACCAUAUGCUCACAAACCGGUUUGUACAAUGCGACAAUGGAAUUGAAAUGUCGUAUGUGAAGAUCAAAACGUGGCGAAAUGCUCGAUUGAUUUGUUAAAAUUUAAUGAUAUACCAGCAUGAAAUUGCCGGAUCCGCAAAUUAAAAUUCCAUUUUAAGCGCAAUGAAGACCCAAUAGAAACCCAAUCAAUAUAUGACAUGUGACACUAAUAUUAACAAUGAUCAUAAAAGAAUACCUAACGUUUGCUUUCUUUUAUUCACAUGAAAUUGGUAUACAUGCCAAUAACAUUUCACCAACUUCACGCUCUUGAAUUAACGAAUUGAUUAAUUAUUCAUCACCAAUUUCCACACUUUAAAUAAUAAUCUAAAACCGAACUCUGACUUUUCAUAUUAAGGCAUAUAUCAUGUUUUUAGAAAAUAGAAUGUACUUAUUAACAAAAGAAAAGAAUUAGAAAAAAAAAUUGUCAAUAUAAUGAACACAGUGUAUUAGAGUGGAAUAACCAAGGCUAUGAAUACAAUGCCUCGUUACGAGCCUCCCUGGAAUAAUAAUAUCAUCAUCACCUAACCAAUGUUCAAAUUAAAACACCAAAGACUAUGAAGGAUUCAGCGCAUCUUAAAGUCAUAACAACAAGCAUAAUCCCACAACAGUAUACAUCCCCUUUGUAAAUUUAUAUUAAACCCAGAUUUUAAUAAUAUUGAAAGAACCAAAUACAAACUUAAAUGUAUAAGUUUUACAUAAACAGUUAUCCAAAUGGAAAUAAUUGAGCGUUACCGAAACAACGGUAUGGUCAGAGAUCGUUGGCGGCGAUUUGGGAUGUCGCUCGGUAAUCGCGCAUGUUGGCGACGAUUUGGGGAUAUCGACGGUGAGUGGUUGUUGUUGGAGGAAAGGGGCGUCGCCGACGAUUGAGAAGGUUUGAUGUGAGAGUAGGUGUGAAAAGGAGGAAACGGCGGUUUCGCGGUGGUGGUGUAGUGGAAGUUGUUCGUCGGAAAGGCGAAGAGGAGUUGUUGUGACGGACGGUUCCAGGCGGUGGAUUUAUUGGAGAUUCGGAUGGAGUUUCCGGUGAGGGAGGUCGCGGAUGGAGGUCGAAGGUAGUUUCCGGAGGUGGCGGUUGGAGUUUGGGGUUUCGCGGCGACGAGAUGAAGAGUGAAGGGGUUGUGCGUUGUUGUUGGGUUGGAACGCGGAUGGAGGCUUGCCAGCGGUGAGCGGAUCUAUGUUGAUUCUGGCGGAAGGAAGGCGGUUGUUUGGCGCUGUGGAGAAAAAUAUGGAAAAAUUUCUUUCUCUUUUUAUUUUCUUCCCCUUUCUUCACGUUCAGAGUGAAAGAGCGUCAUUUUGGAGAGUGAGAGGAGCGGUUUUCCUGUGGUCCUCUCUCUUGUUUUCUUUAUCGUUUUCUUUUUUCUAUUUUCUUAAUUUUUUGCUGAGAGAGAGUGAUGAUUGAGGAGUCAAGUCAGUCCCCUAGAGAGAGAAGAGAGGUCGCCUUUUAUUUUGUGGGUUCCUUUUUUUUUAUCGUUUUCCUUUCUUUUAGUGUACCGUUGGAGACCCUUAGUGGAGAUGGAUGCGUGUUAGUUGUCGUGUUAGUUGUCAUCUUUUGCCAGCGAGCAAGAGAGAGGAUUUGGAGAGAAACUUUUUAUUUUCAUAUUUUUCUAAUAAUAGUAUUAAUUAAAUCCCAAAUUUUGAUUGGAUAAAUGGGAUAAGUGUGGAUUGCUAACGAGGAGCAUUGAUUAAUUUGAAUCGUUGAUUCAGAUUAAAUCAAAGAAGCACAAACAAUUUAAAAUGGCAAACUUCCCCUUCUAGAUGAUUUAAAUGGAAUUAAAUCAUUUAAUUCAAAUAAAAUUCACAACUUUUCACAUAAUCAUGAUAAAAUUAAAAUAAGAGCAUGGAAAAUUCUAUUUAUUUAAUCUGGAAAUUUUGGCGAAAGAAUAAAAUUAAAACGACUAAAAAUGAAUAAAAGUCGGGCAAAAAUUUGCUCGAAAAAUUAAAUCGGAUGCAUGAAAAUGAUCAACACGAGAUAUACUUAUUAAAAAAAUACAAUGUUUCUUUAAAUUCUGAAAUAAAUUUUCAUCGGUUAAAAGGCUCAAAUGGAUUAAAAUGCAGCUGAAAAAGUCCUUGAAAAAUAUAACGAGCACACCAGGCUGAACCACGCGAACUGUAGAUUAAUAAUAAUGGCGUCUGUAAGUUUGAUUUCGAAACUUUUUACCCGCUGAUUUUGCACGUACUUGACGAAUGAUUUAACCAAUUUGACUGUAUAUUCAAUAAUUCAUUUCGAUUGAUAUUUUAGGUAUUAUUCAUGAUGAAAUGCAUUUUAUGAUGUACAUAUGAUGCAAACUGAAAUUAAAAUCGAAUUUAUAAAAGUUUUAAAAUGGCGGAACAAAAUUGGGGUAUGACAGGGUCUUUUCAACAUGUUUUGUCCUUACUCACACGCUUUCCAGGAAACUUCCCAGAAGGUCACCUAUCCAAAUACUACUCCAAGUCAAACACGCUUAACUAUGGAGUUCUUAUUUGUUAGGCUACCAAAAAGAAGAUGCAUCUUAUUGGUAUAGGUAGUACCAAUUAAUCCUUAUAAGGCUUCCUUCAACGAUGCAGUCCCAUACUUGCACAGCCUCAAGAUCCCUCUCAUUCCGAUGUGGAUUCAAUUUUUCCCUAGAAGCUGCUAGGAGUGUCCUUACUCACACGCUUUCCGAGAUCCCACCAGCUUCGACUUGGUUUUUCCCCGAACCAUAUUGUACUGGGAGAGGUACGACUCUGAUACCAUUUGUAACACCCCAGACUACUUUCAGAAUUAUCGAAUGACCCCACAAACCAACACGGGUCUUUUCAGCAUGUUUUAUCCUCACUUACACACUUUCCAGGAAACUUCCUAGACGGUCACUCAUCCAAAUACUACUCCAAGUCAAGCACACUUAACUAUGGAGUUCUUAUCUGUUAGGCUACUGGAAAAAAAGACGCAUCUUAUUGGUAUAUGUAGUACCAAUUAAUCCUUAUAAGCCUUCCUUCAACGAUGCAGUCCCAUACCUGCACAGCCUCAGGAUCCCUCUCAUUCCGAUGUGAAUUCGGUUUUUCCCUAGAAGUUGCUAGGAGUGUCUCAUUGUCAUGCCUCAUGCACCUACAACCACUCCAUCACCCUCGAGUGUAACAUGUAACCACUAUAUGUCCUCUCUGGACUUGGGUGUUACAUGCCCACCAGCUUCCGCUUGGUUCCUUCCCGAACCACAUCGUAUUGGAAAAGGCACGGCUCUGAUACCAUUUGUAACACCCCAAACUACUUUCAAAAUUAUCGACUGACCCCAUAAACCAACACAGAUCUUUUCAGCAUGUUUUAUCCUCACUCAUACGCUUUCUGGGAAACUUCCCAGAAGGUCACCCAUCCAAAUACUACUCCAAGUCAAGCACGCUUAAAUAUGGAGUUCUUAUCUGUUUGGUUACCGAAAAGAAGAUGCAUCUUGUUGGUAUAUGUAGUUCCAAUUAAUCCCUAUAAGUGUUCCUUCAAUGACGUAGUCCCAUACAUGCACAACCUCAAGAUCCCUCUCAUCUUGAUGUGGAUUCGAUUUUUCCCUAGAAGCUGCUAGGAGUGUCUCGUUGUCAUACCUCAUGCACCGACAACCACUCCCUCUCCUUCAGGUAUUAGAUGUAUCCACUCUCCGCCCUCUUAGGCCUCGGGUGUUACAUGUAAAAUAUGAAAGGUGAUAUUUGAACUCACUACCUCUCAUACUCAUAACUCCUUAGCCAUACUCUCCAUCCAUUAGACCAUUGCACCCAUCCUAAGAAAUGUGAGAUUCAAACUCACAACCUCUCAUGCUCAUAAUUUCUUACCCAUACACUACCAUCCAUUAGGCCAUUGCUGCUCUGAUACCAUUUGUAACGCCUCAUACUGCUCUCAGGAUUACCGACUGACCCCACAAACCAACACGGGUAUUUUUAACACGCUUUGUCCUUACUCACACACUUUACGGAAAACUUCCCAGAAGGUCACCCAUCUAAAUACUACUCCAAGUCAAGCACGUUUAACUAUGAAGUUCUUAUCUGUUAGGCUACUGAAAAGAAGAUGCAUCUUGUUUUCGGUAGCCUAACAGAUAAGAACUCCAUAGUUAAGCGUUCUUGACUUGGAGUAGUAUUUGGAUGGGUGACCUUCUGGGAAGUUUCCCAAAAAGCGUGUGAGUGAGGACAAAACAUACUGAAAAGACCCGUGUUGGUUUGUGGGGUCAGUCAAUAAUUAUGAAAGUAAUUUGGAUUAGGCUAGAAGACAUCUUUCCACAUCUUAGGGUGCGGGCUGGUAAUGAUGUAUGAUGUUGUUGACUUCCUCCUCUGGGACGCAACGACGAAAGAUACCAUCAACACCUCUUUUGAAAAGGAGAGGCUCAUCCCAGUAGUAGUGUUUCAGUUCAUGGAAGAAUUUAUUCUUCUGCUGGUAAGUUAGCCUUGAAGGAAGUUCUCCGGCUACUAGGUAGUUGACAAAGUCAGUGUACCACGAUACAGUAGUUUUAGUAAUUAUGGCCUCCACAACCUCUUCAAUUUCUGCAUCUUUAAAAGUUAAAGAGUACUCAGUUGUGUUACUUUCAAUUUGAGCUACAAGUCGAUCAUAUGGAAAAUCAUCGUUGAUUGGUUAUUGCUCGAUUUUCAUAUUCUCGAGUAUAGACAGGUGGUCGGCAACAACGUUUUCAGUUCCCUUCUUGUAUUUGAUCUCCAAGUUGAAUUCUUGCAAGAGAAGAAUCCAUCUUAAGAGCCUUGGUUUGGCAUAUUUUUUAUUCAAUAGAUACCUGAUUGCGGCGUGAUCAGUGUAGAUAAUUAUUUUAGCUCCUACCAAGUAGGAACGAAAUUUAUCUAACGCGAAAACAACAACUAGGAGCUCAUUUUCAGUCGUGGCGUAGUUCAUUUGUGCUUGGUCCAAGGUUCUACUUGCAUCAAAGAUCGCAUGAAGCUUUUUAUCAGUUCUAUGUCCCAAGGCCGCGCCUACAACAUAAUCACUCACGUCACACAUCAUCUCAAAAGGUCUGCUCCAAUCAGGUAGUUGCAUGAUGGGCACAAUUAUUAGGGCGUUUUUCAAUAAUUCGAACGCCUCCAGACAUUUUUCCGUCAAAGACGAAUUUCAUGUCUUUCAUUAAUAAGUUGGUUAAUGGUUUUGUUAUUUUACAAAAAUCUUUAAUAAACCGGCGGUAAAAACCGGCGUGUCCUAAAAAGCUUCAUAUUUCUCUAACAUAUUUCGAGGGUUGGAGGUUUUCUAUAACCUCUAUUUUUGCUUUGUCGACUUCAAUCCCCUUAUUGGACACUAUAUGUCCAAGUAUUAUCCCUUGUUUAACCAUGAAAUGAAAUUUUUCCCAAUUUAUCACGAGAUUAACCUUCACACAUCUAUCAAGUGCCAUUUCUAGGUUUUUUAGACAACCUUCGAAACUCUACCCACAAACGAAAAAAUCAUCCAUAAACACCUCGAUGAUGUUGUCUAUAUAGUCUGCGAAAAUUGACAUCAUGCACCUUUAAAAUGUUGCGGGAGCAUUACAAAGUCCAAAUGACAUUCGUCUGUAGGCAAAUGUACCAAAGGACAUGUGAAAGUUGUCUUUUCUUGGUCAUUAGGAUGGAUGGGAAUUUGAAAGAAUCCUGAGUAACCAUCCAGAUAUCAAAAAUGAGAGUGCUUAGCUAAUCGUUCCAGCAUUUGAUCGAUAAAAGUUAAGGGGAAGUGAUCCUUGUGAGUGACUUUAUUUAAUUUUAGGUAAUCAAUGCACAUCCUCCAUCCAGUUACUACAUGUUUAGCUAAAAUCUCUCCCUUUUUGUUAUCGACAACCGUAACACCACCUUUCUUGGGUACUACAUGUACUGGGCUGACCCAUUUACUGUCAGAUAUGGGAUAUAUAAUAUCUGCCUCUAAUAACUUCAACACUUCUUUUCUUACAACAUUGCUCAUAAUCGGGUUUAGAUGCCUCUGGUGUUCCCUAGAGGUUUUCGAGUCUUCUUCUAGCAUAAUGCGAUGCAUGUAUAGAGAGGGACUAAUUCAUUUUAAGUCUGAGAUGUUGUUGCCUAAGGAAUUAGGGUAUUUCCUUAGGACAUGUAAUAGUUUUUCAGUUUCUAUUUAUCCUAAAUCGGUGUUGACUAUUACUGGUUUCUCAAGCUCAGUGUCCAGGAAUUCGUAUCUCAUAUUUUUCGGUAGUGUUAUAAGUUCUAUAGAUGGUUUCUUCGAGCAUGGCAUAGGAUUUGGAGUUAUUGCUAGACAUUCCCUUAAACUAUCAUCUACGGAUGGUUCUUUGUAUUGGUCAUCCUCAAGAAUGGGUGGUGUUGUGAUUUUUAGGAUUUCAGUAUCCUCGGAUGGUUCCAUUUUUAUUUCUUUCAUACACUCAUCAAUGAUGUCCAUAAAAUAACAUGUGUCGUCUAUGGCUGGUGCUUUUAGAAAUUGCGAUAAAAUGAAUUCAAUCUUCUCCUCUCCCACUUCGAAAAUCAUUUUUCCUCGUUUCACAUCUAUAAUGGCACCGGCAGUUGCUAGGAAGGGUCUACCUAGGAUAAUUGAGAUGUUAGAAUCUUCUAUGAUGUCCAUUAUUAUGAAAUCGGUAAGGAUGAAGAAUUGGCCGACUUGGACGGGAAUGUUCUCUAGCAUUCCUAUAGGAUACUUAACAGAACAAACUGCUAAUUGUAGAGACAUACUCGUUGGUCUUAACUCUCCCAAUUUGAGUCUUUCGCAGAUGGAAAGGGGCAUCAAACUCGCACUAGCUCCUAAAUUGCAGAGGGCUUUAUCUAUUACAAACUUCCCUAUCACACAAGGUAUGGAAAACUGCCAGGAUCUUUUAGUUUAGGUGGCAUGUUAUUCUAAAUGAUAGCACUACACUCUGUGUUAAGCGUCACUGUCUCAUCAUCCUCAAGUUUCUUCUUGUUAGAUAAGAUUUCUUUUAGGAACUUGGCAUAUGAGGGUAUUUGUGUAAUAGCUUCAUGAAAGGGAUGGUAAUAUUAAGUUGUUUCAAGAGUUCGACGAACUUCCUGAAUUGUCCUUCAGUUUUGGAAUUAUCUAGUAUUUAAGGGUAAGGAAUUGGUGGUUUAUAUGGUGGUGGAGGCACGUAUGGUUUCUCCUUCUCAACUGCCUCUUUGGUUUCAUCUUUUGCCUCUGGUUUAUCAGGUUGGCCAUUUUUCUGAGUCAUCGGCGGAAUUUAUGUUUUGGGAUCAACUGGUCCGUCUAACUUCGUCCCGCUCCAUAAUGUGAUAGCAUUAGCUUGACCUUUCGGUUCGGUUGAGGUUGACCAGGGAAAGUUCUAGCUGAAACUGCGGUAGUUUCUUGAUGCUGGGCUACUUGAGAAAUUUGAGUUUCCAACAUUUUCUUAUGAGUAGCCAAAGCAUCUACUUUAGUUGCUAAUUGUUUCACUAAUUCUGAGGUAUGAACGUUCUGGUUCAUAAACUCCUUAUUUUGUUGCGUUUGAGAAGCAACAAAUUUUUCCAUCAUUAACUCAAGAUUAGAUUUUCUAGGCGUUUGAGGAGCGGCUUGAGGUGCGCUCUGAGUUGGCUUAUGGUAACCAGAAGGUGGUUGGUUUAGAGCAUAUAAGGCAUUGUUAUUCUUAUAAGAGAAGUUAGGAUGGUUUUUCCAACCUGGGUUGUAAGUAUUGGAGUACGGGUUUCCUUGAGCAUAGUUUAAUUGGUCAGGUGUAAUGCCUGCUAGUAAUUGGCAUUCGGAAAUGUCGUGUCCAGGUACUCCACAUAUAUUGUAGCUUAGGGCUAUGGCAUCCACGGUGGCCACGGGAUUUAUGGUUAAACUUUCAAUCUUUUGAGUCAGGGCAUCUACCUUAGCAUUGACGUGAUCUAUGCCAUUGACUUCGUACAUACCUCCUUUUGGUUGAGGUUUCUCUAUAGAAGUGCGCUCUCCACCCUAUUGGUAGUGAUUUUGUUCCAUAUUUUGAAUGAGUUGAUCAGCCUCUUCAUAUGGUUUGUCCCUUAUAGUGACGCCAACUACAACGUCUAAGAUUAAUUUGGUGUUAUAUGAGAGACCACCAUAGAAGGUUUAGAUGAUAAGCCAUGGUUCAAGCCCAUGGUGCGGGCAAAUCCUCAGCAUGUCCUUAUAUCUCUCCCACGCUUCAAAAAGUGAUUUGUUGUCCUUUUGCCUAAAUCCUUUGAUUUGGCUUCUUAGCAUAGCCAUUUUACUAGGUGGGAAAUAUCUGGCUAAGAAACCUUCUUUAAUUCUUCCCAUGUAGUUAUGGAAUUGGAAGGUAAAGACUGAAGCCACACUCUAGCUCUGUCUCUUAAAGAAAAGGGGAAAAGACGUAAUCGUAUUGCUUCAGGAUUAACACCUUAGCUUUUACCGUAUCUGCAUAUUGUAUGAAUACUGACAGAUGGAGAUUCGAAUCGUCUGUAGGAUUGUUAGAGAAUUAGUUUUGUUGUACAGCUUGUAACAGUGAAGGUUUCAACUCGAAAUCGUUUCGGUCGAUGGCAGGGGAAGCAAUGUUGUUGUGUGGUUCAUCCUGAAAUGGGGCAGCAUAGUCCCUUAAAGGAUGGUUAGCAGGGGCGGCCAUAUCUGGUUCGAGUAUAUCAGGAUCAAGAAGGUUGUAUUUUAAACGGAAUUGUUUAAGUCAGUGUCUUAGACUAAUAUAACGCUCGAUUUCGUCUAUCGGUUGUUCUAACUCGUCUUCUUGUGAGCGAGUGUUUAACAUGCAACCAAAACAAAUAAAAAGGAAAAUAGUUUCCUUAGUCUAUAUCGUGCAACAGUGGAGUUACGAUAUUGACUUAAUUAGUCCCCGGAAACGGCGCCAAAAACUUGAUCGUGACUUAGUAUGUCUAUCGAAAUGGCUAACUGCAAGUGCACAGUCAUAUUGUGUAGUUUUAAAAAGAUGUUGAACCCAAAGGACCAAAAUUCAAACUAUCGUUAUCUAAAGUUACUAUGUAAAGCUAAAGCUAAUGAUUGUUUUCUUUUUUUUAGAUUGAUUAAGAGAAACGGAGAAAUAAAAUUUAACUAGAAAUAAUAAUAUAAUUAAAGUAUUCAAUAAAGAGGCAUCAGUAUGUAAAUCACAUCAUUCUUCGAGGAUUCGGAAAACAAUUAAUAUUAAAAUAAGGUAAAUCACUUUUCAGUAGAAAAUAUCAAAUUAAAAGACUUUGCCUCACACUCUUGUGUUAUUGGCUCGGGCUAUACUCAUAAGCCAAAAUGUUUUGCUCUCGCUCACCCACCUAAAUUAAAAGUAAUUUUUGGAAAUUGAUAAAUCAUAAUUAAUCCUAAAGCGAUCUCGUUGUGUUUAUGAUUAAUGCCUAGAAGCCACUAUCUGGUUAAAAUCUCAAACUCUCGUUCUGUUGAUUUAUAACCUUAUUGACUUUUCACUCUCGUGCAAAAACCUCUUUAAAUUAGAAUUGGAAACCAGAGCUAGAAAAAUAACUCAUAAAAAUUAUCAUUCAUUAUUACCGAAUCUCGUCAGAACGACAGUCCUUACAUACCGAUAUCGAAUGUUUUAGCCGGACAUGGUUUUAAACUUAAUCAUCCACAUACAAUCCUUAAACAUAAACAUAAUAAAAAUUCAGAAUUGCAAAUUAAAGCGGAAAGUAAAGAGUUCAGCAAUUAAAAGAAACCUGAUGAAUAAUAAUAAUUGGAUUAAACUUCGGAGGAUUCUUCGAGUACAAAUAACAAUUGGAAAACUACAACUAUGUCGGCACGCUUGAUCCAAGCAACUUGUAAAUGUAAAAGCAAAGGUGCAAUAGCUUCCCGAUGUGGAAGAACUAUCACUUUUAGAGUGUUUCUACUUAAAACUAAGAAUCAAAUUACACGAUGAAAACUUGGAUGCAUUUUUAUUCUAAUUUAGCCUUUUUUAUAUUGGUGAAGUAGGGCUGAACUUCCCUAAAUUCGUGUGGAAGUGGUGGAGAGGAAAUAGGGAGGGUUCUUGACCAUGUUUUAUGCAGUUCCUGAAAAACAGCACUGCGUGUCUGUGGCGAACGCCACAAGGCCAUGGCGAACACCAUGGUACUUAAACUCUGAAGUGAUGUGGCAAGGGGCGUGGCGAACGGAUCAGUCUCCAAUUCUACUUGUUUUCUGACACUCACUCUACACCUUUUCACGAAGUCGGUAACACAUUAGUCUACCUGUUUUAUCGUUCUGUUUAGUAAAUUAGAUGUUUUGCAUUGUUAUUUCAAGUUGUUGAUUAUAUUUGGUUUGCAUCAUUAUACUCCAUUUUUACCUUUUCACGAAGUCGGUAACACAUUAGUCUACCUGUUUUAUCGUUCUGUUUAGUAAAUUAGAUGUUUUGCAUUGUUAUUUCAAGUUGUUGAUUAUAUUUGGUUUGCAUCAUUAUACUCCAUUUUACAUCUCUUUGUGGUAGUUUUACUAGUUUCAGGUGUAAGCAAGAACACCAGAGGGAUAUCCAAGCGAAUUGGACAUUUCGGGCCCAUCGGAAGAGGAAAUUAGAUAACACAGUAGUCCUGACACGGCCACCCAUGUUUCCCAACACAGCCCGUGUCAGGAGGUGAAAGCCAUAAGAAGAAAACAGGGAGCUGGCACGGGUGCCCGCGUCAGCCUCCCUAGAGGGGCAUGUCAAGGCCAAUAUACCAGACAACCAACACGGUCUGACAUGGCUAGUGUUGGCUUGGACACCUCAUUUUCUAGUUUUUGCUAUAUUUUGGCACGGCUGAUCCCGAGAGGCAUUAUGGACUUUUGCUACAUCAAAUUAGUGAUCAGGAACUAUUUAGGGGAUUUUUUGAAUAUGGAGAAGGGGACUUUUGACGAUUACUGAUUGGAGACGAUAAAGAUUGAAGCGGUCAAAAACGACGAAGAACGAAGAUUCUUCAAGAGCGGAUGCAAUUGAAGAUCAAUGAAAUUCCCAUACUUUUGUAAUGUCUCGUUUUUAUGUAUCUUAUUUGAAUAAUAUGAGAGGUUAAACCCCCCCAAUGCCCGAGGGGGGGGGGGUGGGUUCCUUGAACUGAUCGUGUAAUGACUCGAAAGUUAUAAUUUCCUUAAUAUAUGAUGUUUGUUGUUAAUUUCACUAUGCAAUUUUGGGGGGGUGGGUUCCUUGAACUGAUCGUGUAAUGACUCGAAAGUUAUAAUUUCCUUAAUAUAUGAUGUUUGUUGUUAAUUUCACUAUGCAAUUUGCAUAAUGUUUUCUUUAUCAGAAAAAUCAAGAUUGUUGUAUGGUUAACAAUUAGCAGGAUUGCAAUUGUUAAGGUUUUUAUACAGUGAAGCCAUAGUAGAUAUCACCUAGGACUAGGGAUACCCUAUGGAUACCGGUUUAUUCUUGUUAAAUUGGAAUUACUUGGUUUCAUAAUAAUCGCCUAAUGACUUAGAGAUUAGAUUGAAUGACCAAAGGUUUCCCUCUGAGGUCUUAGGGGGAAACACUCUUAAGAUCCGGUAAUUGGAACAAUUUUCAUUAUUAAGGAGAUAUACACUCAAGGGUCAUUACAGGAGAUUUUUAUACACCAUCCUUGGCAUAUUAUUAUAAACUGUGAAAAGAUUUAUCCUAUUUUACUUUCUCUUACAGUGAAUUUUUUACAAAACCCCAACUAUUAGUUUUGUUCAAUUGAGUAACAAUUUACACGUAUAUUGUUGCGCAAUCCUCGAGGUCGAUCUUUGGGAAACAUCUAUAUUAUUACUACAUCGGCAAAAUAGUACACUUGCUAUUUUCCUGAUCAAGUUUUUGGCGCCGCUGCCGGGGAUUGCCAAAUAUAAGUUUAAAUUAUCUCAAUUGAAAUUUUGUUGCUCUGCAAAUAAAAUUUAUUUUUCGUUAUUUUAAUAAUUUAUUUCGAUUAUAUCAACUAAUCUCUGUCUGAUAUUUGUAUGCGAGGUAAGCCCUCAGCUGAUUUUCCUUUUGACGCAGAAAUCGAGAGAACCUUUCGGGCAAGACUCAGACAAGCUCGAUUGGUUAGAUUAGAAUCAGACGAAGAACAACUUUCCAUUCAUUCAGGUUCUGAGAGAGAGAUCGAAACUAUGGCUGAUGUUCCACCGCCACCAGAAAGACUGUUGGGUGACUACGGAGGUGAAAAUGCACCAAUCGGCAGAUUAACUAUUGGAAACUAACCAGUGAAUGUGGCUAAUUUCUAGUUGCAUCCGAGUACUAUUAAUCAACUUGAAAGGAAGCAUUUUACUGGAAAAGUAAAUGAAGAUACAAACAAGCAUUUGUAGAGGUUUCUGACCAUGAGCAACACUCUAAAAAUUGAUGGUCACACCGAAGAAGCUAAGAAAUUGAGAAUGUUUCCGUUCACCUUAGCGAAAGAAGCCGAAGAAUGGUUUUAUUCUCUAUCUGCCGGUAGCAUCACAUUUUGGGAAGAAAUGGAAAAAGCCUUCCUGAAUGAGUAUUUUCCAGCGUCGGUAUUUCUGCGGAAGAGGUAUGAAUUUCUGAAUUUUAAGCAGAAGGACGGGGAAACUUUGGGAGACGCAUACAAGAGAUUUAAGAGAGUCCUGGUCGCCUGCCCAACUCAUAAUAUGGAUCCAACUGAAUAGAUGCAGAUGUUUUUGAAUGGUCUCAAAAUAAAUACCAAACAGCUGAUUGAUACCGCAACCGGUGGCUCCACUAAUAUUUUAACAACCACCAGUAUCAAGAAGAUCAUUGAAGUUAUUGUUGCUAAUGAGCACUUGGAGUUGUACGAUAGAUGUCAAAGCAAACUAGAAGGGGUUAUAGAUUUAAAGCUGGAAAAUAAUAAAAUUUGUAUUGAAGAUACUCUAGCUGCUGAAGUUGAGAAGAAUCUGAAGGCGAUGAAUAUGGGUACCCAACAGGUGGCACAGGUCCAACCGGCUCCUACCGUCUGUUGUAAAAUUUGUAACGGCCCGCACCAAACUGUAUAUUGUUUUGUAACUCCUAAACAAGUGGAGGAAAUCAAAUUUUUGAAGCAGAAUAAUCCUUAUUCCAACACGUACAAUCCGGGUUGGAAGAAUCAUCCCAACUUCUCAUGGAAAGACCAAAAAGGAACCGCUCCUCAACAUGGUCAGUACAAAAAUUAAUAUCAACAACAGCAGCAACAACAAGCCCCUAAGAAAGCUGAUUGGGAAAUUGCAAUUGAAAGAAUGACAACUCAUAAUGUUCAAUUUCAAGAAGAAACCCGGAACAAUCAGAAAAACACCACAACAUCCAUAAAGAAUCUUGAAGUCCAAAUGGGUCAAACCGCUCAACAAUUAGCUUCGAGUUCUCAAGCACAAGAUGCUCUACCUAGUGCAACUGUGACAAAUCCUAGAGAGCAUAAUAAUGUGAGCGUUGUGAUAACAAGAAGUGGUAAAUCUGAUGAAGUAGUCGAGGAGGUGGAUGAAGAGGAAGAUCAAUUGAUCGAAGUGGAUCUUGAGAUCAAAGAAAAUGAAGUUGUGAGGGAAGAAGUGGUAGCAUCGAAACCAGUUAUGAAAGAAACAGUCAUUGAGCCUAAGCCGGUUGUUAAGCUCCCUUUUCCCAAUAGAAACAAGAAAAAGGGACAACAUGAGAAAAACUUUGAAAAAUUCUUAGAGUUGUUCAAAAAGUUGGAGAUAAACAUUCCCCUAUUGGAGGCACUUGAACAAAUGCCUACUUAUGCAAAGUUCAUGAAGGACAUCAUUUCGAAGAGGCAUACCGCCGACACCAACUUGAUUAUUCUAACUGAAACUUGUAGUGCUAUUUUCCAGGGUAUGAAGAUUCCGAUAAAGAAGAAAAAUCGAGGAGUUGUCACCAUCCAUUGUACUAUUGGAGAUAGGUCAUUCAACAAAGCUCUUAUUGAUUUUGGAGCUAGUGUGAGUCUCAUGCCAUUAUCCAUUUACAAGAAGCUUGGUAUAGGGGUUGUGCAAGAUACCAGGAUGACACUCCAAUUCCCCGAUCAUUCGGUAAAGAAACUGUAUGGUAUUGUUGAAGAUGUUCGGGUGAAAAUUGACAAGUUUGUAUUUCCGGUGGAUUUUGUAAUUCUUGAAAUGCCGGAAGAUGAAGAGAUCCCUCUCAUUUUUGGGAGACCCUUUUUAGAAACGGAAAGGUGCUUGAUCAACAUAGAAGAAGGGACCAUGACAUUGAAGGUUUAUGAUGAGGAAUUGAAAAUCGAUGUUCGAAACACCAUGAGGUACAAGGAUGAUAUUUGUACUAGUCAUACUAUAGAGGUUCUGGAUCAGGUGAUGACAUAUGAUAGUCCUUUGUAUGCACCACAGUCACCUUUGGAAAAAGUGUUGAGUUUGUCUAUUUUCGAUAGUGAUAAAGAAGUGGACAACGGGGAAUCUGAAGUGCUAGCCUUGUUAGACGCACAACCUCCGUGGAAAGGAUCUCGACCACACCAGUGGGAGGAUUUACGCCUACCUCAAUCUAGUGAGGAGGAUGAAGAGACAAAGAAGGGAACGGAGUUGAAACAACUUCCUGAGAAUCUUAAAUAUGUCUUUCUCGAUUCUGAAGGAAAAUGUCCUGCUAUCAUAAACUCGAGCCUAAAGAAUAUUCAAGAAGAAAGGCUCAUCCAAGUCCUAAAAAAAUACAAAAAUUAUGUUGGAUGGGCAAUUGAAGAUUUUAAAGGUAUUAGCCCUACUGUGUGCAUCCAUAAAAUUAUCAUGGAAGAAGACCACAAACCGGUAGUCCAACCGCAGAGAAGACUUAAUCCGGCAAUGAAGGAGGUAGUUCGGAAAGAGGUGGUGAAAUUGUUAGAUGCAUGCCUUAUAUAUCCUAUUUCUGACAGUCCCUGGGUGAGCCCAAUGCAUGUUGUCCCUAAGAAAUGGGGGACCACAGUAAUAAGGAAUGAAAAAAAUGAGUUAAUUCCUACUCGAACAAUCACCGGGUGGCGUGUUUGCGUUGACUACAAAAGGUUGAACAUAGAAACUAGAAAGGACGACUUCCCAUUGCCAUUUAUUGACCAGAUGUUGGAAAGGUUAGCCGGACACGAUUACUAUUGUUUUCUAGAUGGAUACUCCGGGUAUAAUCAGAUUGCAGUCGCUCCAGAAGACCAAGAAAAGACAUCAUUCACAUGCCCGUAUGGUGUAUUUGCAUACCGAAGAAUGUCAUUCGGGUUGUGUAAUGCUUCAACAACCUUCCAAUGAUGCAUGAAUUCCAUUUUCUCCGACAUGCUCGAAAAGCAUAUGGAAGUCUUCAUGGAUGACUUCUCGGUCUUUGGAUCCUCAUUUGAUAACUGUUUAACUAAUCUCUCUCUUGUUUUAGACAGGUGCCAAAAAACAAAUUUAAUUAUGAACUGGGAGAAAUGUCACUUCAUGGUGCGAGAAGGGAUAUUAUUGGGUCACAAAAUUUCCUACAAGGGAAUUGAAGUUGACCAAGCAAAAGAGGAAGUGAUAUUGUAGCGGUAAAUUCAUGAUCAUCAAGCUAUGGAUAAGCAAGACAUCAAAUAACAAGAGUCACCACCGCACUUUUAUUGUUUCCAAGGGAAAAGGGAAAAGUACGAACAAAACCCAAAAAUAAGAAGUUUUCAAAUCAAAACUAAUAAAAUACCAGAGAUUACAGGUAAGGGGGUUGGUUACACAGAGGGAAGGUGUUAGUACCCAAAGUGUCCUAGGUACUCCUAGGGAGCCCUUUCUUGUGUGCAUAUGUACUUUGUACAAAAUGAUGUUUACAAACAAAUAGAAUGGGGGGAUGAGAAAAGAAUUCAUUAAUCAUAUUUUUGUGUUUGACAAGACCUUCGGACUUGUGCCUACGUACCAACAUAAAAAUGAGGGAUCAAAACCUCAUAGUUCGUGAUAUCAAUUUCAAAGUGAGCGAAUUGCUUUUAACAAAAAUUUAAGUUUAAAAGGCACAAGGGCCUAGAAAAUGGUUUGAAUGAGUUAGUUCUUUUUGGAUUUUGAAAAUUUUAAGUCAAGUAUAGUUAAGUUUAUUUACAAGUUUGAUUUAAGAAAAUAAGUUUUUAAAAAAUGCAAUGGCAUAAGGCCAAAGUUUGUAAUUUGCAAAGGGUCUAUGUUUUAAAAAAAAGACAAGUACAAACAAAGAAGUGUUUUUCAAAGGAGGGAGAGAUUUUGAAAUUAAAGAGACGGGGAGGAGAUGAAGAGACUAAUCCUAAGCAUAAAUUUAAAAGUUAAGAGUUGAAAAGAUCUAACCAAUGGGCUGCAAUCCAAUAGACAAGAAUGUCAUAUAGAAACCCCAAAUUCCCUUGGACAUUAGAAUCAAGCAACAAACAAUGAAUACCAUAUUAACUUGAAGAGCAAAGCAUCAAAUGAAGAUAGCCACAUCCAGACUUUAGCCACUCCAUGAUCUUAUUCAAAUUUGCCCAUGUAACAGAUGAAUUCCAUAAGUCAUAGGUUCAAAGUAACAACUUCACAAUGAUCAUGUUGCAGAUGAACUCAAAGGGAUCUUCAAUGAUGUAUCAGAUGAAGUUUCAAAUUACAAGCACUUGGUUACAUGAAAGUUGGCAUUGGCCAAGUCCUUUGCAUAGGGAGUCUUGCCUAAAUUCUAAGUCCAAUUGUCUCAGAUCAAACCAACAGUCCACACAAGAAUUUUUUAGGGUUUUUGUUCUUAUUAUGUACAUUAAUGGUCAAAGACCACACAAGCAAACACAAUAUACACAAGCAAAAUAUAUCACAAAAUAUGGUCCAAAUGGACAAAGUGAAAAUGACAUUAACAUAAACAAUUAGGAUGGUAUGAAUAAUGGCAAAUGAACAAAGCUUAAAAAUAAAGUGCAUUAAAAGUAAAGGACUUGAAAUUAAAUGUUAGUUGUUAAUGAGUUAGAAGUUAGUAUUGCUUUUUCUUUUUUUGUUUAAGUCAUUCUUUGGAGAAUACUCAACCCGCUUAUCACAAGCAUGGAUCCUUCAACCAAGACGACUUCCAAAGGAAGGAAAAAAGGCCAAGUUUCCACAUAAUACCAUGAAAGAGGGGAGACUUACAAUCUCACUAACUAGAAUAUUAUGCCUUUUUGUAUCAAAAAUUUAGUGCUAUGUUAAGCAAUCGUAAUUGGACUUAUGUAGAAGUCACAACUAUUUGAGGUCGGAUAAUAGAAUUUUGGUGUUAAUGCAUGUUAGAGACAUAUUAUAAUGGACUAUGCUCAUGAAACAUACCACACACAAAAAGAAUAUGCAAAAGAGGUGGCCUAAUCUCAUCCAUACUUAUGUUGAUUUUUAAUCAACCAGCCUUAGGACCUUGAGAUAUCAUAGGACCAUGGUAUGAAUGCAUAAAGAAGGGGAAUAAGAUGAAGAGGGAGGGUAAUGGAUCAAAACUCAAAUUGGACAAAGGAGGAUUUUUACCAAAUUAAGAUCAUUCAUUCAUUUUGGGAGAUGGAAUGUACAUUCCAUCAAUCCCCUAAAUCCAAUGAUCUUAACCUAGCAAAGUCAAAUAAACCUUGACCUAGGCUCAACAACACAAGUCAAACUUAUACAAAUAAUCAAAAUGGCUUAACACAAUUAUUUGGCAUUUAUUCAAUUUAAAAAUUCUAAAAAUAAUGCAUUAAAUAAAAUAUGGUUUGUCAAAUUCCUAAAACCUCAUCAAAACACCAAGGAAAUGGCCAUGAGAUUUAUCAUAGGUCAAACAAAGUCAAAGGACCUUGGAGAAAAAAUUCAGAAUUUUUGGAGACUUAAAAGUAUUUUUCAACAAUUAAAAAUAUUCACAAAAUCAACUAAAUCAUGAAAAAUAUUAAUAAUGAUCCAAAAAAUAAUUUUAAUUCAAAAUAUGAAAGAGGAUUUUAUUUAAUUUUUUUUUGGUGAAACUCUCAUAUUUUUUGGAUCAAUAUUAAAACUAAUAUGAAUUAAUGAAAAUAAAACAAAUUAAAUGAAAUUCAAAUAAUCAGAAAAAAACGUGGACCACUUGAUCUCCCUUACCAAUUGAGGUGGGAGAUCAAGUGGUCUAAAACGCGCAUUCCACCAAACACACGAGUCAACGCGCCACACCAAUGGUAUUCAAAAGCAACGCUCAAGAUUAAAACGAUUUGAACUGAUCAUGUGGCUCAGAACCUAUCCAGCACACCACCGAUGCUGAAACUCCGGUCACCUUCUCAGGCGAGGCUCACCGGACUGGUUCAGUCAUCACCAUCACAUAAAUGAAAAAGGAGGACAUGAUCUGAAAGAAAAAAAGGCGUAGAGCACGAAUCUGACCUCAAUUUUAACUAACUCCACAUAUAUAGAAAGAUAUGAGGAAUUGAAUUUUGAGGUGUGUCAACUGAGUUGCUUCGAUUUGACCUCAAAGUAACUCAAUCUUCUUGCCUACAUUGGUAGGACUUCAGACUACCAAAGAUCCAAGAGAAUUGAUGAGAAUUGAGUGAGAAUCGAAGAGAAGAAAAUUUCUGAAAAAUACCUUCAAUGAUGUGCAGAACUGGAUCUUGCUUGCUUCAAACUUUGCUUGAUCACCUUCAGGAAGCUUGUAGAAGUGGCUUGGCAAUGGAACAAAGCUUUGGAUCCUGGAGUUUUUGAAUCUCCAAACAGUGAGAUUCUUGCUUGCUUCAAACUUUGCUUGAUCACCUUCAGGAAGCUUGUAGAAGUGGCUUGGCAAUGGAACAAAGCUUUGGAUCCUGGAGUUUUUGAAUCUCCAAACAGUGAGAUUCAAACUCAAUUUUUAGAUCGAAAAUUCUCAAGUUUUCCUUUGAAUUGUGAGGGUUUGAAAAGAGGGGGCAAAGCUGGCGCGCAAGGGAUCCUUCAAAUGAGCUCAGAGGCGUUGUAUUUAUAGCAUGAAGGAGUGAUAUUUGCACACUUCAAGUUUCCAAUUUUGGAAAUUGCAUGAUGCAAGCUUGCAUAGGCGUGUACAGGCCUAUGAAGCAAUCCAUUUAGGUUCAAAUUCAACUGUUUUGAAGUCUCAAAGAAGCUUGAAUAGCAAGACAAUGUGAAAUGGUGUUUUGGACAUUUGAUCUUUCCACUUGAUGCAGACCUGUUAAGAUCAUGUGCAGCCCUAGCAACCUCAUCCAAAAUGCAUGAAAUAGGACUAUUUGGAAAACUUAGAUCAAGGGGAACAACUUUGAUGUUGGACACUUUUCCAUUUGGAACUUGGAUCAAGGUGAAUUUUGAGGUGGAAGUUUGGAAAUUUCAACAUGUUGAAAUUUUUUUGAAGUGUCAAGUCAUAUACCUCAAUGUUCCAUCUUACUUAACUUUUCAUGUGAGCUCCAAAUUAAAAGCAUGUCUUCAUCAAAGUUUCAGGUCUUUCAAAGACCUUAAAAAUGGUCACCAAUUUCAUGUCAUUUGGAAAAUCACUUGUUCAAUGGUAUAGGGAAAAAAUGACCUAUAAUGUAUCCUCAUAUCAUAUGCUCAUAAAAGUUGAAUUAGCUCUCACUCCAAACAUAAAAGUUGAAUUAGCUCUCACUCCAAACAUAAAGUUGAAUUAGACAUCUUGAAUUUGAUUGUGCAACUUGGAAAUCUUUCAUAUCAUAAAAAUUGAGCAAGUUAUUACCUUGGGAAGUUGACUUUCAAAUUCGGGUUUAGACAAAAUGACUUAUAAUCUUUCUACAUAGAAAAUGAUUUUACAAGCAAAACUAGAUCUAGGUCUCAACAUGAAAGUUGUUUGUAAUGUCAUUCAGAGUAACUUUGCGCUUGGAAGAAUUUUCAUAUGGUGAAAAUUAUAGGAGAUAAUGUCAUUUAGAGUAACUUUGCUCUUUGCGUUUGUAAUGGUCUUACUCUAUAUCUGAAAAAUCCAUCCAUAAACGAAAAAACUUUGAAUUUAGCAGUAUUGUCUACCAACAUAUCAAUGUGUGGCAGAGGGAAAUCAUCUUUCGGGCUGACUUUAUUCAAACCUCUAUAAUCAACAAACAUGCGGACUUUUCCAUCUUUCUUUGGCACAUGCACAAUGUUGGCCACCCAUUGCGGAUACUCAGUGUUCACAAGGAAACCGACAUCAAUCUGCUUUUGCACUUCUUCUUUGACCUUCACUGCUAUGUCAGGAUGCAUUCUUCUCAACUUCUGCUCGACUGGCGGACAUUCUGGCUUCAACGACAAUCUAUGCUCCACAAUCUCAGAAUCCAAACCAGGCAUGUCUUGAUAGGACCAAGCAAACACAUCCGAGUACUCUCGAAGAAGAUCAACCAACCCCUUCUUCGCAUCUGGACACAGUCGAGACCCAAUAUUGACUUCCUUCACAUCAUCCUCGGAACCCAAGUUGACUAACUCAAUCUGCUCUUCGAAUGGCCGAAUGGCUUUUCCUUCAUGCUCAAGAAGACGAGACAAUUCAUCACUCACUUCUUCAUCACUUUCCUCCUCGGCCUCAAACACAGGGAAUUCAAAAUUUGGAGAAGGAGAAGGAUCAUUGUACUCAAUGAGGUUAGGAACCAACCUGCAUAAUGAUUUGAUAUUUUGAUUUUAGAGAAGUGAAUUUGUGACCAAACAUUAUGCAGAUGGACAAUUAUAUUGUUUAUUUAUGUUUUUUGUUAUUACCAUUUUCAGAAUAAAGCAAAAAGUAAAAAUAAAACAUCAUAGAUGUGAUUGAAUAGAAUUGAUUUUAUUGAUGAUCAAAUUUGAAAUGCCUAACAAUGUUCACUUACCCCUUAGACAUAGGAGAAGGAUUUUUAAAACAAAUAAAAACAAUUACUUAGAUCGAUGCAAACUAACAGGAAUAUCAACAACAAUCCAAUUGUUGCAAGCCUUUCCAUGCGUCACAAAAUUGGUGCAGUCAUCUUCAUCGUCAUCCUCUAGCACUGCAGCUAAGUGUUGUUCAUUUCCAUGAAUGAACCCUCCGCUACGGAAGCUAAGUUGCAUAUCCUCUGAUCUAGCAGUUGAUGGACCUUGUAGAAAACCCAUACCGAUUCUGCUCUUGUUGUCGGAGACCUCUACCAUGCGCCCCCCACUGAUCCACAUUACCUUCUUCAACAAUCUUCCUUGCAUCUUUCAAUGAGGACAUAGGUGCCCGAACUCUCUUUUCAACAGCAAUAGAUAAGGCUUGGAACAGAGUUCCAACCUCAUCCUCAGCUUCAACGUAAGAGAAAGAUGACAAGUGGCUAACCAACAACGCCUUUUCCACGCCAACAAUAAUAAGCUUCCCAUUUUUGACAAAUUUGAGUUUCUGAUCCAACGUGGAAGUAACAACUCCUGCCUCAUGAAUCCAUGGCCUUCCCAAUAGACAACUGUAGGUCGGGUGGAUAUCCAUUACUUGAAAAGUAAUCUGGAAGUCACUCGGGCCUAUCUUCACCGAAAGGUCCACUUCACCUAUCAUUGUCUUGCGUGAACCGUUAAAAGCUUUGACGGUUACACCACUAUACCUCAUAGGAGCUCCUUGAUAUGACAGCUUUGAAAGAGUUAACUUUGGCAGCACAUUCAAUGAAGACUUGGUGUCAACUAAUACAUUGGAUAAAGCGUCAUCUUUGCAAUUCAUGGAGAUAUGCAAAGCCAAGUUAUGAUUACUACCCUCCUCAGGGAGUUCUUCAUCAUAGAAGUUGAGAUUUUUGCAGGAAGUGAUGUUAGCUACAAUAUGAUCAAACUGAUCCACCGUAACAUCAUGUUCCAUGAAAGCUUGCUUUAGAACUCUUUGUAGUACUUCUCUGUGCGCUUCUGAAUUCAUAAGCAGAGACAAUACUGAAAUCUUUGAGGGGGUUUGGAGCAACUGCUCCAUCAUGUUGAACUCACUUUUCUUUAUCAGCCUAAGUACCUCAUCAUCAUCAUUAGUUUUCAAAUUGAUGGAUUCACCAGACUGACGCUUUAAAGUGCUAAUCAGAUCUACUUUAGGUACUUCCACCUUCUUACCAAUUGUUGAAUCUUCUACAUCUUUUGGGAACACCGACCCAAACACUCGACCGCUACGGGUCACCUUAGUAACAUCAACAAUACUCACGACAAAACUGGUUGUAGGUAACGGUACCUCUUGACCAUCCUUCAACAUAGUUGCAUUAUACUGAUACGGAACAGCCUUAUCGGAUGAAUACGGGACUGGGCCCAUUAACCGUAUGACCAACGGCGAUACCGAUCUUUGACUGAUAUUAUUACUGUUACUGCUGUCAUACUGAAUCACCAUUCUCUCGGGAUUCUUAAACACUGGAACGAUCACAUUCACAUCAUCAUCUUCAUGACGGGAUUGAACAAUCUGAACCAUACCCUCAUCCAUCAACCGCUGGAUGUCUCUUUUCACAAUCAUACAACCCCUCGGGUUGAAACUGCAGAUAGCACAACCAUCAUGGUCACGCUCACAAUCGCUUACCAUAGAAAUGUGCUUAUAUAUUGUUACUAAAGAUCUUCUAAUGAAAUGGACAUCAAACAUUUUGAACUCCCCAGAACAGUCGUCUACCAUAUUGAAGCAAGCAGAAAUAUACCCGAACGUAUUGCACCCUCGAACAUACAACAGAGUCGCCAUCGAACUUUAUUUAUCCCCAAAGGGAAGGGAAACAUCGAAAAAACCCGGGGGAAAGAGAUAUACUGGGUAAGGAAGUCGGUUAUGCAAGGAGAAGGUAUUAGCACCCCAAACAUCCAUGGUACUCCAUGGGAACCUUUUUGAUUGUUCUUGCUCAAAUAGGUGUGAUAUCUAAAGAUUACUCGCAAAAGAAUAAGGGGAAAGGAAAGGAAAUAGAUAGAGUGCUCGGUGAGGAUUAGGGACCUCAUGCCUACGUAUCCUCAUAAUGCAAUAAGGAAUUCAGAGCUUCGUAGUUCAAGGAACUAGAGGAAGGAGGUGAAAAGGAGUGUGAUCAAGGUAUGGUUUGAGCCAAAGGAUAAUUUUGUUUGAACUCCAAGAGAGGGUGAAAACGUGAACCCAAGAGUAAACAAGUUGUUUGAACCAACAAGUGAGGGUGUAGAGCACUUAUAUCACUAUAUUGGAACAACCGAAAAGAGAGGAAUUAGGUGUUUGGGGUGAGAGCCAAACAACUCUUGGUUCACAAGGAGGUACAAGAUGGAGCACAAAAGUAUAUUGUAUUUGGCUCAAAGAAUAGGUAUAUCACGUGGAGUGAAAGAAGGUAGUAUAUGAAUGUAUCAUGGGAUGAACGAAAUGAAGUGACCGAAGUCAUAGAAUAGAGUAUCUGGUAACAAGUGAUGAAGAAAUAUUGUUUGAAAUCAAAAGGUGAAAAUGUAUUGGAAUCCAUAAGAGAAGUGAGAUUUCUACCAUAGAUGGAAACAUCAUUAACCGAUACGUGGACUAGCAGGCCGCCACUGUAAGGUUUUGGCCAAAAAGAAGGAAUUAAAUGUUUGGGAUGGGAGCCAAACAACUCUAGGUAUGAAAUUAAGACUAUUCAUUAGGCGUCCUAAAAGGGUAUGUGUGGAAUUCCAAGGAAAGUGUAUUUCGAUGUCAAAGAGACAGUAUGUCACUGGGCGAACGGUUCAUGAUCGAAGGUAGAUAAUGAAUAGUGAAAGAUAUGAGUGGUGCCCUAAGGCGGAAGAGGAAUAAUUAGAAGUAUUCUCGCAGAGGAUUCGCAUCCUCGUGCCUACGUAUUCUUAUUGUGAAAUGAGAAAAUCAGAGCAAUCGUAGUUCGAAACUACGAGAAUAGAGAGAAAGAGAUGUUUGUCUAAGCAACAGGGACUCACAAGAAAAACACACAAGGGAGGAUUGCAGUACUAGAAUGCAUGGAGUAGUGUAUCACUUGCUGGGGGAAUCGACAAUUCAAGAUUAAAUCAGUAUAGUAUCUUGGAUCCAUGAGACGUAUAGACUCUUAAUCGAAGAGCAAAGUGGCGUGUUAGCCAAAGAAGAAUGAAUUGAAUGUUUGGGAUGAGAGCCAAACAAGAAAGAAUUGAAUGUUUGGGAUGAGAGCCAAACAAGAAAGAAUUGAAUGUUUGGGAUAAGAGCCAAACAAGAAUGAAUUUAGCAUUUGGGAUAAGAGCUAAACAACUUUCGAUUGAAGAGAUGGAUUGUCAUCAGGAUGUCCUAAAAGGAUGGACAAGGAGUCCAAGGAGAAGUAUGAUUGAUCUCGAAAGAUGGUAUUGGUUGUGUGAAUGGAGAGUGAUCCAUGGGAUAAAGAAGGUAUAUUGAUAAAUAAGAUAGCCCGCGAAGAAACCGGGUUCUCCUGCCUACGUACCCUUAUAGUGCAAUAAGGAUAUCAGAGCUUUCGUAGUUCAGCCCAUUAGGGCUGAAAAGAAAUUGAUUGGAAGCAAGAGGAAAUGGAUGAUUGAGAUUGAAAUGAUUUGAAUGAAAUGAUGAAAAUCGAAUGGAAUGAAGAAUGGAUAGACUUGAUAGUUACUGGAUGAUGAGAAUCACACUAACUUUCAAGUGGAGCGAAAAGAGUCUUUGUAGUUGUUUCUUGAAUGGAAGAUGAAGACCUUAUCAAUGGUUCGAUUCAAAUCGUAAUAAAGUCUAUGAAUGGAGGUGAAUACGAUGAGCGCUGGGUCAUACGUCCCAUACCCAAAGAUACUCAGAAUGGGGGUAGGAAUACUCCAGUCUCACUCCUUCUCCAUUACUUAAGGCUCAUAUCGUACAACUUGAUUCAUGAUUGAUAAGUUGUUGAAGUGGUCCUUGCUUUUUGUGGUUUUUGCUUUGUGAAGAUAGACUUGUCAAUUGUAUGAUUAGAAUUGUCCUAAAGUCUAUGAAUAGAGGUGAAUACGAUGAGUGUUGGAUCAUACGUCCCAUACCCAAAGAUACUCAAAAUGGGGGUAGGAAUACUCCAGUCCCACUCCUUCUCUAUUGCUUAAGGCUCGUGUCACACUCUUCUAAGUUUGAGUUAACAAGUGUUGAAGACGCCGCCUUUGAUGUGCUUGAAUAAGUUGAAGAUGCCACCUUUGAUGUGCUUGAAUAAUCUGCUGCUCGAUAUAAUUGAGGAUGCCUUGAUUGAAGAUCUUAACCUGAGGCCUUGAGCUCCACAGCUUUGAAGAAAAGUCUUAUUAAGUGACCAAGGGUCUUUUUGGUCACUCAAAUUAGACUGUGGGAUUAUACAAGUUCAAAGUAUUUAAUUAAUCAAAAUUGCUUUUGAUCAAUUUAAUCAUGGGUUUUUAUUUGGUUUUGUGGGGAACUAGGUUAGGAUCUAGUUAAAGUUUGUAAUUGUUGGAAACUAUCCUGAGGGAUCAUGCAUUAGAAGAUGAUUGAACAUUCUAAGUUAGAAGUUAGAAAUCCUAAGGGAGCAUGUCAAAAUAUUGAUUAAAAGGCUUAUGUUAAGUCCUACAAUUAUUGGGAAAUGAUUGAAUUCUAAUCCUAAGGGGAGCAUGCAAUUUUAACAUAAAAAUACCAAAAUAAGCCCAAAAGGGGCAAAUUGAUCAUUUACUAAAAUAUGUCUAAUUUUAUUCACGGCCUAAAAGGGAUUCUGACCUAAAGUUGAAUUCUAAUCCUAAUGUUGAGAAUAGUGACAUUCUAAAUUUAAGCAAACAUAAUUGUUUCUAAUUUCAAUCUAAUUAAAAAUCCCAAUUAAAUUCUAAUGAAAAAUCCUAAAAUGUGAACUAAUCCUAAUUAAAAUUCUAAAAUAUGAAUUAAUCCUAAUUAAAUUCUAAAGUGUGAAUUAAUCCUAAUUAGGUCCACAAAUCUUAAAAUCCAGAUUUAAAUCCUAAUUUUCAAUUAUCAAUCUAAUUAAACUAAUAUUAACCUAAUUAAUCUAACCUAAUUGAAAAAAAACUAAGAAAAUGAAAGAAAAAAAAAAGCAAUUAAAAGGGAGGUUGGAAUUGGAAAUGGAGGUGCAUAGUGGAUUCUAGUUAAUGGGUUGCAAGUGAGCCCAAUACAGUUUUUUGUUCAGAAAAUUAAUCAAAAACAAAGGUGGGGUGUGAAAUAAAAACAGAAGUGGGCUGCGUCUGAGCCCAUUACCAUUUCAAUCGUUUAAAGGGGGGUGCAUGUUGGAAAUGUGAGGUGAAUUAGAAAAAUAGGCUAAUGGGCUUGGUUGAGCCCAAGAUUCAUUUCCUUCACUAAUCAGGGGGGUGUAUGAAUGAUGUGUGGCGUAUGAAGAGCAAUUCCAAUGGGCCUUAAGGAAAAUGAGCCCAGUACUAUCACCUUUGUUUACUUGUCUAAGUCAACAGAGUUUAAACUCUGACUGCGCGAGCUCGUGGUUCACCGUCCGUUCAUUAUGGUCACCGUGCCGGCGUGUGUCACUGGCUCCGGUAUUGGCUCAUGGUCAAAAUUUACGUCUCAAUCGAAGCACAAAGCCAAGCUGAUCAUGAAUAUGGCAAUGAAAUGGGAAAACACUUCUUGUGUUGGUCGAAUCGCACAUCUAAAGGGAUGAAGCCUAGCCGAUUGCAAGCUAAAUUAAAUAGUGUAUGGCGCCAAUCAAUCCCUACAACUAUGGGGUUUCCACUCCCUACUUCAGAUACUACAACUUGGUAAGCUCAAAACAAGAAAAUGCCACUGAAAUGGAAAUGACAUAUCGGAGAAGAUGAUCGGAAGAUUUGCUGGUAAGCUUUCUGACCUUGAUUCUCUUUUCUUCUUCUUCUUUCGCCUUCUUCCUCUUCUUUUGGAUUAGAACAAAUGGAAAAUAUGAAUGUUGUGCCUUAGCUCAAGGGAAAUUGACGCUUCAAGGUGAAGCUUCAAUGGCUUUUCUGUGAGAGAGUGAGAGAGCUUUGGUGAGGGUGAUGGAAGAGAUUGUAGAGAGAGCGUGCACAAAUUCACAAGGUUCCAAAGGUCCUUAAAGUGAGAGAGAUGAAUCUCUUAAAUAGAUUUUUGGUUCGGACCUCACUAGCUUUGGACUUAGGUAUGGAAUUAGUUAAACAUGGUUUGGAGUUAGUUGGACUCAACUCACUGAGUUAACUGAAAUACUCAGUUAGUUAGAAACGACUCAGUUAGUUAUGUGAGUUGAUGUUGGUUAGUGAGUGAAUGAAUUAAAAUUUGACUGGAUGCUGCAGGUUAUGGUUAAGUUGCAGUUAUGUUGCGAUCAUUUUGGGUGACAUGUUAUUCAAGUUACAAAUUGAGUUUAAGUGACCCUGGCCUUAGCUUGGAAUAAUGAAGAAUACAUGUUAGUAGCUUUGGUGCACCAACUGGCUGUAGUAUGUAGCAUUAGAAUUAGGAUUAGCUAAAUGCAAGUGUGUUUUGGUUUGUACUUUGAAAGAUGAAUGUGAUCCUUGGUUCCUGAUUUGGUUUAAUGCUUCAUGAGUUUAAUUUCCACUAAUUGUAUUCAAUGCCCUGUUCUCAUUGGUCUUUCUUGUUGCAGCCUAAACUUGGUUGGGUCUUGCAAUGCCAUGUUGGAUCUUUGGUCAGUUUAGCAGGUGGCAAGUAUGGCUUUUAUAUGCAAAGCUCCUAUUGGUUUUGGCCUCUGCAAGACACAGUCUCCAUUCAGGUUUUGAUUUGCAGCAUUGUGGCCUUGGUGUCUAUUGCAACAACUUGGGUUUGAAUCAGGCUUGCGUUGCAGGUUUGGUCAUGCAUUACUGGUGCAGGUCCUUGGAACUUGAACAUGUUGCAUGUCUAGUACAUGACUCAUGGCUUGGUACAUUGAAGGAUUGCAGCGAGGUUGCGUGCCUGUAAGCAUUUGGCUUAGGUUUCAAAGCAUUGUAGCAAGCAAUCCAAAGGUCAGCUGACAGUUGAAUUGGCUAUGUUACAGGCAUGUGUGUUAGGUUCAUUAUGCAAAGUUUCAAUUCAUGUAUCAUGACUGAGUUGUUUGAAUGGAUUCCCCUGCAAGUUGUUUUGGUCUUGGUGUUUGUUGAUGAUGGCAAGAGUGUAUCAUAUGGCAAGGCUAUUGUAGCAGUAGGCUCUUGUGGAUUUGCAACAGGUAUGAGGAUCAUGAUGGUUUGGUGUUGUAAGGUUGUUGGCAUGAAGCUUCUUGGUAUGGCUUGUUAAUAACUUGGUCUAUUGUUGCUUCCAGCAAGUCAACCGGUUUAGGUUUCCAAUGCCUUGCAAUUCAUCUGUCUCGAUUCUUUUUGUUGCACUUCAAAAUGUGGUGUAUGGCAUCAGGGUUUGGCUGCAACCAUUUGAUGUUGGCUUACUUGUGGUCUUGGUUAAACCAAGUGUAGAAUGCCUAAUGGACAACCUACCCAACUCCAAACAUGUUGAAUAUCCAUUGUAUGCCUGCUGCAGGAUUUGGUGUAAGUUAUUGCCAUGUUUCACAAGCUACCUCAUGCAGGUUUUAUGCUUGAUGGCUUGGCUGAGCAAGGUAAAACAAGUCUUAAAUGGUUUGUAAGGCUUGAGAUAUGUUUAAUGUCAUGCUGUUUGUUAUGCCAUGAUGUUUCUCAAUGGUUUUGACAUGCCAUGAUUGGGGUUGGUUAUGUUGAUACUGCAGGCAGGGCAAGGUGCUGCAGGACAUGGGAUGAACUGCUGCAACAACAGGGUUAGCCUUGAUGCUCCCAUGGUUUGAUCAUGCAUUCCCAUGAUUUGAUGUAUAAGGUUUUUGUUUCAUUACACUGGUUCCAUAACCUUGUAGCAGGUCUGAGUUUAUGUGGCAGGCUCAAUAGUUCAUUUUUGACUUGGUGUUUUGUAGGUUUGUGGAAAUGGACAUGAUAUUUGCAAGGUUACUUGUGAAUGAAGCAACAAGGUAAAUGCAAGAAAUCAUGGCCUUUGGAUGGUGAAUCAAGACCAAUGUGAUGUGAUUAGGAUUAGGUUUGGGAAAUUAGGGCUUUAAGAUUUUAGGGUUGACUUUGGUCAAAGUUGACCAAAAAGUCAAAUGUUGACCAAAGGCAACAAUUGGUCAAAAUCCCAUUUUCUUUGCAUUUUCUUUGUAAAUGGACAAUGAAUUAUUGGUUAGGGUGAAAUUUAGGGGUUUUUGGACUUUGGGUUGACUUUGGUCAAAGUUGACCAAGAAGUCAACUGUUGACCAAAGUCAACAUUUGGUCAAAAGUGUCAAGACUUGUAUUUUCUUAUGUUGAAUCAAAUGUAAUGGUUUAAAAUGACAUGAAAUGGAUUGAAAUGGUUUGAAAUUGGUUUAUUUUAUGACUUGACUUUUGAAAAAUAACUUGACUGAUAAUGUACAUGAACAAAGCCAUCAAGUGAGACCAUAAGAUUAGGGUUUUGACAUAGUGUCCAUGUAACAAUGGCAUGACCACCAAAAGGCUUGAAACACAAGGAAUUUGGAUAUUCAUAUGAUAAGGACCAAAGGCAUAUCCCCAACCAUAUGGAUAAAAUCAUUGACUUGGGACCAAGACCAGUACUCCAGGAAGGGUAAGGCCAAGCAAAAAUUAUAAAGGGUAAAGAUUGAAGGAUCAUAAGUACACAAUAAGGCCACCAAGUUCAUCUGAUUCCCAUAUUCUGAUUAGGGUUUUGGAGACCAAGAUAAGGCUUGGGUGGAGCCCCAUGAAGCCAUUCCUUGAGGAAUUAGGGCUUUGAAGGCCCUAGACUGUCUGGCCCACCUUUGUUGAAAUCAAACCUUCACCACCAUCAUUAGGGUUUCACAUCCCCUAUGCUGAUGAUGUGAUUAGACCAUGCCCUUGAUCUUUGAUAUCCGUGCAAACCCUAGCUUUAUGAGCCCAAGUUUCUUAUGAGUCCCUGAUGAAUGAUGCAUGUGGAUGAGUUAUGAAUGUAUACAAGUCAUCUCCUAAUCAAGUGAUUGGAUGCAUAGGUGAGAAAGGGGAAGGAAAAUUUAGGGGUACAACAGCUGCCCCUAUUUAAUCUCCUUGGACCUAAAUACAGGAAUUGCAGAAGCUUUUCAGGUAUUCAAGGUAGAAGUGGAUUAAAUAUCUACGUGCCCGAAAUUUGCCGGACCAGGUGAUUGGCUUUAUUACCAAUGUGGAGAAGAUGUUUUAUGCAUGAUGUAUGCUUAUUUUUUAUGAUGCAUGUUUUUUUCCUUAUUUGUCGUAUGUAGGGAUGAGUCUUUAUUGUGGUGUGAACUCCGACUCGUCAUUGAGAAUUAGAACAUGAUUACCGAGAAGUUUUAAUUGCUGCGAAUGCUGCCAUUACGGGAUCCCCGUCUAUUAAGGAAUACUGAAAGGCUAGAGUCCCCCACGGUGUCCCAGCUGAUUGAAUGUCACAGUUAUCCAAGUAACACCACUGUUGAGUCACCGAUCACCUAUCAGGUUUAUCGGGUUUCAACGGUAAUGCAAAGUGUUUGUCUUUAAUGUAGCUUUUUAUUAUUCCCUGGAAUUUUAAAGCAUUAUGAGAGUAAGACAAGCCAGUUACUUUGCAUACAAAACAUAGAAUAAAUACGUUCGAUGGAAUAACUGAAUUUUAUUGAUAUAGAAUCUGUACAUAUGAUGAGAACAAAGAUGCAGGCGCCCUUAAUGAGGACGUUGCAAAAAUUGAAAAAAUAAUUGAAAUGGCAAUAGGAAAUAUUUUUGUAUGAUUUUCUCCAUUGAUUACAACGUUGGCCUUAGUCUACCAUAUAAUCUGAAUCCCAAGAUCUUGCUUCGGCUGACGGUGAUUGGAUCGGUCCUUGACCCUCUGACAUCUAGCUUGUAGCAUGUAGACUUAAGGAUCGUAGCCAAUGCCUUUAUCCCUAACUUUUUCCUGGAUCUUUCAAUUAUUUUUGUCCAUCGGGAUGCUCCUUUUUGCCUAAGCCGCCCUUUCGAGUUUUCGGCUUAGCGAGGUUAAUAUGUGUUCCCUAACUUUUGCAUGGACGAAUCAUUUUUUGGUCUAUCGGGAUAGCCAUUUUUGCCUAGAUUCACCUUGCAGAGAUUAAUCUAGCGGACUUUCAUCAUUUCUUUUUAGGCAUAAUAUAUUUUGACUAUGUCUGCAUUCACUAGCGAAGGCAGAUCUUCCCCAUCCAUUAUUGUGAGGAUUAGAGACCCACCUGAGAAGGCCUUUUUGGCCACGAAAGGUCCCUCAUAGUUGGGCGUCCAUUUGCCUCGCGGGUCUGAGUGAAUGGCAGAAUACCUCUUGAGCACGAGGUCUCCAACGUGGUACGCACGAGGAAGAACCUUCUCAUCAAAAGCUUGUUUGAGACGUCUUUGGUAUAACUGACCAUGACAGACGACUGUCAAACGCUUCUCUUCAAUUAGAUUCAGCUGGUCAUACCGAGAUUGAGCCCAUUCAGCUUCAUUAAGAUCUGCUUCCAUGAUGACCCUGAGUGAAGGAAUCUCGACUUCGAUCGGUAGAACGACCUCCAUUCCAUAAACUAGAGAGUAAGGAGUUGCCCCAUGGAUGUGCAGACUGAGGUUCUGUAACCGUGUAAAGCGAAAGGUAACAUCUCAUGCCAGUCCUUGUAUGUCUUGACCAUCUUCUGGACGAUUCUCUUGAUAUUUUUGUUAGCUGCUUCUACGACGCCAUUCAUCUUAGGCCGAUAUGGUAAAGAGUUGUGGUACUCGAUCUUAAAUUCUUCACACAACUCCCUCAUCAUAGUGUUAUUGAGGUUACUGGCAUUGUCAAUGAUGAUCUUGCUAGGUAUUCCAUAGCGGUAAAUUAUCUCUUUCUUGAUAAACCGGGUAACCACUUGUCGAGUGACAUUAGCAUAUGAAGCAGCCUCAACCCAUUUCGUGAAGUAAUCAAUAGCGACUAGGAUGAAUCGAUGUCCAUUGGAAGCUUUGGGCUCUAUCAUCCCAAUCAUAUCGAUGCCCCACAUAGAAAAGGGCCAUGGAGACGUUAGAACAUUUAACGGAGUUGGUGGCACAAAUAUUUUAUCACCAUAUAUCUAGAACUUAUGGCAUCUUUUCACAAAGUUAUAGCAAUCAACCUCCAUUGUCGUCCAAAAAUAACCAGCCCGGAGAAUCUUCUUGGCCAUAGCAGGACCUUUCGCAUGUACACCCUCGCAGCCCUCGUGUAUCGACCUUAUGAUUGUACUAGCUUCGUGUCUAUCCAUGCAUCUGAGCAGUACAAAAUCAUAAUUCCUUUUAUACAACACAUCACUGUUUAGGAAGAACUUAGAAGAGAGUCUUCUUAGAGCCUUCUUAUUGGUAAUGGAUAUACCCUCGGGAUACUACUACUUUUCCAGAAAUGUUUUAAUGUCAUAGAACCAAGGCUUGUCGUCAGGGUCAGCCUCAAUUGUUAGACAAUGUGAUGGUUCAUCUAAGUGGUCAAUCUGGAUAGAUGGUGCUUCAUUCUUCCAUUUGACUUUGAACAUAGAUGCUAGCGUGGCUAGGGUGUAUGCUAACUGAUUUUCUUCCCUAGAAAUAUGGUGAAAGGAGAUUUCAUCAAAAUAGGGUAUCAGUUUUCUGAUGUGCUCUUUGUAGGGUACCAACGUGCUAUCCCAAGUCUCCCAAUCGCCUUUCACCUGAAUGAUCACCAAAGCUGAAUCACUGAAUACCUCAAGUAUUUUGAUUCUCAAGUCAAUUGCCGCCUCUAAACCGUAGAUACAUGCUUCAUAUUUUGCCAUGUUGUUGGUGCAGUCAAAACACAGUCUAGUGGUAAAGGGAAUGUAGAAACCAGUUAGAGAGGUGAUAACAACACCUAUGUCGUGACCUCGGGCAUCGAAAGCACCGUCAAACACGAGCGUCCAUCGCGAUCCUGGUUCGGGGCCUUCCUCAGGGCUUACCUCGAAGCCUGGCAUAGUAAAGUCUAUGAUAAACAUGAUGUCUUCAUCUGGGAAGUCAAACCUCAACGGUUGAUAACCUUCGAUAGGAAGGUGAGCGAGAUAGUCAUACAAAACACUUCUUUUUAUUGCUUUCUGGGUCACAUAUUGUAUAUCAUACUCGGUUAGCAACAUUUUCCACCGGGAAAUUCUACGAGUAACAGCAGGCUUUUCGAAUAUAUACUUUAUCGGAUCCAUCUUGGAUAUCAAUAAAAUAGUGUCGCAAAUCAUAUAUUGUCUCAGGCGUCGAGCAUCCCAAGUCAAAGCACACCAAGUCUUCUCUAAAAGUGAGUAUCGGGUCUCACAUUCAGUGAAUUUAUUGCUGAGAUAGUAGAUAGCAUGUUCUUUCUUGCCUGUGUCAUCGUGUUGACCCAAAACGCAAGCCAUAGAUUCAUCAAGCACUGUGAGGUACAUAAUGAGUGGUCUACCAGGAACCGGUGGUACCAAGAUUGGUGGUUCUUGCAAGUACUUUUUUAUUUUAUCAAAUGCCCCUUGGCAAUCGUUGUUCCACACAAUCGAUUGGUUCUUUCUCAACAAUUUGAAUAUCGGUUCGCAGGUAGCCGUCAGGUGAGAUAUAAAUCUGGAGAUGUAAUUAAGUCGCCCAAGGAAGCCUCAGACUUCUUUUUCUGUUUGGGGAGCUGGCAUAUCUUAGAUGGCUCGAACUUUGUCGGGAUCAACUUCGAUACCCUUCUGACUGACUAUGAAACCCAAAAGUUUACUUGAUCGGACCCCAAAAGUACAUUUUUCUUGACUCAGACGCAGUUUAAACUUUCGGAGUCUGACCAACAACUUCCUCAGAUUUACUAGAUGAUCUUCCUCAGUUCUGGAUUUGGCAAUCAUGUCGUCCACAUAAACCUCAAUCUCUUCAUGAAUCAUGUCGUGAAAGAGUGUUACCAUGGCGCGCUGAUAUGUUGCCCCUGCAUUCUUCAAGCCGAAUGGCAUGACUUUGUAGCAGUAAGUUCCCUAAGGUGUGAUAAAAGUCGUCUUCUCCAUAUCGUCUGGUGAUAUCUUUAUUUGAUUGUACCCAGAGAACCCAUCCAUGAAAGAAAAGAUGGAGAAUUGAGUUGUGUUGUCGACCAAAACAUCAGUAUGAGGCAAAGGGAAGUCAUCCUUUGGGCUGGCUCUAUUGAGGUCUCGAUAGUCUACACACAUUAUGACUUUACCAUCGUUCUUCGGAACUGGAACGAUAUUGGCAACCCACUGCGGAUACUCAGAAUGGCUAAGAAGCCAUCAUCUAGCUGCUUUUUAACCUGUUCCCUGAUCUUGAGCGCCAUAUCGGGUCUGGUCCUUUUGAGCUUCUGCUUGACUGGACGACAUUCGGGCUUGAGCGGUAGGUGAUGUUCAACAAUGUUGGUAUCUAACCCCGGCAUAUCUUGAUACGACCAAGCGAAGACGUCAACAUAUUCACGUAACAAUUCUACCAACUCGGAGUGUACAUGCUUGGCAAGAGAUGCCCCAACUUUUACCUCUUUUUUGUCAGUUUCAGAACCCAUACCAAGCGAAGACGUCAACAUAUUCACGUAACAAUUCUACCAACUCGGAGUGUACAUGCUUGGCAAGAGAUGCCCCAACUUUUACCUCUUUUUUGUCAGUUUCAGAACCCAAGUUAAUGACAUCCACCAGUUCUUUGUAUGGCUGAAUCUCUUUCUCUUCGUGCUCAAGGAGUCGUGCUAGUUCAGCUGGUAAUUCACAAUCUUCCUCACUGUCGUCUUCAGCUUGGUUGAUUGGAUGUUCAGAUUCAUAGUUGAUUUUAGCCAUGUCGUAAUCAAUGGUUUAAUUUUCUCUACAUAUGAUGAGCUUAUUUUAGUAUGCUUCUUUUUUGAGAAAAUAUGGAAAAAAGAAAAAGAAAUCUUUUUCCAUAUCGUUGUUUUUAGUGAAAACGGAAAAUAACUGAAAGAAAGGGAAGACCAGUUUUGCAUGCAAAAAAGUACUUUUUAUUUAUUCACAUAAUACUUUUAAACAUGAGGGCCCUUACAAGCUAUCCUCUCAUCUCGGGCGAGGACGAGGGAUGGAGAAAACAAAAUGCAUUACAUUUUCCGAGUACACCAUAGGGAUCACGGUGGUUGUCCAAUUAGGAAGCUUGAAUCCUGGAGGACAUCUGCGAACGAGGUUGGGUGCCCCUAGCUUGUUACCACUGGAUUCUCCGAUAACCGCCAUGGUAUGCUCACUUUGAUAACCGACACUGCUGAACUUGACAGGGUUGAAUUGCUUUUUCUUCGGACGCACCUUGCGUGGUGCUGGGUGAUAACCGAUACCAAACCUGUCGUGCUUUUCUGCCACAUUGACGACCUUACCCCAAUCGGGAAGCGGGCCUUUCUCCAAUGUCUGCUUGACACUCUUCACUGAGGAUAGGAUGGUAGAGGAUGAUUGAUUGUUGUUGGCGGUGGCGGAACUGACAUCUUCAAAUUCUAGACAGUGGACUGGAACCACGACGAUCCCCUCAAAUUGGUCGACCGUGAUAUCUUGCAUCACGUGAGCGGUAUUUAGAACUUUCAGUAACGCUUUACGGUGAGCCUCCGAACUCAACAGCAAAUAAAAAAUUGAUAUUUUGGAAGGCGUUUGGUUCAACUGCUCAAUAAUCUUGAAGUCACUCUUCUUGAUCAGUUUGAGGAUUUCCUGACUUUCCUCAAACGUGAUACUUUUCUUGUGAUCCUCAGAUUGUUCUUUCUCAACCAUCGCCCCUUUACCCUUGGAUGCUUCGGCCUCGGCAGCUUUAUCAUUGUCAAUAACCUUCGUCAACACUAGAGCAGUCGUCACAGUCGGAGUGGCGAGUAUAGUUGCCCCUGCCUGUGGAGUCGGCGUAGGAGUUUCCUUCUCUUUAGGCGAGAUAACUACAGGUGCUGGAGACACCCUAGGAGUGUAUUUAGGAGUGAAUACACAGACGCUUCGAGUCAUGCCUCCCGCUCCAGCGAUGUUGACGAUUUCUGUAUCAGGAAUGCAGAUUUAUUUUCCUCCAAAAUACGUUGUGGUCUCAUAAUUCCAAGGUACUGCCUUAGUAUUCUGAUACGGAAACGGAGUUGGAACGCAGAAGUGAAUCGGCUGAAUCCUCUUGGGAGGAGCUUCAACCUUCUUUUUCCAAUAUACAAUUGUUAUUGGUUCAAUCACUUCCACUUCUUCUGCUGCUUGAGAUUUGGAGAACAAUAUUAACCCUUGAUCCAUCAGUGCAUGCACGCACCCUUUCAACUGCUCGCAAUUAUCUGGAUCGAACUCGCAUAUUAUGUGUAGAUGUUUGAUUGGCUGCAUUUUAUGUUAAAACACUAACUAUACUCUGAUAUCUUGACUGAUGUCAUGACAUGCUUUGUAGAUGUUUGAUUGGCUGCAUCCUGUGUUAAAACACUAACUGUACUCUGAUGUCUUAAAUGAUGUCAUGACAUACUUGAGUAGUAUGCUGCAGGUUUAGCUAAUACAGGAUUUACUGAAUGUCAAACUAGAUGUUAUGACAUUCUUCCAUGACAGUAAAUACUGAACUAUAGAAUAGUUGGUUUUUCUGUUAUAGCUCAGUAUUGAGUUCAGUCUGUGUUUCAGGAAAAUAACAGACCUAGCAUAUUGCCUAUGUUCUGGACGUCAAACUGAAUGUUAUGACAUUCAUUCCUGACAGCAUAUGCUAAAGUGGAGGAUGGUUAGUUUUUCUGUUUCAGUAUUUUUCUCAGGCUAUUUUUCAGGAAUCCAACAGCUGAGCUAAAAUCCAGGAAACUAACAACUAAGCUACAAUUAAUGGACCUAACAAAUAGGCCUAAUAUGUGUAGCACCCUUUAUAUGUGGAAAUUAGGUUAACUUGCUUAACCUAUUUUUAGGAAAUACAAGUACAAGGCCCAAGUGCUGCAUAUAAAAGGAUGGCAAUCCUAUUUCAGAACUUAUGGGCGUUUUUAGCGUGAAGCAUUCAUUGUUCCAUUAUACUUCACUGCUGUAGUUUUAUGUGUGUCUUGUAUUAGGUGUAACUUGUGAGCCCAAAAAUAUCACCUAGAUGAUUGCAUUGGACUAGGGUGUCAUUGAGUUGUAAGUGUUGUUCACUCUAAGCUUUUAAGCGUGAGUGUUAUGUUUCUUGAUUAAAGCUGUUAAGACCACAAUCAGAUUGGUUGAAGUAUACUUCACCAUUGUCUUUAAAACUUUAAUUAAGGUUGUCAAUCACUGAGGUGAUUGAGGGAGAUGAGUGAGAGAACUCUGGUUUAGUUUAAGAUUGAAAUGGCAUUGGUAGGUAUUAAGUAGAUAGGAUUAAACAAGUGGUUUAAGGCCUGAAUAAAUACUGCUAAAGUGGAAUUUCCUCCCUGGUGGUAGCCCCAGACGUAGGUGUGGUGACACGGACUGCGGUAAACAAUUCCUUGUGUUAUUUACUGCACUUUACAUUUACCUGCUAUAUAAUUCCUGUCUGCGCAGAAUAGAUGUCAUAACAUCCAGUGUGACAUCGAAAGUCGUUAACAAGAUUUCAAUUUGCAUCAGAGCAGGCACCCUGGCCUGGUUAAUUUUCUGCGGUGACAUCUAGGGACGUUACUUUCUAUACCAUGCGACAAGGAUGUAGGAUACUCAAAUGACCACCAUGCUGGACUGGCUAACUAUGAUGACUGGAAACCUCGUAUGAUAGCCUCUUGAGUCUCUAGAUAGCAAGGUCUGGAGAGAUGUCAACAAAAGGUGGGAACAUCCAACGAAGACAGGUAAGAUGGAAUCAUUAUGCAAAUUCCUGAAGAAGAGUGGGACAAGGAGCAAGAGCAUUAGCCCUGGAAAAUUCUAAGCCUGAAUGCACUGUUCAAUGCGAAUAAUAAGAACAUUUUUCAGACUGUGCAUCACUGUGAACUCGCUAAAGAAGUUUUGGAUAUCCAAAACAACCAUGAAGGACCUCAAGGUGAGGAUGUCUAAACUUCAGAUGCUGACCACCAAGUUGAAAAUCUGAGGAUGAAAGAGGAUAAGACUAUUCAUGACUUCCAUGAAUAUUCUUGAAAUUGCCAACACUUCUGGGCUGAGAAAAAUGUGAAGAAAAACUUGUAACGAAAUUCUCAGUGCAUUUGCCAAAAGAUUUGCCAUGAAGGUCACUGCUAUAAAGAGCGCUCAAGAUAUCUGCAAUAUGAGCGUUGAUGAGCUUAUUGGUUCUGCUUCAAAAACUUUUGAAAUGGGCUGUGUGGAAUGUUGAAAAGAAGAAUAAAAGCAUGCUUUUGCUAUUCAGGAAUACUGAAGAGAUUCAGAAGAAGAAGCUCAGUGAUUGAAGCAUAUCAGAGUCCAUAGCCAUGCUUGGGAUACAGUUCACAAGUUCAUAAAGAAAUUUGAUCAAAGAAGGGUAGACCCAAAUGUCAAAACAUUUCAGUCUACCAUCAGUAAGAAGCAUCAAAAUAUGAGAAAAAGGUCACCCACAGCAGGGAAUCCAGUGCCAGGAGUUCUUGAAAGGUUUUGGUCACAUUAGGUUGAAUGCCCUACCUCCUCAAGAUGCAAAAGAAAGGGCUAUCUUCACUGCGUCUAAAGGAGAUUCUGAGAGUGCAAUCUGAAGGAGAAUCUGCUAAACAUGUCACUGCACAACUAGUGUCUGUGCUCUGAUGAUGACUAAGUGGAGAUAAACUUACCCUGAUUGAACUUCGCUUGCCUUCAUAUAAAGAGCAUGUGUCAAAAAAGUGCAGAAUGUGUAAUCCAAGAGAAAAGCAGAAAGAAACUCAUCAAGGAGAUUGAAGCUGAGAAACAGAGCAUCGACAGUCAUUAGAUGAGUUGAAAUGGUUGAGAUAUCAUUGCUGACAUCUCAAGCUAGAACAAAUGUAACAAAAUCAUCAGAAUGCUGAAUAAAAGGAACUGAACACCUUGGUAAGAGAUUCUAAAGUGUUAGCGACAGAAGCAGCGAACCAUGUCUGCGUUAGGCUUUGUUAGAAAUCCUCAGCCUAACAAAACGCUCAAAGGCUGAAGUUCAGAAACUCAGCAGAAGUCACAGUAAAUCAUGUCUCAACAUCAGGGAACCAGGAUGAGUAACCAUCAGAAAAGAUUUCAAGAUGGAGAUGUCAAUUUGGUAGAUUGUCAUAUAAAAAGCUCUGCUACAGGUGCAUGGUUCCACCCAAACCCGCAAUCAUACCUAGUAAGGCUUAAGCAUAGAUGCCCCCCACAAGAAAGCGACCAAUGGGUUCUAGGUUAGCUCACACAACUCUAAGGGCGUCUACCAGAGAAGACUGGUACUUUGAUAGUGGCUGCUCAAGACAUAUGACUGGUAUGGAGAAUUUAUUGGUGGAUAUACAACCUCACACUACCAGUUAUUUGACCUUUGGUGAUGGUGCUAAAGGAAAAAUCAAAGGUGUUGGUAAGCUGGACAGUUCUGGAGUUCCAGAACUGAAUAAUAUGCUGUUAGUAAAAGGACUAACUGCUAAUCUCAUAAGCAUAAGCCAACUGUGUGAUCAAGGUUUCAAUGUUCAGUUCACUACAGAAUUAUGUGUUGUGACAAAUGGAGAUAAUCAGGAAGUUAUGAGAGGAUCCAGAUCCAAAGAUAACUGCUAUCUAUGGGAACCUAAAGUCUCAAACUACUCCUCAAUGUGCUCCUAGGCCAAGGAAGAACAGGAGGUGAAGUUGUGGCAUAGACGUCUUGGUCAUCUUGAUUUAAGGGGAAUGAAAUAGAUCAUCUCCAUGGAAGCAGUUAGAGGAAUCCCAAAGCUGCUUAUUGAUGAAGGAAGAGUCUGUGGAGAAUUCCAGGUUGGCAAGCAAACCAAGAUGUCACAUCCUAAGUUGGGACAUCCUACAACAUCCAAAACUCUGGAACUUUUGCACAUGGACUUAAUGGGACCUAUGCAGGUUGAAAGUCUGGGUGGAAAGAGAUCCUACAACAUCCAAAACUCUGGAACUUUUGCACAUGGACUUAAUGGGACCUAUGCAGGUUGAAAGUCUGGGUGGAAAGAGAUAUGCCUAUGUGGUUGUUGAUGACCAUUCCAGAUACACAUGGAUAAACUUCAUCAGAGAAAAAUCAGAUGCAUUUGAUGUCUUCAAAGAUCUGUGCAUCAGACUUCAAAGGGAAAAGGAUAGUUGUGUUGUCCGAAUUAGGAGUGAUCAUGGGACGGAGUUUAAAAAUUCCAAGUUUGAUGAGUUCUGCUCAUCUGAAGGGAUAAGCCAUGAGUUUUCCUCUCUUAUUACUCCUCAGCAAAAUAGGAUAGUUGAAAGGAAAAACAGAACUAUUCAAGAAUCUGCCAGAGCUAUGAUUCAUGCAAAGAAGCUUCCUAUGCAGUUUUGGGCUGAAGCUAUGAAUACAGCUUGCUAUGUUCACAAUAGAGUUACCUUGAGAAAAGGAAACUCUUUCACUCUGUGUGAAAUAUGGAAAGGCAGAAAACCCACUGUGAAGUACUUUCAUAUCUUUGGAAGCAAAUGUUACAUUCUCACAGAUCGUGAACAGAGAAGGAAAAUGGACCCCAAAAAUGAUGAGGGUAUAUUCCUAGGAUACUCAACUAACAGCAGAGCCUACAGAGUGUUCAACUCCAGAACCAAUGUCCUGAUGGAAUCCAUAAAUGUGAUUGUGGAUGAUAAAGAGGAAGGAGCCAAUGCCAUAGAGGAUGUUGGAACAUUCCUUGAGACUUCAACAGACAUACCAGUCAAGACUGAAGAGGUACAAGAAACUUCUCCUGAAUGUGAGGUAGAUGCAUCCAACAAAGUGCCUUCUAUCAGAAUUCAGAAAGACCACCCUAAGGAUCAUAUUAUAGGGGAUCCCAAUAGUGGUGUGACUACCAGAUCAAGGGAGAAUAGCUCAAAUUCCUGUUUUAUUUCCAAGGUUGAACCAAAAAAUGUGAAAGAAGCCUUGACUGAUGAAUAUUGGAUCAAUGCCAUGCAAGAUGAACUGGAUCAGUUUAAAAGGAAUGAAGUUUGGGAGUUAGUUCCACGACCUGAAGGGACCAAUAUCAUUGGUACCAAGUGGAUCUACAAGAACAAGUCUGAUGAGAAAGGAGUAAUCACUAGAAAUAAAGCAAGACUAGUGGCACAAGGAUAUACUCAAGUUGAAGGGGGUUGAUUUUGAUGAGACUUUUGCACCAGUUGCAAGGCUUGAAUCAAUAAGAUUGCUGUUUGCAUUCUGAAGUUCAAAUUGUUCCAAAUGGAUGUGAAGAGUGCCUUUUUAAAUGGCUACUUGAAUGAAGAAGUCUAUGUGGAACAACCUAAAGGGUUCUGUGAUCCUAACCUGCCAAAACAUGUGUACAAGUUGAGGAAAGCUUUGUAUGGGUUGAAGCAAGCUCCUAGAGCUUGGUAUGAAAGGUUGACUGAGUUUCUGACCACUAAUGGGUACAGGAAAGGAGGGAUAGAUAAGACCUUAUUUGUGAAGGAUGAAGAUGGCAAAAUCAUGAUUGCCCAAAUUUAUGUGGAUGAUAUUGUAUUUGCUGGAAUGUCAGAGAAAAUGGUGAAACAUUUUGUUCACCAGAUGCAAUCUGAGUUUGAAAUGAGUUUGGUUGGGAAACUGACUUAUUUUCUUGGACUGCAAGUUAACCAAAUGGAGGAUUCUAUGUUUCUCUCCCAAAGCAAAUAUGCCAAGCACAUAGUUAAGAAGUUUGGUAUGGAUAAUGCUAGUCACAAAAGGACUCCUGCACCUACUCAUUUAAAAUUAACUAAAGAUGAAGGAGGUCCCAGUGUUGAUCAAUGCUUGUAUAGAAGCAUGAUAGGUAGUCUACUAUAUCUAACUGCCAGUAGACCUGAUAUUUCCUAUGCAGUUGGUGUGUGUGCUAGAUACCAAGCAGUCCAGUGUUGAUCAAUGCUUGUAUAGAAGCAUGAUAGGUAGUCUACUAUAUCUAACUGCCAGUAGACCUGAUAUUUCCUAUGCAGUUGGUGUGUGUGCUAGAUACCAAGCAGAACCCAAAGUGAGUCACCUAAAUCAAGUCAAGAUAAUUCUCAAGUAUAUCAAUGGGACUUGUGAUUAUGGUAUGCUAUACUCUCAUGGCUCUGAGCCUAUUUUAUCUGGGUAUUGUGAUGCUGAUUGGGUUGGGAGUGCUAAUGACAGAAAAAGCACAUCAGGAGGAUGUUUCUUCUUGGGAAACAAUCUCAUAUCGUGGUUCAGCAAGAAGAAGAACUGUGUAUCAUUGUCCACUGCAGAGGCUGAGUACAUAGCAGCUGGAAGCAGUUGUUCCCAACUGGUAUUGAUGAAACAGAUGCUGACUGAGUACAAUGUCUCUCAGAAUGUCAUGACAUUGUUCUGUGACAAUCUCAGUGCCAUCAACAUUUCAAAGAAUCCCAUCCAACACAGCAGGACCAAACAUAUUGACAUUAGACAUCACUUCAUCAGAGAUCUAGUGGAAGACAAAGUGAUUACCUUGGAACAUGUAGCUACUGAACUACAACUUGCUGACAUAUUUACAAAGGCUUUGGAUGCUACUCAGUUUGAAAAUUUAAGGGGCAAAUUGGGAAUAUGCCUUUCUGUAUAUGCCUUUCUGAGGAUUUAUAGCAACCAAGGAUGUUAGGAAUGUAUUGUUUAAUAUUCCAACCUAUUAAACAAUUGAAAGUGUGCUCUGACUGGGUAACAGAUCAUAGCUAUUUCACUUGCUGCAAGUGUGUUAACAAGAUAUUAAGGGGAUAUCCUAACAUAAGACAGCCUAUGUACCUGCUGGAGUUCAAGAACAUGUGCAUGCAGGAGCGGUUCAAGAUGUCAUACUCAAAGUCAUGGCAUCUGAUAUUGGUGUACCUGCUGUGAAGCAAGAGUGUGUGUCUACUUGAUCAAAGCUGUGAAGCAAGAUCAAAUGGGUGUCGUCUUGAUCAAAGUUGUAAAGCAAGAUCAAGAGGGGGUAUUCUUGAUUGAAAUUGUGAAGUAAAAUCAAGAGUGUGGUCCUGAAUAUUAUGUGUAAUUUAUUUUGUUUUGGUCUGUAUUAUUAAGUGUUGCUUUGGCAACAUUUUUGACAAAAAGGGGGAGUAACACCUGUGCCCCAGGACAACAGAUGUGCUAUGUGCAUUGAACAGAUAUUGAAGAUCCUCUAAUCCAGAGGGUGUGCUGCAACUUGAUGUUCACCUUCUAUGUGUGAUGAGUGUGAGUGUGUGCUGUUUACUAUCUGCAUGUGUGUUGGUGUUUGAAGUUUUUAUUUAACUUCUGUGUAUGUGCUAAGUGUGCUGCUGUUCUGUGUGUGUGCUGAAGUUUCUAUUUAACUUCUGUGUGUAUCCUGAGUGUGCUACUGUUCUGAGUGUAUUAGCUAUGGUAUUACUCUGCUAGGAUGUGUGUUUUCCGCUGUUGUGAACUCUGUUGUGAUGCCAAGUUGUUUUAGCCAAAAAAUUGCCAAAGGGGGAGUUUGUAGAUGUUUGAUUGGCUGCAUUUUAUGUUAAAACACUAUUUGUACUCUGAUGUCUUGACUGAUGUCAUGACAUGCUUUGUAGAUGUUUGAUUGGCUGCAUUCUGUGUUAAAACACUAACUGUACUGUGAUGUCUUGACUGAUGUCAUGACAUACUUGAGUAGAUUGCUGCAGGUUUAGCUAACAUAGGAUUUACUGAAUGUCAAACUAGAUGUUAUGACAUUCAUCCAUGACUGCAAAUACUGAACUAUAGAAUAGUUGGUUUUUCUGUUAUAGCUCAGUAUUGAGUUCAGUAUGUGUUUCAGGAGAGUAGCAGACCUGGCACAUAGCCUACUGUCUGAAUGUCAAACGGAAUGUUAUGACAUUCAUCAUUGACAGCAUAUACUGAAUAAUAUGCAGGUUGGUUUUUCUGCUACAGUUCAGUAUGUAUUUUAGUCUGUUUAUCAAGGGAAUAACAGACCUGGCAUAAGGCCCAUUGUUUAAAUGUCAAACUGGAUGUUAUGACAUUUAUCUCUGUCAGCUGAUACUGAAGUAUAGACUGGUUGGUCUUUUACAGUACAACAUUUUGUACAGUCUGUUUUUAGGAAAAUAACAGACCUAGCAUAUGGCCUAUGUUCUGGACGUCAAACGGAAUGUUGUGACAUUCAUUCCUGACAGCAUAUGCUAAAGUGUAUGAUGGUUAGUUUUUCUGUUUCAGUAUUUUUCUCAUGCUAUUCUUCAGAAAUCCAACAGCUGAGCUAAAAUCCAGGAAACUAACAACUGAGCUACAAUUAAUGAACCUAACGAAUAUCCUAUUUGUUAGCACCCUAAUAUGUGGAAAUUAGGUUAACUUGCUUAACCUUAAUUUUAGGAAAUACAAGUACAAGGCCCAAGUGCUGCAAUAUAAAAGGAUGGCUAUCCUUCUUUCAGAACCCAGGGAUUUUUAGCGUGAAGCAUUAAUUGUUCUAUCAUACAUCACUGCUGUAUUUUUAUGUGUGUCGUGUAUUAGGUUUAACUUGUGAGCCAAGCAAUUAUCACCUAGAUGAUUGCAUUGGACUAGGGUGUUCAUUGAGUUGUAAGUGUUGUGUCACUCUAAGCUUUUAAGCGUGAGUGCUGUGUUUCUUGAUUUAUUAUCACCUAGAUGAUUGCAUUGGACUAGGGUGUUCAUUGAGUUGUAAGUGUUGUGUCACUCUAAGCUUUUAAGCGUGAGUGCUGUGUUUCUUGAUUAAAGCUGUUAAGCACAAUCAAGAGUUGUUGAAGUAUUACUUCACCAUUGUCUUUAAACUUAAUUAAAGGUUGUAAUCACUGAGGUGAUUGAGGGGGAGUGAGUAGGAACUCUGGUCUUUGUUUAAGAUUGAAAUUGUAUUGGGUAGGUAUUAAGUGAUAGGAUUAAACAGGUGGUUUAAGGCCUGAAUUAAUACUGCUAAUAGUAGAUUUCCUCCCUGGCUUGGUAGCCCCCAAAUGUAGGUGUGUGUGACACCGAACUGGGUAAACAAUUCCUUGUGUUAUUUACUGCACUUUACAUUUACCUACUGUAUACAUUCCUGUCUGCGCAGAAUUGGAUGUCAUAACAUCCAGUGUGACAUCGAAAGUCUGUUAACUAGAAUUUCACUGUGCAAUCAUCAUGCACCCCUUCUAAAAACCCAAAUUGUUCUAGCUUUCGUAAUACAACGAACAUCGUCGUCUUCACCUCUUCAACUCUCAGUAUGACUUCGGUACUUUUCUCUUCAAUCACGACGUUGACUGACGCGCCACUAUGAUUUGGCAAAGGAUUUGUCUUUACAUUUGGUUUUUCUUCAGAAAAUGAUAGAACCCCUUGGUCAAUUAACUCUUGGAUCCUCUUUUUGAGGGUCCAACAAUCCUCAGUGGAAUGUCCUAUAUACCCUACGUGGUAAGCGCAUGUGGCAUUAGGAUUGUGGCACCGAUUGAAAGGAGGAGAAGUUGCCGACAAUUCCCUCGGUACAAUAGCUCCCACAUGGACUAGAUAUGGUACUAACUCUGCAUAUGGCACCAUGAUCUUUUCAAACUGAGGGAGGUUACCAAAAUUUCCUAUGUUAUUCUGACCUCGAUUUUGCCCUCUGUUAUCGUUAUUAUAUUGUUGGUUUGGAUUUUUCUGAGCAGGUGUUGAUUGUUGAUUGCCUUUCUGCGGUUGAUACUGGGAAAGGCGGUUGUUGGUAUUGAGCUGCAGCAACAUACGAAUAUGGAUAAUACGACAUAUGGGCUAUUGGAAAUUGAUAUCGGGGUCGAGCCCUCGCCAUUACAGCGUUUGCUUCCCCCUCCUUCUUUUUAGCGAAGCCCCCAUGUGGCCUCUUGUUGGUUGUCUGCGAUGCGGUCAUGUCUGUUAUUUUCUCGGAUUUCAGCUCACUCUCAACACGUUCCCCAAUAGUAACCAUGUCAGUGAAUUUUGUUGAUGAACUGCCAAUCAUCUUUUCAAAACAUAACCCUUGCAACGUACCCAUGAAGAUGUCCACCAACUCAUUGUUAGAUAAUGCUGGCCGAACCCUAGACGCCAUUUCGCACCAAUGUUGAGCAUAUUCCUUGAAGGUUUCAUUAGAUCUUUGCGACUGAUUCUGUAAUUGAAGCCUUGUCGGAGCCAUGUCAAGGUUGUACUUAUACUGUUUCCAGAAUUCCUCGGAGAGGUCCCUCCAUGACCGGAUCUUCGAACUCUCCAGACUCAUGGACCAAUCCUAGGAGGCCCCAGCCAGGCUAUCUUGGAAGAAAUGAAUCAAGAGGUUGUCGUUAUCAAUGUGUGAAGGCAUCUUCCUGCAGUAUACAGUGAGGUGACUGCGGGGACAACUAAGGCUUUUGUAUUUAGGAAGGUCAUGCACCUUGAAUUUCUGUGGCAACACCACGUUCGGGACCAAACAAAGGUCUCAAGCAUUUAUGCCAAAGGACGAGAAACCCUUGAUGGCCUUUAUUUUGUCGUCCAAGAGCUGGUAAUCCGCAGGUCUAGCCGGAUCAACAGCGGGAGGAGCGACCUGACUGGCCGAUCGAGAAGCUUCGGGAGCGAUUGGUGCGGGCAUGUUUAGGGUGAACCACAUCUGUGGUGGGUAGGAGAAACCCGGUGGCACGGUCUGAGCAGCAGUAGUGGGCUGAAAGUAUUGCAUUCCAGGUUGAGCAUUGGGGGCCUGAGGUGCCCAUUCCUGCACGUACUGGGAUGUAGGGUACGUCAUCAUGGGCAUGGAGUUUUCCCCUGGGUAAUCGAAGGGGAAAGUCGGGACCUGGCCAACGCUCACAGCUUAAGUGGUCUGAUUAGGAAGUUAAAAGUGGAGGCGCGGGCCUCGGUAGUCCUCUUCAUCAUUAGGGAGGUCUUUAGGGACCUAACCCUGGUUGUCAUUCAGAUCAACAACAUUAACCGGAGUAGUUUGGAGAGUGGGGAAAGCCCAUGGAAAACUAAUGUUUCCAGCAGCAGCAGCAGCAGCAAGAAUCGGGUGAGGGAAGAAAACUCCCCCACUAGCGAGACUAGCAGCAAGAUGUGGGGGCAUUCCCCACGGGUAGGCAGCAACAAGCCUAGCAGGGUCCGUGGGGACCACUUGACAGUUCCCAGAGUUAGGCACCAUAGUUUCCGUCCGCGUGUCGACGGUAGUGCCAGUAGCAGUAUCAGGAAUGGUCACCCCAAGAGCACGAGUGACGUUGGCAGCAGCAGAGGCAGGGUUCCUCUGAGACUGGAGGAUCUCGAGGAUGGUCUCCAUGUUUCCCCUGAAUAGGUUCAUCUCACCUUGCACAUGGGCAAGGUAUUCGCGGACAACAGCGUUGUGGGCUUCGUAUUCGGCCAUGAUUCUGGAUUUGCUGGAACAUGUGUCGUACGGAUGACAAGUCGUCGUUGUUGCUGUGGCAAAAUGGCGAGUGUAAGCAUUUUGUUUUCUGACGUGUUUUGGCAAGUAAAUGCGUGGAUGCAUGUAUGUAUGCAAAAAUAUUUGAUUCAACAUUAUUAUUAUUUUUUGUAAAGGAAACAAUUCCAAGCAAUCCGUGAGUUUAUGUAACACAAGCAAUUAUGAAGCGAAUAAAGAGAGACAGUUUAUGAAGCCAAUAAUCGAGAAACUCUUUUAUUCAAUGUUAAUAAAGCAGAAUACAAGUACAAUAAAGAAAUGCCCAUCGGCUACAAGAAGGUCACAUUAGUUCUAUCAGACCUCAAUCUAGUGAAUUACAAGCGACUAGAAGCAAUUGGAUAACAAUUUUUCGUAGUAAGCCUGAGAUUUGGGGGACAGGAAAGUGCCCCAUUUUCCCAACAUUGCACUCCCUUCAAGUGGGGGGUUGUGAUCUGGUUUGCUUGGAAUGUUAUUCACAAUUGUCUUUCCUCGGUUGGAGUGGUCUUCAGGAUGCUUCUUCAACUGUAUGUUGUUGUCUUUCAGGUUCCCAUGUGAUUGUUCCUUCAGCUCUUGGAUCUCCUCUAGUCUCUAAUUCAGCUCAUACUGGUUUUGGCGAAGGGUGACUUUUAGCUGUUUGUUGCGGAUUCUCUCAUCCUUCAACUCUUCCUUACAAGCUUCUAGCAGGCUUUUAAGUUUCUUCAUUUGCUCCAUAUGUUCUAGUUCUGCUUUACCGGCUCGGUAUUGGGCUUCGACUAACUGCUUCUUUUUGGUUGUCAGGCUGGCAUAAGUCCCUUUGAGGGUGUCACCCACUUUGAGUCUUUUGAAAACCUUUGUAUGUACCUCAUCAUCUGCUUGGCGAACUCCGUCUCUCUUCUUAUUCAGAUUGAAUUUCAAGGCUUCUUUCUCCAAUGAUAUCUUAGCAAGCUUAGAUUUGAGAUCGGCAUUCUCUUUCUCUAGAGUCUUGAUAACCUUCUUCAAUUCAUCUACUUCAGAAUUUGGCUGGUUCUCUGGCUCAGGAGGUUGGAGGUUCAUGGAUGGUUCAGGCAGGAACGGCAACAAGACCUCACUAACUCUGCUCUUGACCCAACUGGUGUAAGCUUCCUUGGUGAUACAGUUCUUCUUACCCAUCUCUUCUCUUCCUUGAGGAUAAAUCGACCCCUAAGCCUUGACAAUCUUCUUGAUCAACUCUGGCUCUUCGACCCCUUCAUAUAAAACAAAACCCUCUACACUUUCGAGAUCAGGUUUGUCCACCAAAGGAUAUCCAAGUUUCCGUAUUUCUAACCUCGGGUUGUAGUUGAUCCCUCCCUCUGUACCAAGAAGAGGUACAUUAGGAAAAUCCCCACAAUUGAGGAUGAGCUUGACACCAUCAUACACUCGAUAAUACCAAGGAAUGUAUUCGGCUUUUAAGGACAUGAUCCGCUGGGACCAUUUCAAGUUAUCUUUGUUCUCAACGAAAGGACCUUUGCUGGGUAAAUGCGAAAUAAACCAUCUAUACCGUAAAGGGGUGAAACAUACGAUAUUCCCUUUAUUCUUUUGGGUUCUCACAUGGAUGGAAUAGUAAGUAUCGGCAAGAAGAGUGGGAAUCGGAUUCUGAGUCAAGAAGAUGUGAAUGGCAACCAAGUCUACGAACUCCUCCAUAUUCGGAAACAAGACAAUCCCUUAGAUAAGUAAAGCUAGAUGGGCGUUGAAGGUCGUCCAACUUCGAGCUUCAGCGAAGGUGAUAGCUUUGUCUACGAGAAACUUAGAGGUGAAGCCAUGGAUUCCACCCUUUGGUUUCAGGUUCAAUUCUAUUUCCUUCUUUCCCAUAUGCAGAGCUUCAGCCAGAUCUAGAUAUUCAGGAAGUUCCUUAGGGCGGAUGUAGGGCACUUGGUUCUUAAUCCUAAUACCCAGAAUAUGAGAAUACUCUUCUAAUGUUGGCGCUAGCUAGUAAUCUUGGAAUGUAAAACACCUUAGUGGUGGAUCGUAGAACUGCACCAAGGUGUGCACAGUGGUGAUGUUGACCUUAGUGUUCAGAAUACCCAGGAGGUUACCAUACGCUUCCUUGAAGGCGUCUUUGUGAUUCAAGUAUAAACUUUCACCAAGUCCUCUCAAUAUAGACAAUGGAGGUUUCACAAACUUGUAAUUUUGGAUGCUCUUUCUCUCGGGAUUCAUGCUUCGCUUCAAUUGCUUGGUAAACAGACUAGACUAUUUGAUUCCUGGAAAAGACAUGCAUAUGCAAAAAUUUGGUCAUGAUUAAUGAUAAUGUAAUGAUGAGAUGAUAACAAGUCACAUGGACUCGAAACUCUGGCAUAUUUUGGACAAUCUGUAAGUGCCACAUGUUGCAAGCUUAAAAAUUCGACGUAGCAUGAGUAUCAAGGUAGGUAGAGUCUAUGGUUUCCUGUAAUAAAAACCCAUAUUCCCCUCACAGGUUUGGACUAUGCUCCAAGGUGGUCCCUAGAAGGUCUCCCAGAGUCAUCGACUCGAAAUAAAAAUACCUUGCCGUAGUGAAUACUCACAGGACAAAAGUACUUCCAAGUGAAUCUAGUAUGGGUGUGGUUCUCUUGACACCCAACGCGUUAAACGCAGGUGUACACGACUAUCCACGAGUCUAACCUAUGUGUAUACUAAGCUCGGGUAUAGAGCUUUCCUCUCAUGUAGUCUAACGCAUCCCAACAACAAUGUAACAGAUAUAUCCAUAAUAUAAGGCGAAUAAGAAAUGCGAUAAAUAGAAGCGAGUAUAGCUAUGAGUUAAGUACCUAAACUAGCGAGGGAACAACCCAAACUAGGCUCGACUCCUUUUAACGACUAGGAAAUACUCCCAAUAACAAAGUAUCCCCAGAUGAGUCGCCAGCUGAAGCUGGGGAUACUCAAGAAGAGACCCCCAACUACAAGCAAACUCCCCAGCAGAGUCGCCAGCUGAAGCUAGCGGAAAUAUACCCGAACGUAUUGCACGCUCGAACAUACAACAGAGUCGCCAUCGAACUUUAUUUAUCCCCAAAGGGAAGGGAAAACAUCGAUAAAACCCGGGGUAAAGAGAUAUACUAGGUAAGGAAGUCUGUUAUGCAAGGGGAAGGUAUUAGCACCCCAAACAUCCAUGGUACUCCAUGAGAGCCGUUUUGAUUGUUCUCGCUCGAAUAGGUGUGAUAUCUAAAGAUUACUCGCAAAAGAAUAAGGGGAAAGGAAAGGAAAUAGAUAAAGUGCUCGGUGAGGAUUAAGGCACUCAUGCCUACGUAUCCUCAUAGUGCAAUGAUGAAUUCAGAGCUUUGUAGUUCAAGGAACUAGAGGCAGGAGGUGAAAAGGAGUGUGAUCAAGGUAUGGUUUGAGCCAAAGGAUAAUGUUGUUUGAACUCCAAGAGAGGGUGAAAACGUGAACCCAAGAGUAAACAGGUUAUUUGAAUCGACAAGUGAGGGCGUAGAGCACUUAUAUCAUUGUACUGGAACAACCAAAAAGAGAGGAAUUAGGUUUUUGGGAUGAGAGCCAAACAACUCUUGGUUCACAAGGAGGUACAAGAUGGAGCACAAAAGUAUAAUGUAUUUAGCUCAAAGAAUAGGUAUAUCGUGGAGUUAAAGAAGGUAGUAUACGAAUGUAUCAUGGGAUGAACGGAAUGAAGUGACUGAAGUCACAGAAUAGAGUAUCUGGUAACAAGUGACUGAAGAAAUAUUGUUUGAAAUCGAAAGGUGAAAGUGUAUUGGAAUCCAUAAGAGAAGUGAGAUUUCUACCAUAGAGGGAAACAACUUUAACCGAUAUGUGGACUAGCAGGCCGCCACUGUAAGGUUUUGGCUAAAAAGAAGGAAUUAAAUGUUUGGGAUGAGAGCCAAACAACUCUAGGUAUGAAAUGCAGAUUAUUCAUUAGGCGUCCUAAAAGGGUAUGUGUGGAAUUCCAAGGAAAGUGUAUUUCGAUGUCAAAGAGACAGUAUGUCACUGGGCGAAGGGUUCAUGAUCGAAGGUAGAUAAUGAAUAGUGAAAGAUAUGAGUGGUGCCCUAAGCCGGAAGAGGAAUAAUUAGAAGUAUGCUCGCCGAGGAUUGGUAUCCUCGUGCCUACGUAUUCUCAUUGUGAAAUGAGAAAAUCAGAGAAAUUGUAGUUCGGAACUAUGAGAAUAGAGAGAAAGAGAUGUUUGUCUAAGCAACAUGGACUCACAAGACAAACACACAAGGGAGGAUUGCAGUACUGGAAUGCAAGGAGUAGUGUAUCACUUGCUGGGGAAUCGACAAUUCGAGAUCAAAUCAGGAUAGUAUCUUGGAUCCACGAGAAGGAUAGACUCUUAAUCGAAGAGCAAAGUGGCGUGUUAGCCAAACAAGAAUGAAUUGAAUGUUUGGGAUGAGAGCCAAACAAGAAUGAAUUGAAUGUUUGGGAUGAGAGCCAAACAAGAAUGAAUUGAACGUUUGGGAUGAGAGCCAAACAACUCUUGAUUGAAGAGAUUGACUGUCAUCAGGACGUCCUAAAAGGAUGGACAAAGAGUCCAAGGAGAAGUAUGAUUGAUCUCGAAAAGACGGUAUUGGUUGUGUGAAUGGAGAAUGAUCCAUGGGAUAGAGAAGGUAAAUUGAUAAAUAAGAUAGCUCGUGAAGAAACCGGGUUCUCCUGCCUACGUACCCUUAUAGUGCAAUAAGGAAAUCAGAGCUUUCAAAGUUCAGCCCACUAGGGCUGAAAAGAAAUUGAUUGGAAGCAAGAGGAAAUGGAUGAUUGAUAUUGAAAUGAUUUGAAUGGAAUGAUGAAAAUCGAAUGGAUAGACUUGAUAGUUACUGGAUGAUGAGAAUCACACUAACUUUCAAGUGGAGAGAGAAGAGUCUUUGUAGUUGUUUCUUGAAUGGAAGAUGGAGACUUUAUCAAUGGUUCGAUUCAAAUCGUACUAAAGUCUAUGAAUGGAGGUGAAUACGAUGAGCGUUGUGUCAUACGUCCCAUACCCAACUAUAAUCAUAAUGGGGAUAGGAGUACUUUAGUACCACUCCUUCUCCAUUACUUAAGGCUCGUAUCGUACAACUUGAUUCAUGAUUGAUAGGUUGUUGAAGUGGUCCUUGCUUUUUGUGGUUUUUGCUUUGUGAAGAUAGACUUGUCAAUUCUAUGAUUAGAAUUGUCCUAAAGUCUAUGAAUAGAGGUGAAUACGAUGAGCGCUGGGUCAUACGUCCCAUAUCCAAAGAUACUCAGAAUGGGGGUAGGAAUACUCCAGUCCCACUCCUUCUCUAUUGCUUAAGGCUCGUGUCACACUCUUCUAACUUUGAGUUAACAAGUGUUGAAGACGCCACCUUUGAUGUGCUUGAAUAAUUUUGACCGAUGCCACCUUUGAUGUGCUUGAAUAAUCGCUGCUUGAUAUAACUGAUAGGAUGCCUUGAUUGAAGAUCUUGACUGAGGCUGAGCUCCACAACUUGGAAGAAAGUCUUAUUAAGUGCCCAAGGGUCUUUUGGUCACUCAAAUUAGACUGUGGGAUUAUACAAUCAAAGGAUUUAAUUAAUCAAAAUUGCUUUUGAUCAAUUUAAUCAUGGGUUUUGAUUUGGUUUUGUGGGGAACUAGGUUAGGAUCUAGUUGAAGUUAGUAAUUGUUGGAAACUAUCCUAAGGGAUCAUGCAUUAGAUGUUGAUUGAACAUUCUAAGUUAGAAGUUAGAAAUCCUAAAAGGCUUAUGUUAAGUCCUACAAUUAUUGGGAAAUGAUUGAAUUCUAAUCCUAAGGGGAGCAUGCAAUUUUAACAUAAAAAUACCAAAAUAAGCACGUAAGGGGCAAAUUGGUCAUUUACUAAAAUAUGUCUAAUUUUAUUCAUGGCCUAAAAGGGAUCUAACCUAAAGUUGAAUUCUAAUCCUAAUGUUAAGAAUAGUGAAGUUCUAAAUCUAAGCAAACAUAAUUGUUUCUAAUUUCAAUCUAAUUAAAAUUCCCAAUUAAAUUCUAAUAAAAAUCCUAAAAUGUGAACUAAUCCUAAUUAAAAUUCUAAAAUGUGAAUUAAUCCUAAUUAAAUUCUAAAGUGUGAAUUAAUCCUAAUUAGGUCCACAAAUCUUAAAAUCCAUAUUUAAAUCCUAAUUGUCAAUUAUCAAUCUAAUUAAACUAAUAUUAACCUAAUUAAUCUAACCUAAUUGGAAAAAAACUAAGAAAAUCAAAGAAAAAAAGCAAUUAAAAGGGAGGUUCGAAUUGGAAAUGGAGGUGCAUAUUGGAUUCUGGCUAAUGGGCUGCAAGUGAGCCCAGUACAGUUUUUUGUUCAGAAGCAUAGUAAAAAAUAAAGGUGGGGUGUGAAACAAAAAUAGAAGUGGGCUGCAUCUGAGCCCAUUACCAUUUCAAUCGUUUAAAGGGGGGGGGGNGGGGGGGGGGGGUGCAUGUUGGAAAUGUGAGGUGAAUUAGAAAAAUAGGCUAAUGGGUUUGGUUGAGCCCAAGAUUCAUUUCCUUUACUAAUCAGGGGGGUGUAUGAGUGAUGUGUGGCGUAUGAAGAGCAAUUCCAAUGGGCCUUAAGGAAAAUGAGCCCAGUACUCUCACCUCUAUUAACUUGUCUAAGUCAAUAGAGUUUAAACUCUGACUGCCCGCGCUCGUGCCUCGUCCUCCGUUCAUUAUGGUCACCGUGCCGGAUUGUAGCACCUCAAAUUUACACCUCCCAUUUGUGUAUACAUCUCAUUUUUAGGUCAUUAACAUUGCAUUUAUAUUGCAUAGUCCAUUACAUCUCAUCAGGCAAGACUGGUCAGGAGAUUCAAUUGUGCAAGGCAACAAGAGCAUUUUCCAUGAGAUCAAAGCCCUAGGGUGGUUCCAAUGAACUUACGUGACCCAAGGAUCAUUUGGAAGCAAUUUGGCCAAGGGUUGAAGGCUCAGAACUCAUUAGUGCAUGUGCAAGUCAUCUGAGGCCCAUAGAAGUCAACAGAAGUCAACUGCAAAGUCAACUGUGGAUUUGGAGGUGGGAAGUGGUCAGAGAUGCUUCAUUCAUGUUCAAACAAGUCACAUUUGACAUUUCAAACAUCAACAUUGAAGAAUUUGAAGUCAGGUCAAGACUUUUUCAAAAAUAGCAGGUGACCCAUAAUUUGAACUUUCCAAAAAUGGAAAGGUUUUGGACCAACUUCAACUCAAGUUUACAUCAUCAAGAACAUUCAUCUCCACAAGCAUCAUAGAGGAACUUUGAGCCAUUACAAGCCUUGUAUCACGCGAUUCCAGGUUCUGUUCAUCAAGAAGAAUUAGCUACGGUUUCUUCAUGUCCAGCUACGGAUUUGCUACGAAAUGCUCAAUUAGCUACGAAAAAUUCUGGGCGCUUAGGGUUAAUUCAAAACGUCACCGUUUUAGGUUGCGCGCGCAUUAGUUUGAAAGUGGACCAGGUUCGAGUCCGAGCGAGUGUAGUUUUUCAAAUUGCCUUGCCUUUUUUACUUGGGCGCUUAGGGUUAAUUCAAAACGUCACCGUUUUAGGUUGCGCGCGCAUUAGUUUGAAAGUGGACCAGGUUCGAGUCCGAGCGAGUGUAGUUUUUCAAAUUGCCUUGCCUUUUUUACUUUCCCUCCUUAUUUCAUACCAUUUGUCCAUUUUGAUUUUUAAUUUUUUCCUCAACUUAGAAAAAUCAUAUAAAAUUGAAAAAUGCAUCAAUUUCACUCAAAUUUUUUGCACAAUGCUCCUUGGUUUGUCUACUUUUUUAUGAGCAUAAAAUUGCAAGUAGUGCUUGUCUGGAAAAAUAUUUUGUGCUAGGAAGAUUGGAUACAUAUGCAUGUGUGAUAUUGCUUUGCUUAUCUUGUCAUAAAAUGCUCAAAAAUUAUCCAAUGACUCUGAAAUUUUGUGUGUAGUUUCUAGACACAUUGAUGGACAUGUUGGCUUUGGUUUGAUAUUUUUCCCAUGCACCAAUUCUGUUUUAUGCUUGUGCUAACUUGGUGUGACAAUUUGUGUCACACGUUUGGUUGCUUGACUUGUACAAUGUGAUUGCCAUGCCUAAUGAUGUCCAAUGCUUCUGAUUUUUUGUGUGAUGGAUGUUAUGGAUGUCUUUAUUGCUCAUGAUUUUUUCUAGAUUUUUUUUGAAUCAUUGUGUGAUGGAUGUUAUGGAUGUCUUUAUUGCUCAUGAUUUUUUCUAGAUUUUUUUUGAAUCAUUUCUGUUUUGAUUGAGAUUUUUCAUUCAUGUUGAUCAUUUGGAUGCCUUGAAUUGGUCAUUGAAUUCACAUGCUUGGUAAAUGAACUUACUUAGUGAUUAUGAUUUGGUUCUUUUUAGGACUUAUUCUUGAGUGAUUAAACAUGCUUCGUGUCAAGUUUGAGCUUCUGUUUUGGAUUUUUGAUCCUCUUUUGACCCUAGGCUCUGACCUAGUGGUUUGGACUUAUCAUUUGAGUUGUGAUUUCAGGUUCAGAUGCACAUUGCCAUGAUUGGAGUGGCUCUUUCAUUUGAGCUUGAUUAUAGGUUGUUGUUGGCUAACCUUUAUGUGUUUUGUAGGCUUUGAAGACAAUUCAUUUGUGUUUGCCUAACGCCUUGCACCAUUGUUGCCUGUUUGGAUUUGUCUGUCUGUGUGAUAUUACCUGUUGUUUGUUUGUCUGUAUAGUUGAACUGAUUGGUUUAGAUUUUUUCACAGGUACUUAAGUUGCUUUGAGUUCAUUUUGAACUUGCUUUGCUAGCUUGUGGUUUGCUUACCACUGAGGUAUAACUCUUCUGACUUCAUGUAGUCUGGAAGACCUGUCCUGUUAUGUGGGCAGGCACCUGUCUGAAGUCCUCCUUAAGAGGCAAUGCUUGUGCUUGGUUAAUGUUGUGCCCUGUACAUUCAAAGACCUCCUAAGUGAAGAGGCAUUGGCAGAUACAAGGGAUGUGCAAUCCAUCCCCUGCUAUUCAGUUGAGUCAUUCAUCUUGCUCACACCAUUGUGUUGAUGCACUUUGAAUAUGAACCCAAGAUCCUGUUGAGUCAGUCGUCUGUGGAGAAGAGUUCCUACAUUCUGAACUCCCACACUUUCAUUUGUUUGAAGCUCUCCCAGGCCAGGGAUAAGAGCUGUGAGGUCUUACCCUCACUUCCCAUUUCAUAUGCUUCACCCUAACUCUCAAUGUUAGGGUUAAGAGCUAACCACACCCUUUUCCAGUUGGCUUGUUUGUCGAGGUUGAUUUGACCCCUUGACUAAAGCCUAGCCUUGUGUGAGCCAUUUGUUUGUAUAUAGUGUGUGUGCUUGCUUUUAUGCUUGUGUUUGAUUGUGCUGUUUAGGCUAGCUUACUUCUUGUGUAAGUUAGGAUAGAAACCUCAACAUAGGGAUCGUAUGCAUGACAACUUCUAGGCUCGAGUCGUAGUCUCCCUGGUAGUCUGUUAUCUCCCUUUGUCUCUGGUUAGGUUAGAAGUUCUUUCCCUGUGUAGGGGAACUACGUCGCCCUGAUCCUCAUACCAGAUGAGGUACGUAGGCAGGAGAUGAGGACUAGAGAGGCCCGGCCCUUUUUCUUUUUCAACCCUUUGUGUGUGUUUGGAGUCUGACGUAAGUCCAGCGAUUGGCAGUCGGUUUCCUGUGUCUCGUUUGUUUGUUGGAGUCUGACGUAAGUCCAGUGAUUGGCAGUUGGUUUCCUGUGUGUGUUUGUUGGUUCGGAGUCUGAUGUAAGUCCAGAGAUUGGCAUUCGGUUUCCAGGUUUGCCUGUUUGUGUGGAGUCUGACGUAAGUCCAGCGAUUGGUAGUCGGUUUCCUGUGUGGUUUUGUUUGGCGUGCGUUAGCCGAGCUACGAGUGCUCUGAUUCUUCUCUGGUUAGAGAAGAUACGUAUGCAUAGGAUGCGACAUCCUAGCGAGCACGUUUCCCAUAUCCCCGAACUACGUCGACUCUGAUGUUUGUGUCUGACAGACUACGUAGGCCCAGGAUGUGAUAUCCUACCGAGUCCCGUUUCCUCCGUCUUUCAUCUGUGUUUCCUUCCAGCGUGUGUGUAGUGUUUGAGCAGUCUUUUAGCAACCUUUCUUCUAUUCUUUCUGAGCGUGGAUCCCGUCGAGUACGACGGAUGCGUAGGGGUGCUAAUACCUUCCCUUCGCAUAACCGACUCCCGAUCCCAUCUUUCUUUGGUCGCGAGACCAUGUCUUUCCGGUUCUCAUCUUCGAGCGUUUCCUUUCCCUCCUUUGGGAAAAUAACGCACGAUGGCGGCUCUGUUGUUUCAUUUUCCCGCCGGUUUUCGCAUAAUGCGACAGGCUGGACUCUGCUGGGGAAUAGAGAAGUUGACCUCUUGCUGGUCCAUCUUCCCAAGCGAGUCUCUCCUAGCGCUCUUUUAGAUAGGGUUUGGUUGCUUUUGUGUGUGCGUUAUUGCAUUUAUUUAUUUAUGUUUGCAUUUAUUUUGCAUUUAUGUUUGCAUUCUCAUACUUCCCGUUAUCUGUCUUGGCUGUGUGUUUGUCUCUCUGUGGGGUGGGAGUUACAUGAGGUAAAAGGCCCAAUACCCAGGCUAUGAGUGAACUCUAGGACACCUAGGAAUAGAGUGAUUCUUGGGAAGCGGGUGGUAUUGCGCCACAUAGCGGAACUUGAUAUCACGAGCAGUUUAGAUCCUGAUGGGGUAUUAUCGGUACAUACAUCUGGUGUGUACAUGAUGAUAUUCUAUGAAAGGGUUAUUUAUCCUGCGUUUCUCUUGAUCUUACCUUGGCCUAGAUGACACCCGUGAGUGGGGAGGGAAUGAUCAUUAUUACAGGUACCGUUGGUGACUUGUUGGUGACUUGUUGGUGACUCUUGGUUUCUGUUGGUGACUUGGUUCAGAGAUAUAUGGGUUCCAGAUGACUUUGGGUCUCAGAUGACUUUGUGGUUCCGAAUUCAAGCCGAAGCUUUGAUCCUGUGCUCCGAGACACACAGCCAACCAGUCGUGUUUUGCAUCAUAGCAUAUUUAUUUUCAAAAAAUAAUGCAAUAAAAAAAAGAGAUCAAAAAAGAGAAAAAGAAAAAAGCUAAUCUCCUCAUGCAUAUCAUUUCUCAGGUUCGUUCAGGAGUCUAUUCACUAUGAGAGAUGGCAUCCGUUCCAGAGUUGAAGAGGAAGACUUGCACCUACAGUUUUCACCGUGAGCCCUUGACAUCUUUGACAGAGUUGACCAACCUUGUGACCGGCGGUAAUCAGAAGGUGUUUGUGGAUCAGUAUGGGGACUUGUUGACACUGUUGAAGAUGGUGGUAGAUCCAGUACCGUUGCAGACUCUUCUACAGUUCUAUGAUCCAGAGCUCCGUUGUUUCACCUUCCAGGAUUAUCAGUUAUCGCCCACUCUUGAAGAGUAUUCUAUCCUGAUGAAUGUCCCGAUCAGAUACCAGGUGCCUUUCUUGGAUGUUCCAAAGGAGGUGGAUUUCAAGGUUGUUGCUAGAGCUCUUUAUUUGAGUAUCAAGGAAGUGAGUGACAACUGGAAGUCGAGUGGUGAUGUGGUAGGUUUACCUUUGAAGUUCCUAGUGAGGAUGGCUAAGGAAGAAGCAAAGAAAGGAAAUUGGGAAGCUUUUCAUGCUCAGUUGGCUAUUAUGAUCUAUGGGAUUGUCUUGUUCCCGAGUAUGCCUAAUUUUGUGGACUAUGCUGCUGUCAUUAUCUUCCUUGGAGGAAACCCAGUUCCUACUUUGUUAGCUGACACUUACUAUGCCAUUCACAGUAGACAUGGUAAGGGUGGAGCUAUCAGAUGCUGUCUCCCGUUGCUACUCAGAUGGUUCUUGUUUCUCCUGCCAACCAGUGGACCUUUUGUGGAUGCUCAGAGUACUCAUAAGUGGACUCAGAGGAUUAUGUCUCUUACCUCCUAUGAUAUCAGGUGGCAAUCUUACCGGAUGGAUGUGUGUAAUGUCAUCAUGAGUUGUGGGGAGUUUCGUAAUGUGCCACUCAUAGGGACUAAGGGUUGCAUCAAUUAUAACCCGGUUCUUUCUCUUCGCCAGUUGGGGUUUGUGAAGAAUGGAAGACCACUAGAUGCUGAGAUAGCUGAAAGUGUGUAUUUUGAGAAGCGAAGUGACCCUGCUAGAUUGGAGCAAGUAGGAAGAGCUUGGAAGACCAUUGGUGUCAAGGAUGGAGCUGUCCUGGGGAAGAAGUUUGUUGUUGCUAUGCCUGAUUACAUUGAUUGGGUCAAGAAGAGAGUGGAGACUUUGUUGUUGCCCUAUGAUAGGAUGGAGUCAUUGCAAGAGCAACCACCUUUGAUCCUUGCUGAGAGUGUGCCUGGACUCGUGAUGUUCGUUCGGAACUACCUCUAUCGUCGGUUGAAAGAGAAGGAACAAGAUACCCAGAUGGAGCUUUACAAAGCCAAAGCUGACAAGUUGAACUUGGCUCAUCAACUCAAAGGCAUGCAAGGUGAAGAUGCUGCUAGAUUGAAGGGCAAGAAGAAAUCUUAUGAGGAGAUGGAGACCUUGUUGAAUGAAGAACACCGUGAGUGCUUGAGGUUGUAGAGAGCUGAAGCUAAUUACCAGAAGAAGAUCAGAGACCUGGAAAAGCAGCUCAAGGACAAAGACAUCCAAUUGAAGAAGGAGGUAGACCUAAGACGUGCAUCAGAGAAUCAGCUUGGAGGAGAAGUUGUAGAGCUCAGAAGACAACUGAAGGAGAAACUCACUCCUCUGCCAGAGUGUUCAGAAUGCGACUUGUUGAUAGACCAGUGCCAGUAUCUGAGGACGCUCAUUCCUGGAGGACAUCUUUCCUAGCUUGUAUCUGUUGUUUAUAUCGAGAAUCACCUCCAGGCUUGUUGGAUGGGAUUCAUUGUUGUACUCUGAUCAUGUGGAUCUUUGUCUGAAUAUUGUUGUUUGACCCUUGUUGCUCAUGUCUAUGGAUGAGAUUGUUGGUGUUUCACCUUGUGCUCAUUAUCCUGUGUAGGUUGCUGCUUUGUUGUUUAUUGCAGGUUGCCAUUUCUUGAAAGAUGAAUUAGGCUUUUGAAUGCCUGAGAAAUGAACAUAUCAUGUGCAUCAUACGCAUCAUUAGCAUCAUACACAUAUCAUUUUGCAUUACAGGUGUUCUUGAUCUCAUUUCUUGAAAGAUGAAUUAGGCUUUUGAAUGCCUGAGAAAUGAACAUAUCAUGUGCAUCAUACGCAUCAUUAGCAUCAUACACAUAUCAUUUUGCAUUACAGGUGUUCUUGAUCGAGACUUCUCAUUUUGGUUCCUGUUUCAGGCAGGAUUGCUGAUCAAUGUCCGCACCGCUACUCUACGAGGUUGAAUCAACAGAGGAACAUGGACCAAGUUCAGGAAGAGUUGGCUGAGAUGAGGGCUAACAUGGCCCAAUUCAUGACAAUGAUGCAAGGGGUCGUUCAGGGGCAAGAGGAGCUGCGUGCCUUAGCCCAGAGACAGGAAGUCGUGCUCCUACCUCCUAGUCGUGCUUCGCCAGUGGGUGUUCUUGUGAAUGAUAAUGUUGCUACUGCUGCUCCCGUCAAUGACUAUGCUGUGGGUGAUGAGUUUAGGGGUAUCAGAAUUAAUGGACAUCCUCUUGCUCCAGAGACUGCUAAUGUCAGAGCAACCCGUGCUCCAGUUCGCCAUCCUGCUCUGUUGGUUGACAGACAGGAAGACAUGUUUACUCUCCUCAGUGAGGAUGAUGAAGUUGUGGGAAGAACUGACGAAAGGGAUAGGAGGGUUGAUGCCCUAGCUGAGAAGAUCAGAGCCAUGGAGUGUCAGAACUCUUUCCUCAGUGAGGAUGAUGAAGUUGUGGGAAGAACUGACGAAAGGGAUAGGAGGGUUGAUGCCCUAGCUGAGAAGAUCAGAGCCAUGGAGUGUCAGAACUCUUUGGGGUUUGAUGUUACAAAUAUGGGCCUAGUGGAUGGGUUGAGGAUUCCUUACAAGUUCAAGGCGCCUUCUUUUGAUAAAUACAAUGGUACUUCUUGUCCUCGCACCCAUGUGCAGGCUUACUACAGGAAGAUCUCUGCCUACACAGACGAUGAAAAGAUGUGGAUGUAUUUUUUCCAGGAUAGCUUGUCUGGAGCUUCCUUGGAUUGGUAUAUGGAGCUGAAAAGAGAAUCUAUCAGAGGUUGGAGAGAUUUGGGUGAGGCCUUUCUGAGGCAAUACAAACACAACAUGGACAUGGCUCCGAGUCGGACUCAGUUGCAGAGUUUAUGUCAGAAGUCUGGAGAAAGUUUCAAAGAGUACGCUCAGAGAUGGCGGGAAUUAGCUGCAAGGGUGCAACCUCCGAUGUUGGAGAAGGAGUUGACCGAUAUGUUUAUCUGAACUUUGCAAGGGGUGUUUAUGGACCGGAUGGGGAGUUGCCCAUUCGGUAGUUUCUCUGAUGUUGUGAUUUGUGGAGAGAGGACAGAGAGUCUCAUUAAAGAUGGAAAGAUUCAGGAUGUUGGUUCCUCAUCUUCAAAGAAGCCGUUUGGUUCCUCUCGUUGCUAUUGUGCUCUGAGGCACACCGUAACGCCUUGCUGAAAAUGUUGAAUCUGGCUUACGUGCCUCAGGAGAUCUCUGUCAACCAAUUGGAGGGUGUGAUCGCCAAUGUCAGCAUGAGGCAUGGUUUGGGGUUUACAGACUUGGAUCUGACACCUGAAGGUCGUAACCAUAACAAAGCCCUGCAUAUCACCAUGGAAUGCAAAGGCGCAGUAUUGUCACAUGUGUUGGUGGAUACUGGCUCGUCUUUGAAUGUGCUGCCCAAGAAGACUUUGAGUAAGAUUGAUGUUGAAUGGGUUAUCCUCACUCCCAGUGAUCUCAUUGUUCGUGCUUUUGAAGGAUCCAAACGGUCUGUUUUUGGUGAAGUCACUUUGCCGGUGAAGAUUGGCCCGGAGGUAUUUGAUAUUAUCUUCUAUGUGAUGGACAUCCAGCCAUCAUAUAGUUGUCUUUUGGGGCGUCCCUGGAUACAUGGGGCUGGGACAGUUUCGUCAACUCUCCAUCAGAAGCUGAAGUAUGUCUGGAACGGUCAGAUUGUGACUCUGUGCGGCGAGGAGGACAUUCUGGUGAGUCACUUAUCCUCUUUCAAGUAUGUGGAGGUGGAUGGCGAGAUCCAUGAAACUCUAUGCCAGGCAUUUGAGACCGUUGCUCUUGAGAAGGUGGCUUUCGCUGAGCAGAAGAAGCCAAGUGCCUCAAUUGCAUCGUACAAGCAGGCUAGGGAGGUUGUCAAUUCGGGCAAUGCAGAAGGCUGGGGCAAGAUGGUGGACCUUCCCGUCAAAGAAGACAAGUUCGGUAUUGGUUAUCAACCUCUGCAAUCAGAGCAGAUUGAGCAGAAAGGGCCGAGUACCUUUACCAGCGCUGGGCUGAUGAAUCAUGGUGACGUCUUUGCAGCCAGUAGUGAAGACGGGGACAGUGAUUGUGAUCUGAACAACUGGGUUCGCCCGUGUGCUCCAGGGGAGACGAUCAACAAUUGGACGGCUGAAGAAGUGGUCCAAGUUACUCUUCAAACAGAGUAAUUUUCUUUUGUUUUUCAUUUUGGUGUUUUGGGAUGCAAGACGGGUUCCGCAUCACCAAGUAUGUAGGGCCUCAUCAUGUUUUUCAAUGAUAUCAUUAAUAAAGGACGUUUUGCAAACAAUUUUGUGAUCCUUGUCUUUCUGUUUUAUUUCCACUUUUUCAAAAAAUAAAAAUGGCAAUGUUUUUGUUUUUGUGACUUUCUUGAACUCUUUUUCUAAAAUAAAGCAUUAAACAUGCAGAAGUGAUCUUACGGACUCCACUAUAAACAAUUCUGUUAUGGCUUAGUAUGAUUUCAAUAAUCCCAUCUACCAAACUGAAGAGGAGAGUGAGGAAGACUGUGAACUCCCCAAAGAAUUGGUCAGAUUGUUGAAGCAGGAGGAAAGGGUCAUCCAACCUCAUCAGGAGGAGUUGGAAAUCAUUAAUCUUGGUACUGAGGACGCCAGAAGAGAGAUCAAGAUCGGGGCUGCUUUGAAAGAAGAUGUCAAGAGAAGGUUGAUUGAAAUGCUGAGAGAGUAUGUGGAGAUAUUCGCCUGGUCGUACCAAGAUAUGCCUGGGUUGGAUACAGAUAUUGUGGUGCAUAGACUACCUCUCAGAGAAGAUUGUCCUUCAGUCAAGCAGAAGCUUCGGAGAACUAGUCCUGAUAUGGCGGUUAAGAUCAAGGAAGAAGUUCAGAAGCAGUUGGAUGCGGGUUUUCUGUCAGUGACUACUUAUCCCCCGUGGGUGGCCAGCAUUGUUCCCGUGCCGAAGAAGGAUGGUAAAGUCAGGAUGUGUGUCGAUUACCGGGAUUUGAACAGAGCCAGUCCGAAAGAUGACUUCCCAUUACCUCACAUCGAUGUAUUGGUUGAUAAUACGGCUCAAUCCUCGGUUUUCUCUUUCAUGGACGGUUUCUCGGGCUAUAAUCAGAUUAAGAUGGCGCCAGAGGACAUGGAAAAUACGACAUUCAUUACACCUUGGGGCAUGUUCUGCUAUAAGGUGAUGCCAUUUGGGCUGAAGAAUGCCGGUGCUACCUAUCAGAGGGCUAUGAGCUGAGAGAAAGUACUGUACUACGUGUUUCUCUAACAAGUGUACGUGGAUGAUAUGAUUGCGAAGUCGCAGACAGAAGAGGAGCACCUGGUAAAUUUGCAGAAGUUGUUUGAAAGGCUGAAAAAGUUCAAACUGAGGCUGAAUCCGAACAAGUGUACGUUUGGGGUGAGAUCCGGUAAGCUGUUGGGUUUCAUUGUCAGUGAGAAAGGGAUUGAGGUUAAUCCAGCAAAAGUAAAAGCUAUUCAAGAGAUGCCUGAACCGAAAACUGAAAAGCAGGUUCGUGGGUUUUUAGGGAGAUUGAAUUACAUUGCAAGGUUUGUAUCUCACCUAACUGCCACGUGUGAACCAAUAUUCAAGUUGCUAAGGAAGAAUCAAGCAAUCAGGUGGAAUGAUGACUAUCAAAAAGCUUUUGAUAAGAUAAAAGAGUAUUUGCAGAAACCUCCAAUCCUUAUACCUCCAGUUCCUGGGAGGCCUCUGAUAAUGUACCUGUCAGUGACUGAGAACUCGAUGGGGUGUGUAUUGGGACAACAUGACGAGUCUGGUCGAAAAGAGCAUGCCAUAUACUACCUUAGCAAAAAGUUUACCGACUGUGAAACAAGAUAUUCACUGCUCGAGAAAACUUGNNNNNNNNNNNNNNNNNNNNNNNNNNNNNNNNNNNNNNNNNNNNNNNNNNNNNNNNNNNNNNNNNNNNNNNNNNNNNNNNNNNNNNNNNNNNNNNNNNNNNNNNNNNNNNNNNNNNNNNNNNNNNNNNNNNNNNNNNNNNNNNNNNNNNNNNNNNNNNNNNNNNNNNNNNNNNNNNNNNNNNNNNNNNNNNNNNNNNNNNNNNNNNNNNNNNNNNNNNNNNNNNNNNNNNNNNNNNNNNNNNNNNNNNNNNNNNNNNNNNNNNNNNNNNNNNNNNNNNNNNNNNNNNNNNNNNNNNNNNNNNNNNNNNNNNNNNNNNNNNNNNNNNNNNNNNNNNNNNNNNNNNNNNNNNNNNNNNNNNNNNNNNNNNNNNNNNNNNNNNNNNNNNNNNNNNNNNNNNNNNNNNNNNNNNNNNNNNNNNNNNNNNNNNNNNNNNNNNNNNNNNNNNNNNNNNNNNNNNNNNNNNNNNNNNNNNNNNNNNNNNNNNNNNNNNNNNNNNNNNNNNNNNNNNNNNNNNNNNNNNNNNNNNNNNNNNNNNNNNNNNNNNNNNNNNNNNNNNNNNNNNNNNNNNNNNNNNNNNNNNNNNNNNNNNNNNNNNNNNNNNNNNNNNNNNNNNNNNNNNNNNNNNNNNNNNNNNNNNNNNNNNNNNNNNNNNNNNNNNNNNNNNNNNNNNNNNNNNNNNNNNNNNNNNNNNNNNNNNNNNNNNNNNNNNNNNNNNNNNNNNNNNNNNNNNNNNNNNNNNNNNNNNNNNNNNNNNNNNNNNNNNNNNNNNNNNNNNNNNNNNNNNNNNNNNNNNNNNNNNNNNNNNNNNNNNNNNNNNNNNNNNNNNNNNNNNNNNNNNNNNNNNNNNNNNNNNNNNNNNNNNNNNNNNNNNNNNNNNNNNNNNNNNNNNNNNNNNGAUUAUCAGCCGAUGAUGUUUGAAUUCCCUGAUGAAGACAUCAUGUAUCUUAAGAUGAAAGAUUGUGAAGAGCCUCUUGUCGAGGAAGGACCGGAUCCUGAUGACAAGUGGACAUUGAUGUUUGAUGGGGCUGUGAAUAUGAAUGGCAACGGUGUUGGGGCAGUGCUUAUCAAUCCAAAAGGGGCACAUAUACCUUUUUCUGCCAGAUUGACUUUUGAUGUGACCAACACCGAGCCUGAGUAUGAGGCUUGUAUCAUGGGGAUAGAAGAAGCCAUCGAUCUGAGGAUCAAGACUCUGGACAUAUAUGGAGAUUCCGCUCUAGUGAUUAACCAGGUCAAUGGAGAUUAGAAUACAAAUCAGCCGCAUUUGAUUCCUUACAGAGACUAUACCAGAAGGAUCCUGACUUUCUUCAAGAAGGUGAAGCUAUAUAACGUUCCCCGAGAUGAGAAUCAGAUGGCUGAUGCCUUGGCGACUUUGUCUUCUAUGAUCAAAGUUCAUUGGUGGAAUCAUGUGCCACAUGUUGCAGUGAAUCGACUCGAGAGGCCUGCGUAUGUGUUUGCAGCCGAGUCUGUUGUGGAUGAGAAGCCGUGGUACUAUGAUAUUAAGAACUUCCUCAAGAGUCAGGAGUAUCCUGAAGGUGCGUCAAAGAAUGACAAGAAAACCCUGAGAAGGCUAGCUGGAAGCUUUUAUUUGAAUCAGGAUGAUGUGCUGUACAAGAGAAACUUUGACAUGGUUCUGCUCAGAUGCGUGGAUAGACACGAAGUAGACAUGUUGAUGCAUGAAGUGCAUAAAGGAUCUUUUGGUACCCAUACUGGUGGUCAUGCAAUGUCGAAGAAAUUGUUGAGAGCCGGUUAUUACUGGAUGACUAUGGAAUCCGAUUGUUUCAAGUACGCUCGGAAGUGCCAUAAAUACCAGAUCUAUGCUGAUAAGGUGCAUGUACCACCAAGCCCGCUGAAUGUCAUGAAUUCGCCUUGGCCGUUCGCGAUGUGGGGCAUUGAUAUGAUUGGGAAGAUUGAGCCUACUGCUUCUAAUGGACAUCGCUUCAUCCUGGUUGCGAUUGAUUACUUCACCAAGUGGGUGGAAGCAGCUUCCUAUGCUAAUGUUACCAAACAAGUGGUUGCCCGGUUUAUCAAGAAGGAAAUCAUUUGUCGUUAUGGGGUUCCUGAGAGAAUCAUCACUGAUAAUGGUUCGAAUCUCAAUAACAAGAUGAUGAAAGAGCUUUGCAGAGAUUUCAAGAUUGAACAUCACAAUUCUUCUCCUUACAGACCGAAGAUGAAUGGUGCUGUAGAGGCGGCAAACAAGAAUAUCAAGAAGAUUGUGCAGAAGAUGGUCGUUACGUACAAGGAUUGGCAUGAGAUGCUGCCUUUCGCUUUGCAUGGGUACCGUACCUCAGUACGUACGUCGACCGGGGCAACCCCUUACUCCCUUGUGUAUGGUAUGGAAGCUGUCCUACCUGUUGAAGUGGAGAUUCCUUCUCUGAGAGUUUUAUUGGAUGUCAAGCUGGACGAAGCCGAGUGGAUUCGAACAAGGUUUAACGAGUUGAGCCUUAUCGAAGAGAGACGGCUAGCAGCUGUGUGCCAUGGGCAGUUGUAUCAGAGAAGGAUGAAGAGAGCCUUUGAUCAGAAAGUGCGUCCUCGAAGCUAUCAGACUGGUGAUUUAGUUUUGAAGAGGAUUCUUCCUCCCGGUACAGAUAACAGGGGCAAGUGGACACCUAAUUACGAAGGUCCAUAUGUUGUUAAGAAGGUUUUCUCUGGUGGAGCCUUGAUGCUUACAACUAUGGAUGGUGAAGAUUUUCAGUCCCCUGUUAACUCAGAUGUAGUCAAAAAAUACUUCGCAUAAAUUGACCCGCUGAACAAAAAGAAUAAAAGAGUCCAGGCAAAAAAGGGCAUCCCGGCGAACUAAAAAAAAAACAGAAAAGGUUCGGGCAAAAGUUAGGGAUAAAGAAUGAAAAAGAAUAUGUACACCCGGCAAGUCGAAAACCCGCAAGAGCGGCUUAGGCAAAAAUGGGUAUCCCGAUGGAUUGAAAACCCGAAAGGGCGAUCCAGCCAAAAGAGGGAUUAAAGCGGAGACUACAGUCUGAGUUAUCUGUACUUCAUCGCGCUUCAUCGUCUACCAUCUCGAAGGAUAUGAUCGGUCCAGUCAUUCUUCUCAGAAAGCAAGGAAUUUUGGGAGAAAAUUGAUGAUCUGUGAGUCAUAACAGGAUUGGGAAAUAGUGGAUGUCGUAUUCACAUUGCCAUUAGGAUAGAUUUUUCCUUUUGUGCAUAAUUACCUCUUUAUAGGAAUUGCUUCCCGAUGUAUUCGCCUUUUCAGACCCAUUUUCAAUCAAUAAAAGUCGUUAUUCAGAUAAAUUGCUCUCUUGUUUUUAUUUUUACUGUUUUGUUUGCAAAAACGUCCGAAUUUUUGAUAAACAUUGCAUAUAAAAACAUGAAGGCUAGACAUUGUUUGCAAAAACGUCCGAAUUUUUGAUAAACAUUGCAUAUAAAAACAUGAAGGCUAGACAAUAACGUGCAAAAAGAUAAAACAUUUGAAAAUCAUUUUGAAUGUUGAGUACACUUGAGUGUAUCUUAUCCAUGCAAUCCCCUGGGGCAUGUAUGCCUUGCUGUUUUGCAGGUCAUCACCUUUGAUUCCUGGCUGAAGUAGAUAAGCCACGGUUUGUUCGGGGAUGUUGUCAGCACUGUCCAGUAGUGUGAGAGGAUGGGUAUCUUCCUCAGCAGAUGAAGCAAGUUCAGGACUUGUCUCCCCAGCAUAUUCAAGAUCAGGAGUUCCUCAGCAGGAUUGGGGAUGUUUCCCCAGUAGGCUUGGAAGUGGCUGUUUCCCCAAGCAAGUCUGAAAGCUAUUAGAACUGUUCUUCCCCAGCUGUUGGGUAGCAGGCCUGAGAGUGGGUUUAUCCCCAGCUAGUCUGAAGAUUGUUAAUCCCCAUCGAGUCGGAAGGAUGUUGUAUCCCCAGCGGAGGUGUCAGUGAGUAGUUUAUUCCCCAGCAGUCGGGUUUGAAGUACUGUAAUCCUCAGCAGAGUUGUGAAUGCCUUUCCCUAUCAGGGUUGGGAAUGUUUUCCCCUAGCAGAUCUCCCUAGCAGAGGUUUGUGUUGAUGGUUUUCCCCAGCAAGUUCCCCGAGUGGAUCAGGGUCGGUGGAAAUUAUCCCCAGUAGAGUUUAUCCUACCUGUGGAUCGGUCGCUAUCCUCAGCAGAGGUGAGCAUUGGUUGUUUCCCUAGCAGAGUCCCCGAGUGGAUCGGAUCCGGUGAAGGUUGUCCCCGGUGGGAUCCUUUCUCCAGCAGCAAUGCUAUUCCCUAGCACGGUUGAGUUGAGUUGGUGCUUUUCCCCCGCAGAGCACUCCCAGCAGUGCGUCUCCCCACGGAGUUGGAGAAUUUAUUCGUAUUUGUGCGUUUAGCAGAGCAAUCCGUUUUCUCCCUGGCAGGAGUUCCCAUCAUUUUGCAUUCUUGCAUGUAGUAAUCAUUGCAUCCUUAAAACGCGUAGCAUUUCCAUUCAAUAUGGAGCAUUACGCCAUAGAAAAAUGCAAACAUAUGCAUUCAUGUGUUAAACCUAAUCAGACCAUAUCCCCAGCAGAGGCGGAUCGUUGUUCAACAUCUGUACGACACAUUUGCUGCAGUUGCUCCUGACAACAUUCAGGAUUGAUAAUUCCCCAGAGAGGUUUAUUUCCUCACCCGCAGUGAAAGGAAAGCUUGAUUCUCCCCAGUGAGAUCUCCGACAAAUGUUAGGCUUUGCCUUGACAUAGGUAGAUGUCAUCCCUGUGAUACCAGUAAGUGUCGUGUCAGCACCCGUGUGUGUUCUUUUUUGGUGUCGGUAAACACCAUUCUUUCGGUGUCGGUAAACAUCGAGUCUCACUCCAGUCAUCGGUAAAUGUCUGGUCAUCCCUCCUUGGUGUCGGUAAACACCAUUCUUUCGGUGUCGGUAAACAUCGAGUCUCACUCCAGUCAUCGGUAAAUGUCUGGUCAUCCCUCCUUGGUGUCGGUAAACACCAUUCUUUCGGUGUCGGUAAACAUCGAGUCUCACUCCAGUCAUCGGUAAAUGUCUGGUCAUCCCUCCUUGGUGUCGGUAAACACCAUUCUUUCGGUGCCGGUAAACAUCGAGUCUCACUCCAGUCAUCGGUAAAUGUCUGGUCAUCCCUCCUUGGUGUCGGUAAACACCAUUCUUUCGGUGUCGGUAAACAUCGAGUCUCGCUCUAGUCAUCGGUAAAUAUCUGAUCGUCCUUUUUUUGGUGUCAGUAAACAUCAUCUUUCGAUGUCGAUAAACAUCGAGUCUUUCUCCCCGUCAUCGGUAAAUGUUUGGUCUUACUUCACUUCUGAACGCAUCAUCUUUCGAUGUCGGUAAACAUUGUAUUCUUCCCAGUUCAUCCGUUGAUGCCUGGUCACCUCUCCGUUGGUGUCGAUAAACGUCGAGCUUCUCCCGUUCGUCCGUUGACGUCUGGUCGAGUCUUCCAUUCAUCCGUUGAUGUCUGGUCACCUCUCCGUUGGUAUCGAUAAACGUUGAGUUUUUUCCCAUUCGUCCGUUGACGUCUGGUUGUAUCCCUUUAUUCCAUUCAUCCGUUGAUGUCUGGUCACCUCUCCGUUGGUGUCGAUAAACGUCGAGCUUCUCCCGUUCGUCCGUUGACGUCUGGUCAAGUCUUCCCAUUCAUCCGUUGAUGUUUGGUCACCUCUCCGUUGGUGUCGAUAAACGUCGAGUUUUUCCUAGUCGUCCGUUGGCGUCUAGUUGUGAUUUCUAUUCCCAUUCAUCAUCUUUCGAUGUCUGGAUGUGGUUCCUUUUUUUUGAAAAAAAAUCAAAAUCCCCAGUGGAAUCGUUGGUAGACGUCUUGUCUGGUUCAGUGACAAAUAUCAGGUACCAGUGGAAGUUGCCGUUGGUGAACUUUCUGUUCUUGGAUCCCCGCAGAGUGUAAAUUUCUACGGUUCUUCGGUAUUCAAUCCCUGUUUACCUUAAAGGUCUGACAGCCGUUGCUCUCAUCCUUUCAGGUUCCCAGCUGAUUGAAUAGGGGCAGCUGUAGCACCUCAAAUUUGCAUCUCCCAUUUGUGUAUACAUCUCAUUUUUAGGUCAUUAACAUUGCAUUUAUAUUGCAUAGUCCAUUACAUCUCAUCAGGCAAGACUGGUCAGGAGAUUCAACUAUGCAAGGCAACAAGAGGAUUUUCCAUGAGAUUAAAGCCCUAGGGUGGUUCCAAUGAACUUACAUGACCCAAGGAUCAUUUGGAAGCAAUUUGGCCAAGGGUUGAAGGCUCAAAACUCAUCGGUGCAUGUGCAAGUCAUCUGAGGCCUAUAGAAGUCAACAGAAGUCAACUGCAAAGUCAACUGUGGAUUUGGAGGUGGGAAGUGGUCAAAGAUGCUUCAUUCAUGUUCAAACAAGUCUCAUUUGACAUUUCAAACAUCAACAUUGAAGAAUUUGAAGUCAGGUCAAGACUUUUCCAAAAAUAGCAGGUGACCCAUAAUUUGAACUUUCCAAAAAUGGAAAGGUUUUGGACCAACUUCAACUCAAGUUUACAUCCUCAAGAAAGCUUCAAAUGAAAUUUUGUCCAACAUGAAAGUUGAAGAUCUUUCUCUCCCAUUUCCAAACAGUCCAAGAUCAUGAAUUUCUCAUGUGUGGUUGAGGAGAUAUGAUCCAAUCAUGGCAAAGUGUGUUUUAAAAUUCAAAUGGGCAUAACUUUUGAACCAAAGCUCCAAAAUGAGUGGUUCUUUUUGCAUAGGAGAUAUGAUCCAAUCAUGGCAAAGUGUGUUUUAAAAUUCAAAUGGGCAUAACUUUUGAACCAAAGCUCCAAAAUGAGUGGUUCUUUUUGCAUUUUGAUCCUCAUAACAUGUACUUUCCAAGCAUCUCAUUACAUGGCAUUAAUUUCCAUUGCAUGAUCAUGUGCUCACUAGUGAAGUUUUUGGAAGGAAAUUUCAUAAAACCAUUUUGGAUGAUUGUAUGCAUACAAAACCAAUUCAAAAGUGUGCAUGGGCCUUGUUUAAGAGGAUUUCGAUCAGAUUCGUGUACUGUUCACGCAUGCAUUCCAUGCAUGGAGGUGAAAAUAUCAUUUUGUGCAUACACCUUACAAUUGAUUAAUCUUAAUUGCAUUUGGCUUAAACAGGUUCUAAACAUGAUUAGCAUGGCAUAUAUAUUGUUAAUCCUAACUGUAUUGGUCAUUAGCAUUCAUUUCAGAUCUAGAUUCAAAAAAAUCAUCCAAACUUUUCUCUCAAAAUAUUUUGCAAAUUCUUCACACAAGAGCAUUUCCUAUUGAUUGAUUCAUCCUCUUGAAGCAUUUUUGAGAAGAUUUGGACGUGGAAUUGGAUCAAACCGUGCCAUAUUUGCUCAUACUCAAAGCUUGAAGCAUCCAUGGAGUUUGCAAAUUGAGCUGGUUUCACGUGCAAUUGAGCUUCAAUCUCACCAGCAUUCAUCUCCACAAGCAUCAUAGAGGAACUUUGAGCCAUUACAAGCCUUGUAUCACGCGAUUCCAGGUUCUGUUCAUCAAGAAGAAUUAGCUACAGUUUCUUCAUGUCCAGCUACGGAUUUGCUACGAAAUGCUCAAUUAGCUACGAAAAAUUCUGGGCGCUUAGGGUUAAUUCAAAACAUCACCAUUUUAGGUUGCGCGCAUUAGUUUGAAAAUGGACCAGGUUCGAGUCCGAGCGAGUGUAGUUUUUCAAAUUGCCUUGCCUUUUUUACUUUCCCUCCUUAUUUCAUACCAUUUGUCCAUUUUGAUUUUUAAUUUUUUCCUCAACUUAGAAAAAUCAUAUAAAAUUGAAAAAUGCAUCAAUUUCACUCCAAUUUUUUGCACAAUGCUCCUUGGUUUGUCUACUUUUUUAUGAGCAUAAAAUUGCAAGUAAUGCUUGGCUGGAAAAAUAUUUUGUGCUAGGAAGAUUGGAUACAUAUGCAUGUGUGAUAUUGCUUUGCUUAUCUUGUCAUAAAAUGCUCAAAAAUUAUCCAAUGACUCUGAAAUUUUGUGUGUAGUUUCUAGACACAUUGCUGGACAUGUUGGCUUUGGUUUGAUAUUUUUCCCAUGCACCAAUUAUGUUUUAUGCUUGUGCUAACUUGGUGUGACAAUUUGUGUCACACAUUUGGUUGCUUGACUUGUACAAUGUGAUUGCCAUGCCUAAUGAUGUCCAAUGCUUCUGAUUUUUUGUGUGAUGGAUGUUAUGGAUGUCUUUAUUGCUCAUGAUUUUUUCUAGAUUUUUUUUGAAUCAUUUUGAUUGAACUUUUUAUUCAUUGUGAUCAUUUGGAUGCCUUGGAAUUGGUUCAUUGACUUCACAUGCUUAACUUGCUUAGUGAUUAUGAUUUGGUUCUUUUUAGGACUUAUUCUUGAGUGAUUAAACAUGCUUCAUGUCAAGUUUGAGCUUCUGUUUUGGAUUUUUGAUCCUCUUUUGACCCUAGGCUCUGACCUAGUGGUUUGGACUUAUCAUUUGAGUUGUGAUUUCAGGUUUAGAUGACAUUGCCAUGAUUGGAGUGGCUCUUUCAUUUGAGCUUGAUUAUUGGUUGUUGUUGGCUAACCUUUUUGUGUUUUCUAGGCUUUGAAGACAAUUCAUUUGUGUUUGCCUAACGCCUUGCACCAUUGUUGCCUGUUUGGAUUUGUCUGUCUGUGUGAUAUUACCUGUAGUUUGUUUGUCUGUACAGUUGAACUGAUUGGUUUAGAUUUUUUCACAGGUACUUAAGUUGCUUUGAGUUCAUUUUGAACUUGCUUUGCUAGCUUGUGGUUUGGUUACCACUGAGGUAUAACUCUUCUGACUUUAUGUAGUCUGGAAGACCUGUCCUGUUAUGUGGGCAGGCACCUGUCUGAAGUCCUCCUUAAGAGGCAAUGCUUGUGUUUGUUUAAUGUUGUGCCCUGUACAUUCAAAGACCUCCUAAGUGAAGAGGCAUGUCUGAAGUCCUCCUUAAGAGGCAAUGCUUGUGUUUGUUUAAUGUUGUGCCCUGUACAUUCAAAGACCUCCUAAGUGAAGAGGCAUUGGCAGAUACAAGGGAUGUGCAAUCCAUCCCCUGCUAUUCAAUUGAGUCAUUCAUCUUGCUCACACCAUUGUAUUGAUGCACUUUGAAUAUGAACCCAAGAUCCUGUUGAGUCAGUCAUCUGUGGAGAAGAGUUCCUACAUUCCGAACUCCCACACUUUCAUUUGUUUGAAGCUCUCCUAGGCCAGGGAUAAGAGCUGUGAGGUCUUACCCUCACUUCCCAUUUCAUCUGCUUCACCCUAACUCUCAAUGUUAGGGUUAAGAGCUAACCACACCCUUUUCCAAUUGGCUUGUUUGUCGAGGUUGAUUUGACCCCUUGACUAAAGCCUAGCCUUGUGUGAGCCAUUUGUUUGUAUAUAGUGUGUGUGCUUGCUUUUAUGCUUGUGUUUGAUUGUGCUGUUUAGGCUAGCUUGCUUCCUGUGCAAGUUAGGAUAGAAACCUCAACAUAGGGAUCGUAUGCAUGACAACUUCUAGGAUCGAGUCGUAGUCUCCCUGGUAGUCUGUUAUCUCCCUUUGUCUCUGGUUAGGUUAGAAGUUCUUUCCCUGUGUAGGGGAACUACGUCGCCCUGAUCCUCAUACCAGAUGAGGUACGUAGGCAGGAGAUGAGUUGAUCUCUCCGGGCGCCCUUUUUCUUUUUCAACCCUUUGUGUGUUUUUGGAGUCUGACGUAAGUCCAGCGAUUGGCAGUCGGUUUCCUAUGUCUCGUUUGUUUGUUGGAGUCUGACGUAAGUCCAACGAUUGGCAGUUGGUUUCCUGUGUGUGUUUGUUGGUUCGGAGUCUGAUGUAAGUCCAGCGAUUCGCAUUCGGUUUCCAGGUUUGCCUGUUUGUGUGGAGUCUGACGUAAGUCCAGCGAUUGGCAGUCGAUUUCCUGUAUGGUUUUGUUUGGCGUGCGUUAGCCGAGCUACGAGUGCUCUGAUUCUUCUCUGGUUAGAGAAGAUACGUAUGCAUAGGAUGCGACAUCCUAGCGAGCACGUUUCCCAUAUCCCCGAACUACGUCGACUCUGAUGUUUGUGUCUGACAGACUACGUAGGCCCAAGAUACGAUAUCCUAUCGAGUCCCGUUUCCUCCGUCUUUCAUCUGUGUUUCCUUCCAGCGUGUGUGUAGUGUUUGAGCAGUCUUUUAGCAACCUUUCUUCUAUUCUCUCUGAGCGUGGAUCCCGUCGAGUACGACGGAUGCGUAGGGGUGCUAAUACCUUCCCUUCGCAUAACCGACUCCCGAUCCCAUCUUUCUUUGGUCGCGAGACCAUGUCUUUUCCAGGUUUACUUCGAGUCGUGGAUCCCGUCGAGUACGACGGAUGCGUAGGGGUGCUAAUACCUUCCCUUCGCAUAACCGACUCCCGAUCCCAUCUUUCUUUGGUCGCGAGACCAUGUCUUUUCCAGGUUUACUUCGAGCGUUUCAUUUCGCUUCUUUGGGAUAAAUAACGCACAGUGGCGGCUCUGUUGUUUCAUUUUCCCGCCGAUUUUUCGCGUAAUGCGACACGCAUGUCCGUCACCGGCGCCGGUAUUGGCUCAUGGUCAAAAUUUACGUCUCAAUCGAAGCACAAAGCCAAGUUGAUCAUGAAUAUGGCAAUGAAAUGGGAAAACGCUCCUUCUGUUGGUUGAAUCACACAUUUAAAGGGAUGAACCCUAGCCGAUUGCAAGCUAAAUUAAAUAGUGUAUGGCGCCAAUCAAUCCCUAUAACUAUGGGGUUUCCACUCCCUACUUCAGAUACUACAACUUGGUAAGCUCAAAACAAGAAAAUGCCACUGAAAUGGAAAUGACAUACUGGAGAAGAUGAUCGGAAGAUUUGCCGGUAAGCUUUCUGACCUUGAUUCUCUUUUCUUCUUCUUCUUUCGCCUUCUUCCUCUUCUUCUGGAUUAGAACAAAUGGAAAAUAUGAAUGUUGUGGCUUAGCUCAAGCGAAAUUGAAGCUUCAUGGUGAAGCUUCAAUGGCUUUUCUGUGAGAGAGUGAGAGAGCUUUGGUGAGGGUAAUGGAAGAGAUUGUCGAGAGAGUGUGCAAAAAUUCACAAGGUUCAAGGGUCCUCAAAGUGAGAGAGAUGAAUCUCUUAAAUAGAUUUUUGGUUUAGACCUUGCUAGCUUUGGACUUAGGUAUGGAAUUAGUUAAACAUGGUUUGGAGUUAGUUGGACUCAACUCAUUGAAUUAAUUGAAAAAACUCAGUUAGUUAGAAACGACUCAGUUAGUUAUGUGAGUUGAUGUUGGUUAGUGAGUGAAUGAAUUGAAACUUGACUGGAUGCUGCAGGUUAUGGUUAAGUUGCAAUUAUGUUGAGAUCAUUUUGGGUGACCUGUUAUUCAAGUUACAAAUUGAGUUUAAGUAACCCUGGCCUUGGCUUGGAAUAAUGAAGAAUACAUGUUAGUAGCUUUGGUGCACCAACUCGCUGUAGCAGGUAGCAUUAGAAUUAGGAUUAGGUAAAUGAAUUAAAUGUAACUUGCUGAACUGGUCAUUGUUAAAUAUAAGUGUGUUUUGGUUUGUAAUUUGAAAGAUGAAUGUGAUCCUUGGUUCCUGAUUUGGUUCAAUGCUUCAUGAGUUUAAUUUCCACUACUUGUAUUCAAUGCCCUGUUCUCAUUGGUCUUUCUUGCUGCAGCCUAAACUUGGCUUGGUCUUGCAAUGCCAUGUUGGAUCUUUGGUCAAUUUAGCAGGUGGCAAGUAUGGCUUUUAUAUGCAAAGCUCUUGUUGGUUUUGGCCUCUGCAAGACACAAUCUCCAUUCAGGUUUUGAUUUGCAGCAUUAUGGCCUUGGUGUCUAUUGCAACAACUUGGGUUCGAAUCAGGCUUGCAUUGCAGGUUUGGUCAUGCAUUAGUGCUGCAGGUCCUUGGAACUUGAACAUGAUGCAUGUCUAGUACUUGACUCAUGGCUUGGUACAUUGAAGGAUUGCAGCAAGGUUGCGCGCCUUUAAGCAUUUGGCUUAGGUUUUAAAGCAUUAUAACAAGCAAGCCAAAGCUCAGCUGGCAGUUGAAUUGGCUAUGUUACAUGCAUGUGUGUUAGGUUCAUUAUGCAAAGUUUCAAUUCAUGUAUUAUGACUGAGUUGUUUGAAUGGCUUCCCCUGCAAGUUGUUUUCGUCUUGGUGUUUGUUGAUGAUGGCAAGAGUGUAUCAUAUGGCAAGGCUAUUGUAGCAGUAGGCUCUUGUGGAUUUGCAACAGGUAUGCGGAUCAUGAUGGUUUGGUUUUGUAAGGCUUUUGGCAUGAAGCUUCUUGGUAUGGCUUGUUGAUAACUUGGUCUAUUGGUGCGUCUAGAAAGUCAACAGGUUUAGGUUUCCAAUGCCUUGCAAUUCAUCUGUCUCGAUUCUUUUUGUUGCAGGUCUUGUGGUCAUGUUGGGCGUGUCAUGCAACCAAUGACUUCAAAAUGUGGUGUAUGACAUUAGGGUUUGGCUGCAACCAUUUGAUGUUGGCUUACUUGUGGUAUUGGUUUAACCAAGUGUAGAAUGCCCAAUGGACAACCUGCACAACCCCAAACCUGUUGAAUAUCCAUUGUAUGCCUGCUGCAGGAUUUGGUGUAAGCUAUUGCCAUGUUUCACAAGCUACUUCAUGCAGGUUUUAUGCUUGAUGGCUUGGCUGAGCAAGGUAAAACAGGUCUUAAAUAGUUUGUAAGGCUUGAGAUAUGUUUAAUGUCGUGCUGUUUGUUAUGCCAUGAUGUCUCUCAAUGGUUUUGACAUGCCAUGAUUGGGGUUGGUUAUGUUGAUACUGCAGGCAAAGCAAUGGCAAGGUGCUGCAGGACAUGGGAUGAACUGCUGCAACAGCAGGGUUAGCCGUGAUGCUCCCAUGGUUUGAUCAUGCAUUCCUAUGAUUUGAUGUAUAAGGAUUUUGUUGCAUUGAACUGGUUCCAUAACCUUGUAGCAGGUCUGCGUUUAUGUGGCAGGCUCAAUAGUUCAUUUUUGACUUGGUGUUUUGUAGGUUUGUGGAAAUGGACAUGAUAUUUGCAAGGUUACUUGUGAAUGAAGAAACAAGGUAAAUGAAAGCAAUCAUGGCCUUUGGAUGGUGAAUCAAGACCAAUGUGAUGUGAUUAGGAUUAGGUUUGGGAAAUUAGGGCUUUAAGAUUUUAGGGUUGACUUUGGUCAAAGUUGACCAAAAAGUCAAUUGUUGACCAAAGUCAACAAUUGGUCAAAAUCCCAUUUUCUUUGCAUUUUCUUUGUAAAUGGACAAUGAAUUAUUGGUUAGGGUGAAAUUUAGGGGUUUUUGGACUUUGGGUUGACUUUGGUCAAAGUUGACCAAAAAGUCUAUUGGUUAGGGUGAAAUUUAGGGGUUUUUGGACUUUGGGUUGACUUUGGUCAAAGUUGACCAAAAAGUCAACUGUUGACCAAAGUCAACAUUUGGUCAAAAGUGUCAAGACUUGUAUUUUCUUAUGUAUAAUCAAAUGUAAUGGUUUAAAAUGACAUGAAAUGGAUUGAAAUGGUUUGAAAUUGGUUUAUUUUAUGACUUAGACUUUUGAAAAAUAACUUGACUAAUAAUACAUGAACAAAGCCAUCAAGUGAGACCAUAAGAUUAGGGUUUUGACAUAGUGUCCAUGUAACAAUGGCAUGACCACCAAAAGGCUUGAAACACAAGGAAUUUGGAUAUUCAGAUUAUAAGGACCAAAGGCAUAUCCCCAGCCAUAUGGAUAAAAUCAUUGACUUGGGACCAAGACCAAUACUCCAAGAAGGGUUAGGCCAAGCAAAAAUGACAAAGGGUAAAGAUUGAAGGAUCAUGAGUACACAUUGAGGCCACCAAGUUCAUCUGAUUCCCAUCUUCUGAUUAGGGUUUUGGAGACCAAGAUAAGGCUUGGGUGAAGCCCCAUGAAGUCAUGCCUUGAGGAAUUAGGGCUUUGAAGGCCCUAGACUGUCUGGCCAUACCUUUGUUGAAAUCAAACCUUCACCACCAUCAUUAGGGUUUCACAUCCCCUAUGCUGAUGAUGUGAUUAGACCAUGCCCUUGAUCUUUGAUACCCGUGCAAACCCUAACUUUAUGAGCCCAAGUUUCUUAUGAGUCCCUAAUGAAUGAUGCAUGUGGAUGAGUUAGAAAUGUAUUCAAGUCAUCUCCUGAUCAAGUGAUUGGAUGCAUAGGUGAGAAAGGGGAGGGCAAAUUUAGGGGUAAAACAGUUGCCUCUAUUUAAUCUUCUUGGACUUGAAUACAGGAAUUGCAGAAGCUUUUCAGGUAUUCAAGGUAGAAGAGGAUUAAAUACCUACGUGCCCGAAAUUUGCCGGACCAGGUGAUUGGCUUUAUUACCAGUGUGGAGAAGAUGUUUUAUGCAUCAUGUAUGCUUAUUUUUUAUGAUGCAUUUUUUUCCUUAUUUGUCGUAUGUAGGGAUGAGUUUUUAUUGUCGUGUGAACUCCGACUCGUCAUCGAGAAUUAGAACAUGAUUGCCGAGAAAUUUUAAUUGGUGCCAAUGUUGCCAUUACGGAAUCCCCGCCUAUUAAGGAAUACUGAAAGGCUGGAGUCCCCCAUGGUGUCCCAACUGAUUGAAUGUCACAGUUAUCCAAGUAACACCACUGCUGAGUCAUCGAUCACCUAUCAGGUUUAUUGGGUUUCAACGGUAAUGCAAAGUGUUUCUCUUUAAUGUAGCUUUUUAUUAUUCCCCGGAAAUUUAAAGCAUUAUGUGAGUAAGACAAGCCAGUUAUUUUGCAUACAAAACAUAGAAUAAAUACGUUCGAUGGAAUAACUGAAUUUUAAUGAUAUAGAAUAUGUACAUAUGGUGAGUACAAAGAUGCAGGCGCCCUUAAUGAGGACGUUGCAAAAAUUGAAAAAAUAAUUGAAAUGGCAAUGGGAAAUAUAUUUGUAUGAUUUUCUCCAUUGAUUACAACAUUGGCCUUAGUCUACCAUAUAAUCUGAAUCCCAAGAUCUUGCUUCGGCUGAUGGUGAUUGGAUCGGUCCUUGACCCUCUGACAUCUAGCUUGUAGCGUGUAGACUCAAGGAUCAUAGUCAACGCCUUUAUCCCUAACUUUUUCCUGGAUCUUUCAAUUCUUUUUGUCCAUCGGGAUGCUCCUUUUUGCCUAAGCCGCCCUUUCGGGUUUUCGGCUUGGCGAGCUUAAUAUGUGUUCCCUAACUUUUGCAUGGACGAAUCAUUUUUUGGUCCAUCGGGAUAGCCAUUUUUACCGAGAUUCACCUUGCGGAGGUUAAUCUAGCGGGCUUUCAUCAUUUCUUUUUAGGCAUAAUAUUUUUUUACUAUGUCUGCAUUCACUGGAAAAGGCAGAUCUUCCCCAUCCAUUGUUGUGAGGAUUAGAGACCCACCUGAGAAGGCCUUUUUGACCAGGAAAGGUCCCUCAUAGUUGGCCAUCCAUUUGUCUUGCGGGUCUGAGUGAAUGGCAGAAUACCUCUUGAGCACGAGGUCUCCAACGUGGUACGCACGAGGAAGAACCUUCUCAUCAAAAGCUUGUUUGAGACGUCUUUGGUAUAACUGACCAAGACAAACGGCCGUCAAACGCUUAUCUUCAAUUAGGUUCAGCUGGUCAUAGCGAGAUUGAGCCCAUUCAGCUUCAUCAAGAUCUGCUUCCAUGAUGACCCUGAGUGAAGGAAUCUCGACUUCGAUCGGUAGGACGACCUCCAUUCCAUAAACCAGAGAGCAUGGAGUUGCACCGGUUCUUUGUAUGGAUGAAUCUCUUUCUCUUCAUGCUCAAGGAGUAUUGCUAGUUCAGCUGGUAAUUCGCAAUAUUCCUCAUUGUCGUCUUCAGCUUGGUUGAUUGGAAGUCCAGAUUCAUAGUUGAUUUUAGCCAUGUCGUAAUCAAUAGUUUUAUUUUCUCUGCAUAAGAUUGUAAGACCCGAAUUUUGACCCUAAGAUCCCUCAUGCAAUUCCAUCAUAAGCAUAAGCUUUGGGAUCAUACCUUGGCAUCCUCCUUACCCCUUUUCAUUGGGUUUGUUUUGGGAGAGAUCACCAAGCACUUUGUGAUUAUAUCAUACUUGUAUUUUAUCAUUUCACUAACCAAAAUACCAAAAAUAUUCAUUGGGUUUGUUUUGGGAGAGAUCACCAAGCACUUUGUGAUUAUAUCAUACUUGUAUUUUAUCAUUUCACUAACCAAAAUACCAAAAAUAUGUCUUUGUAUUUGCCUAACUCUUUUGUAGGUAGGACAUGAUCUCAUUGAUUUAUCAAGAUCACAUCUAGGGUUUAAGACCCUCAUAAAUAAAGAGUACAACCAAGAAUUGAUUCAAGAAUGGUUAUGAACAUCAUAUAUGAGUCCCAAUGUUCUUCAAGAGUUUGAGGGUGAUUUGCAUUGGAAACCCUAGUUUGAUUGGGUAUCUUGAGUAACUUCUCCAAUAAGCUAUCUCACCUAUUGAUCAAAUUUCUAAAGGGACACUUAAAAAUUCAUCAUCUUAUGCAUAUAUUAUCUACCAUGAUCCAAUAAAGUCAAGAGAAUUGGAAAUUAGUAAGUUGGUUGAUGGUGGUUGGCCAGAUGAAUUCAUCUGAUCAAAACUAGGUCUCCCUAGACCCUAUCUCCUACAAUUUUCACCAUAUGAAAAUGAUUCCAAGAGCGAACUUACUCUAAAUGACAUCCAAACAACGUUCAUGUUGAGACCUAGAGCUAGUUUUGCUUGGAAAAUCAUUUUCUAUGUUGAAACAUUAUAGGUCAUUAUGUCUAAACCCUAAUUUGAAAAUCAACUUCCCAAAGCCAUAACUUGCUAAAUUUUUAUGAGAUGAAAGAUUUCCAAGUUGUACAAUCAAAUUCAAUGUGUCUACUUCAACUUUGAUGUUUGUAGUGGGAGCUAAUUCAACUUUUUUGAGCAUGUCAUAUGAAGCUACAUUAUAGGUCAAUUUUGACCUAUACCAUUGAUCAAGUGAUUUUUCCAAACUUCAAAAAUGCAUAACUCUAUCAUUUGUAAUCCAAAUGACAUGAAAUUGGUGACCAUUUUUAAGGUCUCUGAGAGAGCUACAACUUGGAUGAAGACACCUUUCUUAUUUAAAGCUCCCAUAAAAAGUUAAGCUAGGUGGAAUAUUGAAACAUAUAGCUUGACACUUAGAAAAAUUUUGAUAUCUCAAAAUUUUCCAAACUUCCCCCUCAAAUUUCUCUAAGUUCUAAGCUCCAAAUGAAAAAGUGAUCAAGAUCAAACUUGUUCCUCUUGACCUCACCUUUCCAAAGAGCUCAAAUUCAUUCAUUUUGGACGAGAAAUGCAUAGAUUGUGCAUGGCUUACACAAGCUGAUAUCAUUUGGCAUGAAUCCAACUUCAAGCAACAAUGCACAUGUGCCUUGCAAUCUAAGCUAACUCCAACACAUCUGAUCAUUCAUUUUGGACCUUCAGCUAUCAUUUCAUGGGCCUAUGCGCGCCCAUGCAUCUUUGUAUCAUCAUUUUUCUAAUUUUGGAAAGUGGAAGAGAGUGUGCAAAUAUCAUAUGAUUUGGCUAUAAAUAUAAGCCCUUAUGCUCAAAAUUAGAGACACCAUUGCGCCAGAUUUGAUCCCCCUCUUCAAACCCUUCACUCUCAUAGAAUAAACCUGAUAAAUUCAUUUGAAUUUGAGCUUGAAUCUCCACUAUUUUGGAAUUCAAUUCUCCAGGAAAUUGCUUCUAAACCUUUCCAUUCUCUUCUUGCAAGUGAUUGAAGUGAGUCCAAGUGCAAGCAAGCUCAAGAUCCAUCAAGUUCAGACCUCCAUUGAAGGUAAUUUGUAGAAAUUUUAAACUCUUUGAUUCUCCUAAAUUCUUGCUCAAUUCCAUUGAUUCUUUGGUUGUUAGUUCAGACCUCCAUUGAAGGUAAUUUGUAGAAAUUUUAAACUCUUUGAUUCUCCUAAAUUCUUGCUCAAUUCCAUUGAUUCUUUGGUUGUCUGAAGUCCUACCAAUGUAGGCAAGAAGAUUGAGUUGCUUUGAGGUCAAAUCAAAGCAACUCAGAUCAUGUACCUCAGAUUUCAAUUCCACAUAUCUCUUAAUAUAUUUGGAAUUGGAGUAAUUGGAGGUAAGAUUCAAGCUCAGUGCCAUUUUUUCUUCAAGAUCAUAUCCCUGUUUGUUAUUUUGGUGAUGAUUCAUCUUGACCAGUCCGGUGGAGCUCACCGGGGAAGAUGACCGAAACUUUGGCUCCGGCGAUGAUGUGUCUUGCAUCUGAACCAUAGGAUCCAAGUCUCACGUUUUAAUCUUGAGCGUUUGUUCUGAUUACCUCAUUUGCCACGCGGUUGAUUCAGGAACAUGUGGAGAUCUGCCAACUCAAUUAAUGAGGGAGAUCUGAUGGUCCAUGUAAUUUAGAAUUUUCUGAUUUUUGUUUUAAUUGCAUUUUCUUCAAUAAUUCAUAUUAAAUUCAAUAUUGAUCCAAAAAAUAUGGGACUUUCACCAAAAAAAUUCAAAUAUUUUUCUCUUUCAUAUUUUAUCAUUGGAUUUAGGGGAUUGAUGGAAUGUACAUUCCAUCUCCCAAAAUGAAUGAAUGAUAUUAAUUUGGUAAAAGUCCUCAUUUGACCAAUUUGUGAUCUCAUUCAUCCCCUUCCCUCUUCAUCUAAUUCCCUUUAUUCAUUCAUUCAUUUCCAUUUGGCCUAUGACAUCUCAAAGUCCUAAUGCUAGUUGAUUGAAAGAUUAACAUGAGUAUGGAUGAGAUUAGGCCACACUUUUUGCAUAUUUUUGUGUGUGGUAUGUUUAAUGAGCAUAGUUCAUAAUACUAUGUCUCCAACAUGCAUUAACACCAAAGGUCUACUGCCCGACCUCAAAUAGUUGUGAAUUCUACAUAAGUCCAAUUACGAUUGCUUAACAUAGCGCUAAAUUUGUGACACAAAAGACAUAAUCUUUCUAGUUAGUGAGAUUGUAAGUCUCCCCUCUUCCAUGGUAUUGUGUAGGAACUUGGCCUUCUUUCCUUCCUUUGGAAGAUGUUUUGGUUCAAGGAUCCAUGCUUGUUACUAGUGGGUUGAGUUUUCUCCAAAGAAUGUCUUGAAACCAAAAGCAAAACAAAACUAACUUCUAACUUACUAACUAUUAACUUUUAAUUUCAAGCUCUUACUUUUAAAGCAAUUUACUUUUAGCACUCUAUUAUCAUUUUCCAUUAUACAUAUCAUUCUAAUUGUUUAUGUUAAUGUAAUUUUCACUUUGUCCAUUUGGACCAUAUUGUGUGAUAUAUUUUAUUUUGUGUUACUUUGCUUGUUUGUGUGAUCUUUGACCAUUAAUGUACAUAAUAAUAACAAAAAGCCUAAAAUACUUUUGUGUGGACUGUUGGCUUGAUCUGUGGACCAAUUGGACUUUGAACUUAGGCAACAUUCCUUUGCUAAUGGACUUGGCCCAUGUCAACUUGUUGAAGAACCAAGUGCUUGCAAUUUGAAAUUCAUUUGAUACAUCUUUGAAAAUCUCUCUAGGAUUCAUCUGCAACUUGAUCAUUGUGUAGCUGUUAUCUUGAACCUGUGACUUAUGGAAUUCAUCUGCUACAUGGGUUAUUUUGAAGAAGAUCAUAAAAUGGAUAAGCUUGGAUGAGGCCAUCUUUAUUUGAUGCCUUGCUCUUCAAGAUAAUAUAAUUGUGCAUUUGUGUGUUGUUUUAUUCUAAAAAGUCCAAGGGAAUUCUGUAUUACUAUUGACAUACUUGUCUAUUGGAUUGCUACCCAUUUGGUCAGAUCCUUUCAACUCUAAACUUUUAAAUUUUUGUGCAUAGGAUAGCCUCUUCAUCUUCUCCUCAUUUCUUUAAUUUCAAAAUCUCUCCCUCCAUUUUCAAAACCUUCUUUGUGUGAACUACUUUUGUUCUAAACUUUGACCACUUUUGCAAAGAUAGAAACUUUGGCCUUAUGCCAUUGCAUUUUCAAACUUAUUUUCUUAAAUCAAACUUGUAAAUAAACUUAACUAUACUUGACUUAAACUUUCAAAAAGCCAAAAAAGAACUAACUCAUUUCAAAAUCCUUUCAGACCUUUGUGCCUUUCAAACUUAAAAUUUUGUUAAAACCAACACACUCAUUUUGAAAUUUAUAGCACGAACUACGAGGUUUUGAUCUCUCAUUUUUAUGUUGGUACGUAGGCACAAGACCGAAGUCUUGUCAAACCAAAUAUAAUCAAUGAGUUCUUUCUCAUCCCUCCAUUCUAUUUGUUUGUAAACAUCACUUUGAGAAAAUACAUCUGCACACAAAAAGGGCUCCCUAGGAGUACCUAGGACACUUUGGGUGCUAACACUUUCCCUCUGUGUAACCAACCCCCUUACCUGUGAUCUCUGAUUUUUAUUAGUUUUUAUUUGAAAACUUCUUACUUUUCGGGUUUUCUUCGUACUUUUUCCCUUUUCCCUUGGAAACAAUAAAAUCAUGGUGGCGACUCUUAUUAAUUGAUCUCUCGCUUGUCAAUAGCUUGAUGAUCAUGAAUUUCCCACUACAUAAAUUAAGUGGCGACUCUACUGGGGAUUAGUCUCCAGUGGGUUUAGCCUACUUUUUAUGUGAAUAUAUUUGUAUAUAUGUGAUGUUUGUAUAUAUGUAUGUGUGAUAUAAUCUGUUUGUUGUGCUUGGUGAUCUCUGAGUGGUGAGAUAAGUUCUAACCCGAGCUUGAGUGCAAUUAAGAUAGGAGGAUGGUAUAGUCAUGUUCGACUUGUGUGGAGUAGUCCUUAACAAGUUGCCUUGAGAUCCAUCUGCUCAGUGGAGACUCCUUUGGAUUUGGAAAUGUCACAAGUAUUUAUGGUUAGGCAUUACUAUUUCUAAUUGAGUCUGAGAAGCUGGGACCUUAGAACACCUAACCCAUCUUGGCCUAUUUAGGAACGUAGUGCGGAAACUGUUCAGGUGUAGACUUGAUAACAGUUGUUACGCGAUACUACACUCAGACGAGUUUCUCUUGAGAAUAUUAUGGGUCGAUGAGUCAGUCAUCCUAACAUGUAAUAUCCGAUAGAUGGAAUUAAGACUCUGGGAACUUUUUAUGAAAAACAUGAUCUACAAGUUUUUAUCCUUAGUUCACUCCUUUGGGAUGGUUCUUACCCAGACUCCAUGCUCGUGACUUGCAACAAACCCUUGAUUCUUGGUUGAUCCAAUCAAGUCUUGUCAAUAUUGUAGGGGGGUAUUCGUUACCUUUAGAUUUAUUGACUAAAUCAAAAGUAAAUCAUACAAUUCGAGUCGCCAUCGCACUUUUAUUUAUCCAAAGGAAAGGUUAGAAAGCGAACAAAACAGAGAAGUUUUAUCAAAUCAAAAACUAAUAAAAAUGUCAGAGAUCUGGGUAAGGGGGUUGAUUAUGCAAUGGGAAGGUUUUAAGCACCCAAAACAUACUUAGUACUCUAAGGGAGCCCUUUUUACAAAUGUUGUAAGGUAGGUUGGUAGUUGUGAAAAAGUAUUUGUGCAAACAUGAUUGGGGUGAUAAGAAAAGAAUAUACAAAUUAUUUACAAUUUUGUGUUUGAAUGGAUAAACCCAUUGCCUACGUACCAUCUUAAAAAGGUAGGAUCAAAACCUCGUAGUUUUGGGUAAAAAUCUCAAAAGAAGUUUGGUGAAUUGAUUGGUCAAAAGCCUUAAGGUCUAUUGUUAUCAAAGGGAGAAAACUCAACCUAGAACCACAACUCCACCAUGUGAGGAUAGCUUUAACAUGCUAGUGAGGGGUUAACCCUAUAAUAAGCAUGGAAGACUUAUAGUCCAUCACUAAGGAUACAGGUGAGUAUUAUAUCAACCUCUAAGAUAAAUCAAACCUAAUAGCUAAUGUUUAUGAAAAGCUUUGGAAAAAGUGGCCAUUGGAACCACAAAAACAUUUGAGUGAGUUGUAUUUACAAAUGAAAAGUAUUCACAAAAAUAAGGUCAAAGUUGACUUAAGAUUCAAUUCAAAAUAAGUGUUAUAAAAAGGAGUUUGAAAAAUCAAAGGCAUAAUGCCUAGGUUUCUAAUUUUUGGAAGCAAUGUUAAUGUUUGCACAAAAAGUUUGGCUUGGGUUAGAGUGGAGAGAAGAAGAGAAUGGCUAGGUUCUAAACAUGAAAAGAUAAGGGAAGAGAAAUAAAACCAAUUGGAGUUCCCUUCUUGAGAUCAUAAAGAUGAUCCAAGUUGUCCCAUUCCUUUGGACUUAGCAAGCAAUAAGCAAUUAACUCAAGUAAUCAAGCAAAUAUUCAAUCAAGCUCCUAGGAAUCUUCCAAAGGGACUUGUCUCUCUCAUUUUCGAUGCUCAUGACAAUGGUCCUUCUAAGUAGCUCAAGUUUGGGAUCCCUAUCACAAGAACACACAAAUCAAAAAGUUCCACAAUGCAAUAGAAAGAAUGGACAAGAGUGAGUUUAGAAUUAGGGGUCUUUUUAAUGCAUCUUCAAGAUUUAAGCAUUCUAAAGGCAUGAGGCCUAGUUGCUCUUUGACAAUUUUGUUUUUAGCAUUCUAAAGGCAUGAGGCCUAGUUGCUCUUCAAACUCCAUUUAGCAUAGGUAAGGUCCUAAAUCUAAGUCCUUUCUCCAUUUACAUUGGGUUCACACAAACAAAACAAAACAAAGCACAAGGCAAUAGUAUAUACACAAUAAUGUGCUCAAGUGAGCAAAAGGCAAAUUGCAUUAACAUAAACAUGAGCUCAAGUGAGAAAAGGGCAAAGGUAAAUGAAUUAAUGAGCAAGAAAUUAAAUUGCAUUAAAGUAAAUUGCAAGAAUUAAAUGCUUGAAAUAAAAGUUAGUAAUUAGUAGUUAGUGUUAGUGUGCCAUAAGGCAAUUUAGCGCUAUGUUAAGCAAUCGUAAGUGGACUAAUGUAGUAGUCACACCUAUCUGAGGCCGGUCAAUAAAACUGUAGGCAAUUAAACACAAGUUAGAGAUCAUGACUAGUAAGCCAAGCUCUUACAACUUUCCAUGCCAAAAGAAAAGAAGAAUGACCUUGUAUGGAUUUAGGUUUGUUUCUUGACCAAGAAGCAACCUAUCUCUAAUGCAAAGCAAUUCACUUGAUCAUUUGAUCAAGAUGAAUUUUAUUUGAAUCAAAGAAGGUUAAGCCUCUCAUAUGUCAAGGCUAACCACCAAUCAUUAACUUAUUGGUCAAAAAGAAAAAAAAGAAGAAGAAGAUGGAAAUGGAAUAUACAUAAUUGAAAUUCAAAUAUCAAAAGCAAAACACAUUGAACAAACAUGAAUGGAAUCAACAUCAAUCAAUGGUAAACAGAAGUGAGAUGAAGCUUAGAAGUCAAGAAAUAAUAAAAAAUAUUUUUGGUAUUUUUUGGAAUUAAAAUAAUACUUGAAUUAAAAUAAACAAAUAAAGGUCAAACUUCAAAUCCAAUUCAAAUCAACUUGGAAAAGUCCAAUUGGAUCAUCAUGAGUUCAACAUGGUCAAACAAGGUUUGGCAAAAAAUUUCAUCAUUUUUUUGAAAACAGAAACUAAUUUUAAACAAUUAAAAGUGAAGAAAAAAUAACAUAAUUGAACUAAAAUCUCAAAUAAAUCUCAAAUCAAUUAAGAAAUUGAUGAGAAUAUUUUUCAUAGAUUCAUCAUCAUUCAAAGAUGUUAAGAAAAUAUUUUUGGCAUUUUUGUCAUAAUUGAACUAAAAUCUCAAAUAAAUCUCAAAUCAAUUAAGAAAUUGAUGAGAAUAUUUUUCAUAGAUUCAUCAUCAUUCAAAGAUGUUAAGAAAAUAUUUUUGGCAUUUUUGAAUAUUGAAAAGGAUUUUAAAUGAAUUAAAAAUAACCAGAAAAGAAAUAAUUCACAAAAAAUAUUAAAUGGAAUCACAAAAAUUAUUAAAAAUCAUUUUUAGAAACUAGAAUUUAAGAGAAAUUUUUUGCGAUUGGUCCCAUAUUUUUGUGAUUCCUAAUAAAGAAGUUAUGAAUUAUUAAAAAUAAUUGGAAUAAAAGAAAAUAAAAUGAAAAUUCAGAAAUUGAAAAAAUCCACAGCGCUUGGAUCUUGGUUCAUUAAUUGAUGUGGCGCAUCAAAAGGCUAGGAAACACGCGCGCAUGGUGAUCCAUAGUCGGCAGCGAAACACAUGGAUUAAAAGAAAGUCAUAACAAUGCAUGGCCAAGAUUAGAUCCCCAGAGCCAGAUCCAAGGGCCAGGAACUCAUCCACGUGGGGACGGUGGUGGAAACCACCGUCUUCUCCGGUGAGACUCAUUGUUCCGCCCAGAGUUGUAGGUUUUCAAACUUCCACCAUAAUACACGAUCCAUACAUCAUUCGAAAGCUGGGGUGAUGUACAUCACCCCUGUGCCCUUAAUUUUUGCUCAAGACUCUCAUAGGAGGAGAAAUCUGAGAUGGAAAAACAAGGUGUUCAAAUUGAACUUGCUCAAUUCAUAAAAUUAAAAGCACAAACCAAUUGCCUCUCACAUGAGGACUUCAGAGGUACCAACCAAUAGAAGAAAUGCUCAAAAUCCAAAGAGAUUCGAAUGAAAACAGUUUGAGAAUCAACCUUUGAAGUGCAGCUUUUCAACGCUUUAUCCACUCCAAUUCUUUGAUGCAGCUUGUUCUUGAAGUAACAAAGAAGCUAGGCUAAGGAAUUGAAGUUCAAAGAUCAACCAAUGAAGUUGAAAUUUGAACUUGAAAAAUUCAGAGAAAAAUCAAAAUUCCUUUAAUGGAGGGUCAGGAUUUCACUUUGGCAGAAUUUCAGGCGCCUUUUGGUUGCCAAAUGAAGUGAAAUGAGGCUUCUAUUUAUAGCCAAGGGUGAUGCAAUGCAUGAAAUAUCCGUGUGCAUGUGAAGUUGGGUCCUCCAUGCAUGGGCCUGUACAGGCGCAUGGGAGGCCCAAAAGAAAUUGCAAUUGACUGCUAAUCAUCAACCAAAUGGAAAUGGACGUGCAGAUUUCAUGAUAUCAGCUUGUGCAUGGAAUUUUGAUAUGUUAUGCAUAAUUGAACCUAAAACUUCCCCUCUUCGAAAAUGCCAUUUGCAAAAUUGAAUCAUAGGCAUGUGGGUAAUGGUUGGAAAGGUCUUUGCAUGAGGAAAAAAUGUUAUGUUGAACAAAAAUCCAUUUGGAGUUGGGAUAAUAUUGAAAACAGACCAUGAAGUUCAAUGUACAAAACAUGUAUAUGGAAAUUUUGCCAAAAUGGACCAACUUCAAGCCCUUCUGUUUCAAUGAUGUAAGCCUCAAAUGAGAAAAACGCCAACGUCAAAGUUGUAUAUAUUUUCAAGAAAAUCAAUUUGGACUUAAAUUUUGAAUCAUUUGGAAUUUUGAUGAGAAAUUUAUGGGCACUUGAAGUUGUACUUUUUGACAUUUCAAUGACUUUGGCUCAAAGUGACCUAUAAUGUUUUAUAUUAUAACAUGUGUUUAUUUUAGGAUUAUGAAAUUUUAUCCAACAUAACAAUUGAAGUAGACAUCUUAAAAUUUCCAAUUCACUUGGUUCCACCCCAAAAUCACAAAAGAUGAGUGAGUUAGGUCCUUGGGAAGUUGACCUAAAAUUAGGGUUUCAAUCAAAAUGACCUAUAAUGUUUUGAAAUGAAUGACGACCUUAAAAGUUUCAAAUGGAUUUUUGAUGAACAUGAAAGUUGUUCAUAUGGUGCUUAAAAACAUUUUUUCUCUUGGGAUCAUCAUCAUUUGACAAACACAUCAAAAUUUAGAUCUCAGUGGAUUUCAAAAUAGUCAGAUGAAUUGACUGAUCAACUUCUCAAGUCCAAACUUCAAAUCUUGAUGAAUUGAUGAUUGAGGACACUUACAUGAGCUCAAAUAUGCAUAAAAUGAUGAAUGAAAGAACUUCCCUUGAUUGUAUUUGAUCAUACGUUGAGGUUGCUUCAUGAGCAAGGCACAGUCAAUGCACAACUGAAUUAGGGUUUCCUUGGGAAACAAUCCUCAAGCCCUUUGGUUUAUCUUGAUCAAACUGACAAAUUAAGAUACUUGGGAGGCAUAUAUGAUGAUUGAGAGCUUUGUGAACUAUUUUCAUGCUUGCUUUCACUUUCAUCUGGCCACUUCAAUGGGCAUAGAAGCCUCCUAGGAGCCUUGAAUCACAUGACUGCUUGAGCUUCAAAAUAAAACAAGUUAGUGACAUAUUUUUGUGAUUUUGGUUAGUAAAAAAAAGCAAUAAUAUACAAUUCAAGCAUGCUUGGUGGUCUCAAACCAACUCACACAAGUCCCAACCCAAGGGUUAAGGAGCCAAGAUGCUAUGAUCCUUGAGGCAAAUGCUGUUGCAAUGAUAUGAUGCCAUGAGGGAUCUUAGGGUCAAAUUUAGGGUCUUACAAAUAUCAAUGGAACUUGGGUGUUGAUAAGGUGUAAACCAUAUCCACCAAAAUGGAUGAUUGAUCUUGACAAUGACUUGAUUCAUCCCUUGACCUUUGUUUGCCUUGUGUGUGAUCCCUUAUUUGUGAUUGUUGCAUUCAUACAUUCAUGCGCAUCAUAACAUUAAUCACAUGAAAAUUUCAAGGAACUAAGGUAUCAUUUGCAAAUAUUUUCAGACCAUGGAUUAUGGACGAAGGAACACUAAGAAGUACAGUUUCAGAUGUCCCGACUUGAAAGAGUUAAAGAAGCUAGCAUCUUUUGUAUUAGAUCCCUUGGACUUCAAACAACGUCAUGGGAAGCUUCUGUCCAUCUUGUCUACUAAUGUGGUUAAAGGACUCUUGAGUGUGUUGGUGCAGUUUUAUGAUCCUCUCUACCAUUGUUUCACUUUCUCAGAUUUUCAGCUUGUGCCUACCUUGGAGGAGUAUUCUCAUCUUUUGGGGAUACCUGUUUCUAGUAGAGUGCCUUUUAGUGGAUUGGAGGAGAUUCCCCAUUCUAGUAUUAUUGCUGAAGCCCUUCACUUGAAGAAGUCUGAGAUAGAGGCUCAUUGGGUGAACAAAGAAAGGUUACUUGGGUUGCCAUAUGUUUUCCUCAUCAAGGAAGCUACCACUUUUGCUCAAGCUGGCAGUAUGGACGCUUUUGAAGCUAUCUUUGUGUUGCUCAUCUAUGGAUUAGCUUUGUUCCCUAACAUUGACGGUUUUGUUGAUGUUAACACCAUUAGACUUUUCUUGAUUGGGAAUCAUGUGCCUACUUUGUUGGGUGAUAUGUAUUUCUCUUUGCAUCUAAGGAAUUCUAAGGGUGGUGGAAAGAUGUCUGUUGCAUUCCUCUUUUGUACAAGUGGUUUAUUUUGCACUUGCCUCAGACGCCUGCUUUUGUGGAGAACACAAUGUCUAAGGUGGUCUCAGAGACUUAUGUCUCUCACUAAUGAUGAUAUAGUUUGGUAUGAUCCAUCCUUAAGCAGUUUGGAGAUUAUUGAUAGUUGUGGUGAAUUCUUUAAUGUGCCUCUCAUUGGUACAGAGGAGGAAUUAACUACAACCCUGCUUUGGCCCGUCGUCAACUUGGGUUCCCCUUUAGAGACAACCUAAUAACAUGUUGUUAGAAGUCUUUUCUAUCAAGAGGGUAAAGAUCCCCAACAUUUGAAGCAGAAGAUUGUGCACGCUUGGCAUAAUAUGCAUAGGAAAGGAGAUCUGAGCUUGGUCCGUGCAAUUGUGUAGCUUUGGAAGCUUACCUCUUGGUGAAGAAGAGAGCUUUGGAGUUGAAGAUGCCUUAUCCUUGUGAAAGACCUAUGUCUAUGGUUGUGGUUGAGCCAUUAACUCUCCCUAACCAAGAUGUAGAGGAGUUGGAAGACGCGCCCAUCAAGAUGAAGCAAGAGAAGGAUAUGUGGGAAGAGCGCUUCCAUGCAUUGAGCAAGAAGCAUGAAGAGUUGCAGUUGGAGUCUAAGGAUAAAGAUGCACUGAUUGAGCUACUUGAAGACCGAGUGAUGAAGAGGCAGAGAGAGCCAGAGGUUUCAUCUUCUAGCAUGCCUUAGCCUUCCGUUGCUUGGAAGAAGAUUGUUGACCAGCUUGUCCUCGAGAAUACUCAGAUGAAGGCUUCUUUUGAGACCGAGAUUCAUCGCAUUCGAAGGAAGUAUGCGCCUUCAUCCAGAUCUUCUGACAUUGUUGUUAGGGAUCCUUAGGAUGACUAGUCUCAUUUUAUCUUGUAUCUUUUUAUUUUGGUUUUUGAAAUUAUACUCAGUGUAAUCCUUCCAAUUUAUAUAAAUAAAAAGAGAUUUUUGGUCAUAUCGAAUUGUUGCAAUUGCCAUUUCAAUAUUAUAUAUAUUUGCAAAUGAUAUAGUAAGUUCCUUGGAAAUAAAAAUAAUCAAGCAUUGCAUCUCAUGCAUCAUUUGCAUAAGCAGGUUUUUGCCAGGUGUCUGAUUGGUGUUCUUACGUGCUUUAGCCAAGCUGACUCGCCGGUACAACACCAUAGCCAAUCAUCUCAGAAUCAUGGAACACCUUGAGCAAGAGAACAGAGAGCCGAAAAAUGAAAUUGCCUGACUGCCUGCCAUGAUGGAGUCAGUUCUUGCUGCUCAAAGCCAAGCUUCUCCAACGCCUCCAACUCCUCCCGCGAGGACAAUUAUCUUAGAAGUGAUUACCUCUAUCGUGCCUGCUGCUACAACCCACUUCGCACCGAACUUGCCGCUGGAUUCCCUUAGGGAAUGCCUCGGAAGUUUUUGCCAGAAGGUUUUGCUCCUACUUUUGCCUCCAUACCGGCAUCUAGCCCGGUCAUGUCUGUGCCACCUCCAGUUGUGCACACUUUGCCUCGCGUAGAGGAUACCAUCUAUCAUUCCGAGCCGUCUUAGGGUCCGGAUGUUUAUGAGAAGAUGGACGAGAUGAAAGACCAAUUUCUUGAGUUGCACAAGGAAUUGAAGACGUUAAGAGGCAAAGAUCUGUUUGGGAAGAGUGCUGAUGAACUAUGCUUGGUACCCAAUGUGAAAAUCCAAGUGAAAUUCAAAGUGCCUGACUUUGAAAAAUAUAAGGGGAACUCUUGUCCGCUCAUUCAUCUUGUGAUGUAUGCCCGCAAGAUGUCAACUCAAACAGAUAAUGACCAAUUGUUGAUUCAUUACUUCCAGGAUAGCUUGACAGGUGAUGCACUCCGUUGGUAUAUGGGGUUGUAUAGUGCAAGCAUCCACACUUUCAAUGACCUAGGUGAGUCUUUUGUGAAGCAAUAUAAGUACAAUGUGGAUAUGGCGCCGGAUAGAGACCAACUGAGGUCCAUGUCUCAGAAAGAUUAGGAGACAUUCAAGGAGUAUGCACAGCGAUGGACGGAGUUGGCUGCCCAUAUCACUCUUCCUUUGGACGAGAAAGAGAUGACAAAAAUCUUUUUGAAAACCCCGAGUUCAUUUUACUAUGAACGUACGAUCGCCAUUGCCCCCAGUGAUUUUACCGAAAUGGUAAAUAUGGGGAUGAGACUUGAAGAAGGGGUCCAUGAAGGACGAUUGUCAAAAGAUGAGGCGUCGACGAGUAAGAAGUAUGACAGUAGUUUCAGCAAGAGGAAGGAUAAUGAGACCAACGCAAUUUCCAGUGGGAGGCAUAGGAGGCCUCAAAUCAGAAGAAAUCCACCAACCCAUCAACAUCAUCAUCAUCAAGUAUCUUCCAUUAUUCCAGUAUUUUCUAAUCAGCAAACAACACCAAUUCAAUAACAACAACAACAUCAAUAUCAAAAUCAACGUCAACAACAACAAUCGUAACGAAGAACGAACACCUACAACAACAACAAUACCAACAACAAUCAUCAUCAGCAGAAUUUAGAGAGGAAGAAGGUCUCUUUCGACCCGAUUUCUAUGUCAUAUGCAGAACUGUACCCAUCAUUUAUCCUCAAAAACUUGAUUCAACCGAGGAACCCACCACAGAUCCCAGAACCACUUCCUUGGUGGUAUAAACCCGAGCUUCAUUGUGCUUUUCAUCAGGGUGCACCUGGGCACGAUAUUGAAAACUGUUAUCCGUUGAAGUAUGAGGUGCAAAAGCUUAUGAAGAGUGGCAUGGUGUCCUUUGAGGACCACACGCCAAAUGUGAAAGCUAAUCCUUUGCCCGCUCAUGGGAAUUCUUCAGUUAAUAUGGUGGACGAUUGUCCUGGUGAGUAUAAAGUUUUUGAUGUGCGUUUUAUCCGUGGAUCCUUAGUGAAGAUACACAAGGACAUCUGUAUGGUGAGUGACUGUGAACAUCACCAUGAUGGUUGUGUUGUUUGUAGUGUGAACCCAAGGGGGUGUGUUGUGGUGAAAAGGGACAUCCAGCGUCUGAUGGAUGAAGGCAUGAUUCAGAUAUGUCAAUCCCGUCCUGAAGAUGAUGACGUCAAUGUCAUAGUUCCCGUUUUCAAGCAACAAGAGAGAUUGGUGAUUCAAUAUGAUAGUAGCAGUAACAAGAACGUCAGCAACAGAUCAGUUUCACCGUUGGUAAUACGGUUAGCGGGCCCAGUCCCGUAUGCAUCUGAUAAGGUUGUACCGUAUCAAUACAAUGCUACGAAGAUAGAGAAUAGUCAAGAGGUCCCAUUGCCUACGACCAGUUUAGUGGUGGGCAUUGCAGAUGUUACGAAGGUGACCCGCAGUGGUUGAGUUUUUGGACCGGUGUUCCCGGAGAAUAAAGAAGAAAUAAUGGUUGGUAAGAAGGCGGAGGUGCCUAAUGUAGAUCCGGUUGGUUGUUCAAAGGAUAAGUCUGGUGAAUCCAGCAACUUGAAAGCCAAUGAUGAUGAUGAGGUACUCCAACUAAUUAAAAGGAGCGAAUUUAAUGUGGUUGAGCAGCUGCUCUAGACUCCCUUAAAUAUUUAUGUGUUGUCUCUGCUUUUAAAUUCUGAAGCACAAAGAGAAGCACUCCAGAGAGUUCAUGAACAGGUAUAUGUGGAGCAAGAUGUUACUGUGGAUCAAUUUGAUCAUAUUGUGGCUAACAUCACUUCAUGCAAUAAUUUGAGCUUUUGCGAUGAAGAACUCCCUGAGGAGGGAAGAAAUCACAAUCUGGCUUUGCAUAUUUCGAUGAAUUGUAAGGAAGAUGCUUUCUCAAACGUGCUUGUUGACACCAGGUCGUCACUCAAUGUGCUUCCGAAGUUAACUUUGUCAAAGUUAUCUUAUCAAGGAGCUCCCAUGAGAUACAAUGGAGUGAUUGACAAAGCCUUUGAUGGCUCGCGCAAGACGAUUAUUGGAGAAGUGGACCUUCCAGUCAAGAUAGGUCCGAGUGAUUUUGAGAUUACUUUCCAGGUAAUGGAUAUUCACCGCGCCUACAACUGUUUAUUGGGAAGACCAUGGAUUCAUGAGGCAGUGGCUAUUACUUCCACUCUGCAUCAGAAGCUUAAAUUUGUCAAGAAUGGCAAGCUGGUAAUUGUUGGAGGAGAGAAAGUGUUGUUGGUUAGCCAUCUGUCAUCUUUCUCCUAUGUAGAAGAUGAGGAUGAGGUUGGAACUCCGUUCCAAGCCUUAUCUAUUGCUGCUGAGAAGAGAGUUGGGACACCUAUGUCCUCUCUGAAAGAUGCUCAGAAGAUUGUUGAAGAAGGUGUUGUUGAUUCGUGGAGGCGCGUGGUAGAGGUCUCCGAUAACAGAGGAAGAACUGGUUUAGGGUUCCAGAAGGGCUCGUCAGCUAUUAGAUCUGAAGAGAUGCAACUCAGCUUCCGUAGCGGAGGGUUCAUUCAUGGGAAUGAACAACACUUAGCUGAUGUGCUAGAGGAUAACAAAGAGGAAGACUGCACCAACUUUGUGACGCAUGGAAAGACAUGCAACAAUUGGACUACUACUGAUAUUUCUGUUAUUUUGCAUCGAUUUAAGUAAUUGCUUUUAUAUUUUAAAAUCCUUCUCCUAUGCCUAAGGGAGAAGUGAACAAUAUUUGGGAAUUUUAAAUUGAUCAUCAAUAAAAUUAAUUCUAUCCAUCCACAUCUUUGAUGUUUAUUUUACUUUUUGCUUUAUUCUGAAAAUGGUAAUCACAAAAAACAUAAAUAAAACAAUAUAAUUGUCCAUCUGCAUAAUAUUUGGUCACAAAUUCACUUCUCUAAAAUAUAAAAUAUCAAAUCAUUAUGCAGGUUGAUUCCUAACCCCAUUGAAUACAAUGAUCCUUCUCCUUCUCCAAAUUUUGAAUUCCCUAUGUUUGAAGCCGAGGAGGAAAGUGAUGUAGAAGUGAGUGAUGAAUUGUCUCGUCUUCUUGAGCAAGAUGAGAAGAUUAUUCAGCCAUUUGAAGAGCAGAUUGAGCUUUUCAACUUGGGUUCCGAAGAUGAUAUGAAGGAAGACAAGAUUGGGUCUUGAUUGUGUCCAAAUGCUAAGAAGGGGUUGACUGAUUUUCUUCGAGAGUAUUCAGAUGUGUUUGCUUGGUCCUAUCAAGACAUUCCUGGGUUGGAUUCUGAGAUUGUUGAGCAUAGAUUGCCGUUGAAGCCAGAAUGCCCGCCACUCAAGCAAAAAUUGAGAAGAAUGCAUCCUGAUAUGGCUGUGAAGAUCAAAGUGGAAGUGCAGAAGCAGAUUGAUGUCGGUUUCCUUGUAACUGUUGAGUAUCCGCAAUGGGUGGCCAAUAUUGUGCCUGUGCCGAAGAAAGAUGGAAAAGUCUGCAUGUGUGUUGACUAUAGAGAUUUGAAUAAAGCCAGUCUGAUAAAUGAUUUCCCUCUGCCACACAUUGAUAUGUUGGUAGACAAUACUUCUAAAUUCAAAGUCUUUUCAUUUAUGGAUGGAUUUUCCGGUUAUUUUAUUAGAUCAAAAUGGCACCCGAAGAUAUGGAGAAGACCAUAUUCAUUACACCCUGGGGAACAUUCUGUUAUAGAGUCAUGCCUUUCGGUCUAAAGAAUGCUGGUGCGACUUACCAGAGAGUAAUGACUACUCUUUUUCAUGAUAUGAUGCAUAAAGAUAUAUAAGUUUAUGUCGAUGACAUGAUUGCUAAAAUGAUUGAUGAAGAGGAACAUGUUGAGCAUUUGUUGAAGCUAUUCCAGUGUUUGAGGAAGUAUAAACUCCGCUUGAAUCCCAAUAAGUGUACUUUUGGUGUUCGUUCUGGUAAGUUGUUGGACUUUAUUGUCAACGAGAAGGGUAUUGAAGUUGAUCCUGCCAAGGUCAAAGCAAUACAAGAGAUGCCUGCGCCCAAAACUGAGAAGUAAGUCAGAGGUUUUCUUGGUCGCUUGAAUUAUAUUUCCAGAUUCAUUUCCCACAUGACUGCCACAUGUGCGCCCAUAUUCAAGCUUCUUCGGAAAGAUCAAUCAUGUGAUUGGACCGAAGACUGCCAGAAAGCUUUUGACAGUAUCAAAGGAUAUCUGCUUGAGCCUUCGAUUUUGUCUCCAGCUGUUGAAGGAAGACCAUUGAUCAUGUAUUUGACUGUGCUCGAAGAUAGUAUGGGUUGUGUUCUUGGUCAGCAAGAUGAGACUAGGAAGAAAGAAUUUUCAAUUUACUACCUCAGUAAGAAAUUCACCGACUGUGAGAUUCGGUAUUCGAUGCUUGAUAAGACUUGUUGCGCAUUGGCUUGGGCUGCUAAGCGACUGCGCUAGUAUAUGUUGAAUCAUACCACUUGGUUGAUAUUCAAAAUGGAUCCAAUCAAGUAUAUAUUUGAGAAGCCUACUUUAAUUGGGAGAAUUUCCCGUUGGCAGAUGUUGUUAUCAAAGUAUGAUAUCGAAUACCGAUCUCAAAAAGCGAUCAAAGGUAGUAUCUUGGCUGACCAUUUGGCUCACCAACCAAUUGAAGAUUAUCAAUCAGUGCUGUAUGAUUUUCCAGAUGAAGAGAUUUUGUACAUGAAAAUGAAAGAUUGUGAUGAACCAUUGCUUGAAGAAGGGACAAAACCUGGUUCCCAUUGGGGCAUGGUAUUUCAUGGAGCUGUUAAUCAAUAUGGAAUUGGCAUUGGGGAAGUGAUUAUUACUCCUCAAGGCACGCAUCUACCGUUUAUAGCUAGAUUGACUUUCAAAUGUACAAACAACAUGGCAGAAUAUGAAGCUUGUAUUAUGGGGCUUGAAGAGGCCAUGAAUCUCAGAAUCAAGUAUUUGGAUGUCUUUAGUGAUUCAGCUUUGGUUGUGAAUCAGAUCAAAGGAGAAUGGGAGACAAAUCAACCCGGUUUGAUACCAUAUAGAGAUUAUGCGAGGAGGAUUUCAACUUUCUUCACAAAGGUUGAGUUUCAUCAUAUCCCUCGAGAUAAAAACCGGAUGGCAGAUGCUCUUGCAACAUUGGCAUCAAUGAUUGUAGUAAAGUAUUGGAAUGAAGUUCCCAAUUUAUCUGUGAUACGUCUUAAUAGGCCAACUCAUGUAUUUUCUGUUGAAGAGAACAAAGAUGAGAAACCGUGGUAUUACGACAUCAAAUGUUUCCUCCAAAUCCAGAUUUACCCGCCUGGGGCAUCUUUGAAAGAUAAGAAAACUUUGAGAAGAUUAUCCGGAAAUUUCUACUUGAAUUGUGAUGUACUGUACAAGAGAAACUUCGACAUGGUUUUGCUCAAAUGCGUGGAUAGACACGAAGCAGACUUGUUGAUGACCGAAGUGCAUGCAGGUUCCUUUGGUACUCAUUCCAAUGGACAUGCAAUGGUGAAGAAGAUGUUGCGAGCAGGUUACUAUUGGCUGACAAUGGAAUCUGACUAUUGCAAGUUUGUGAAGAAAUGCCACAAGUGUCAAAUUUAUGCUGAUAAGAUUCAUGUUCCUGGCUGUGAUAACUUACUUAUCUCUUCCCCAUGGCCCUUCUCCAUGUGGGGAAUUGAUAUGAUUGGGAUGAUUGAGCCCAAAGCUUCGAAUGGACAUUGUUUCAUUUUAGUGGCAAUUGAUUACUUCACAAAAUGGGUUGAAGCGACAUCAUAUGCAAAUGUAACCAAGCAAGUUGUAGUAAGAUUUAUCAAGAAUCAGAUCAUAUGCCAUUAUGGUGUGCCAAGUAAGAUCAUUACUGAUAAUGGAUCGAACUUGAAUAAUAAUAUGGUGGAAGAUCUUUGCAAAGACUUCAAGAUUGCACAUCAUAAUUCUUCUCCCUACAGACCCAAGAUGAAUGGGGCGGUUGAAGCUGCGAAUAAGAACAUCAAGAAGAUUAUUCAGAAGAUGGUUGUCACAUAUAAGGAUUGGCAUGAGAUGCUCCCUUUUGCUUUGCAUGGGUAUCGUACAUCCAUCCACAAUUCAACAGGGGCAACCCCUUUCUCUCUUGUCUAUGGUAUGGAAGUAGUGCUCCUCGUAAAGGUUGAGAUUCCUUCGUUGCGUGUGCUCAUGGAAGCCAAGUUGACUGAAGUUGAAUGGUCUCAAACUAGAUUUUAUUAGCUGAAUUUGAUUGAAGAGAAGAGAUUGACUGCCAUGUGUCAUGGUCAGUUAUAUCAGCAGUAGAAUGAAGAAAGCUUUUGAUAAGAAGGUCAAGCCUCGGGUAGUCAGAGAAGGUGACCUUGUGCUCAAGAAGAUUUUGUCGUUCAAACCAGAUUCUAGAGGAAAAUGGACUCCCAAUUAUGAAGGCCCAUAUGUUGUUAAGAAAGCCUUUUCAGGUGGUGCAUUGAUUCUUACAACUAUGGAUGGUGAAGAGUUCACUCGUCUUGUGAACGCAUAUGCAGUCAAGAAAUACUUCACCUAAAAAAAUAAAAGAACAACUUGCUAAGUUGAAAACCCGAAAGGGCGACUUAGGCAAAAAUGAGCGUCUCGGUGGAUUGAAAACCCGAAAGGGCGAUCCAGGCAAAAAUUAGAGACAUAAAAACAGAAAAAGAAUUUCCCGAUAAGUUGAGUACCCCACCUUGGGGCAACUUAUGCAAAAAAUUAGGGAUUAUGGCAAGUAACUGCAUUCUGCUGAUCUUCAGUGAUAUUUUGAAGACUUAUUUGUGCAUAAGGGUUGACAUUAGUUCAUCUCCAGCAGCGGUGAAGAGUACAGUGGAUAUCAAGAUUUGAAAGAAGGAUUAAGGAUCAUUUGUAUUCAAUGUAACCCUUUUCCAUGUAAAUUACCAUUUUCAACUUUGUAAAAUCUAUGGAGUCUUGUCAUUUACAAACUACCAUUCUAUUAAAUAAAGUUGAGCUUUUCAAUGUAACCCUUUUCCAUGUAAAUUACCAUUUUCAACUUUGUAAAAUCUAUGGAGUCUUGUCAUUUACAAACUACCAUUCUAUUAAAUAAAGUUGAGCUUUUAUCCAAUUGUUUCUACUCUUAUUUUACUUCAGCCAAUAGUUUUAAAUUUUAUUAUGAUCAUUUUGGAAUUAAAUUUUUAAAUCAAAAUCAAGUUUUCUUUAAAAUAUGAAAGCAAGAACUUU
rnacentral:lncRNA from 1 species